UUUUUUUUUUUUUUUUUUUUUUUUUGCCCAAAGGUUCAAGAAAGUUUAGGAGGAGAGGAAAGUUAAUUACCCCACUCCAAUAUCAUGGCAAGCCACUGGUGCACUUUUCAGUAAGCAACAGUAGCUCUUACAAAUCAUCCAUCAAUGAGAGACAGAUAUGAGUAAAUUAUUGCUGUCGAUUUGUGAUGAUAGUUAGUGUUUCGUGCCGUGAAUCAUGGUAGUGACUUUGAUAUUUCAUACUUAUAUUUCAACAAAGAAUUUCUUCAACUUUAGCCAAAAAGAAAAUUCCUUCAACAUGGAUCAACGCAUUUGAAUGCGUUCCCUUAACUCUUCUGAAAUAAGCUUGAAAUACCAUUUCUAAUGUUUGCAAGGCGAUAAAUUAUGAGUUGAGAGAUAUGUACAUACAUAGAGUAUUUUUCUUGUCAUGUUAUCAUUUUGCUGGAGGUUUAUUGUCUAAGGUGCUUGGCUUGUAUUUAAUUUAUGGUAAAUAAUUGAUGUUAAGGGAUAUAUAAGUUGACUGUUGAAGCAGGAAUCCUCCAAUAUAAUUUUAAAAAAUUUUCAUUUUCUGUUUUGUUGGAGGCUAAAGUCAAAACUUAAUAUCAUGUUAUAUCAUGGAUCACUGUGGUAAUACUGACAUUGAUAUAUAUAUAUGUAUGUAUAUGAAAGAGGGUUGUUGAACUCAAUAAUUUACUCUUAUUGAGCUAGUUAAAAAUAUAAAAGUACUUCUAUCAUAUACAGUCUUGAGCUAUAUAACGUAGUUAAUAUGGUCAUAUAUAGUCAAAUAUUACUGUGCAGAUGCGGUAAUGGACAUUUUACUUUUCUCCAAAAGCUAUAAUUGGCCAUCACAAAGUACUUAUGAUCUAUUAUUAAAUGCUAUCACACCUAAAAAAUGUUUGUUGAAAUGAUAUCUUCUUUAUCUUGACAAGAAGCUUCAAAACUUUGCCAGAUUCUCAUCUAAAGGGUUACUAUGCAGUAGUGCCCUAACUCUAGCCUAAUCAUUUGAGAAAAACUAAAAGGGGGGGGGGGGGUCCUGCUCUUAAGGGCUCACUCUCUCUAAACCUAGUGUCACCAAAAAGGGGUUUGGGUCCUCUUGAAUCGUAUCAUCAAAUAUAGAAGUAGUAAAACUUAGACAUCAAUCAAAGACUCAAGCAACUGAUUCUUGCACGAUCAAAAGAUAGAAUGUGACAAGAGGACUCGUCGGCAUAUUCAGUCGGUAAAGAACACGACAAAAGCGAGAACAACCAAACCAACACCAUUAUAUCUUGCACCAUGGGGGCAGUAAGGUACUAGUCAUUACUUUUGGUUCCUAGUUUGAUUUAUGGCAUCCUUAGGGGUCCAUAAAGAUUGUUUUUAGGCAUAUAUUAUGGCACUAUAUAGAAUGGCAUUUGCAUUUAUAGGUCGGAAUAUAAUAGUUUUUCUCCUCUCUUGAAGCUUUAGAGCACUCUAGCUUUGAGGGUAACCAAAGCGGCAAAGUGGGUGAAAUAUUGUUUUCAAGGUUUGUCAUUAUAGAUAGAUAAGUGCGAUCUAAGAUUCUCUUUCAGUAAUCUGUGAAAAAUCUUUUUCAACGAUUGUAAAAGCUCUAUUAUCAUUGUACAUUUCACUAAUUGGCGUGAAAAAAGUAAGUAGAUCGAUGCUGUAAUGACAAGUUAUCAGUUGUUUUAAGAAGUUAAAGUUGAAAUGAUAGAUUGAACCCGCUCAAUGAAUCAAACGUAAAUAUUAAAUGUAAAAUUCAAUUCACGAGUCAAAGUAAAAUGUGAUGGAUGUAAUGGCAAGUUAUUCAGCUAUUUUAAGAGAUUAAAGUUGAAAUGAUAGAUUGAACCCGCUCAAUAAAUCACACAUUAAGAUUCAAUAUAGAAUUUAAUCACAAGUUGAAGUAAAAUGUGAUGGAUGGAACAUCAACUCACUAUAUGGAAGCCAUAUAAUAAUGAUUUUAACUUAGCCACUGGAAGUAUCGAAAGAACACCAUCACUUCAAUGGAAACAAGAAUUUUCUCAUAUUUUAUUGCUCAACUCUUUUUUUUUAUAUAUAAAAAAACGUUAUAAAGAGUUUAAGAAUGGGAACACUUACUCAUUUCAAUACCAGUAGAAACCCUCAAUUUAUUUAUUUUUUAACUACCUAAGAGAUUCUUACAAACCAUCUGCUAACACGAUAGAUAAACUCAAUGAAUCCAUUCUUCCGACUAGGAAAGAUAAACAACACAUGUUUAAGACUAGGAUUAAUCAAAAGUUAAAGAACCAUAACUCCUUAUGGUGAUAUAUAUAUAUACAUAUACACACUUGAUUAACCAAGAAAGAACAACGGCCAAAACUAAAGAUUAUCAAAGCUAAAGUUAAUCCUCGCUAUUGUCAAACACAUGAAGCUUUUCACAUCCUCGAACGGGUUAAGAAGCAUCAUUGCUCUAAGAUAAUGGAGUGUCAAUUAUUGAAUUGUGAAUACCAGUUACAAGAGGAAAAAAGGAAGAUGUCAGGAAAAACCGUGGGUAUAGUGGAGUAAAAUUAUCAUCCAAAAUACUUCAACAUUCUUCACAAACAUUUCUUGCCGACUCACACGUAAGCAAUGUAGGUUUUAAUCAACCUUUGCAGCUGGGUCCACAAAGCUACUGAUCAAGACUUAAUGCUUGAUAUGGUGAAUCGAAUUUUGUUGAUGAUAGGUAUCAUCAUAACAUAGGGUUUUAAUCAAAGUCUUCUCAAUACCAAAGUUGAAAGUUUACACUUCCCAUUGUUGAGGCUGCAUAAUUUGUGAAACUUUUAGUGAUCUUAUUCAACUUUUUACUACCAAAUACAAAAACGUUUGGCCACAAGUCAGAAGCACCAUCAUUAAUUUGCUAUGAUCAAAUUGAAAAUAACACGACUUGGGAACUAAGUUUUCAGGUUACCAUUUUUAGCAGCAAUUAGUUGUAUUUUCAUCUCUUCUUUUCUUUUUUGGGGUGAAAAAUUGGCAUGGUUGAAAAUGGUCGAAGUUCAUCUCACCAUAUUAUAAUUAGUCGACUAACUAAUGCAACCCUCACCAGUAAUUAUUUGAUUAGCCAUGUGUCCUCUAAUUUGUUUUGUUACAUGCAUCAUUAGCCCCACAUUUAUGUUUAAGAGAAGAAAUGCACCAAAAUUGUUGGUUUCUUGCCGUCAUUUCUUUUUCUUGCUUUCCGCCAUUCAUGUUUAUUGAACCACGUUGGUUUUGCUAAUCUCCACAUGCAGUGCAUCUUUAACUCAAAUAGUAUCAAAUUAGCCUGUUUUUUGGAACAUCCCAAAGCAAAGGGUUUUCACUCGAGUCACGGAAAUCAAAGGAUGGUUCAAGAUUUUAACAAUCACGGAGGCUUCUAGACGGUGCAAUUGAGCCCUAGCAAACAACCCCUUUUUAAUUAGGAGAGGCUACUCUCUAGCUUGUGGAAAAAACCUCCGAUGCUUCUUAUUUAGUUAGAAUUUCUGUAGGGAUUAAAAUAGUGGGAAAGAAACCAAUAAAAAGAUUAAAGAAUUCUCUGAAACAGUACAUUACUUAUUAUAUAUGAUGAUAUAUGAAUGACAAUUAAGGAGAUUCCAUAAACUAUUUUGGAGCCCUACAAGGUCCAGAUUAGGCAUUAGAGAGGGAUGAGGGAAUAGUCAUGCUACGUGCCGCAGAGCUGUCGCCUAACAACGAACAUGGUUGAUGCCCCUUUCAAUCAACUUUAUUUCAUUGAUGAUUGAACAAAUUAAGCGCACUAGCUCAUGCCCAUGUUCCAAAAUGAAGACCUACAAAACCCAAAACCACUUUCCCUAAUCUCUCUCUCUCUCUCUUUCUUUUUUUAUAUUUUGGUUGGGACUCUGCCCAAACAAUAAUUUCGACCCAAAUAGCUAGAAUUAUAAUUGGGCUUUUGUCUGCAUUCGUUAGUAAUUAUCAUAUGAAUUCACACACUAACAAUUGUAACCAUAUCUUGCAUUUAUAUGAUUUUCCUAAUUAACAUUACUUUUUCAAAAUAUGAACGCCUGAAACCCAUUUUAAUGAGUGCCAGUGAGCAAUUGAUACACAGAAGCAUUAUAAUUUAAGAAUAAUAAAUGUUAUUCGAUGCCAAAAGCAAGAACAGAAAAUUUCAAUAUGGGCAUAGAUGUAUUCUCCUCCUCGUCAAUUUUCUGUUGCAAGGUGACUGUAUCUAUGCUUUCUGAAUUAUUACAUCCAUGGGUCCUAAUUAUUUCAGAAAGGGAUGGAAAUUAUAAAUUUUACCUAGUCUAGUCUAGUCUAGCUUUGAAUAAAUUCUACAAGUUUGCAAUUAUUCAUACCGAGUGGCAAAAUAAAAAUAUUCGUCUAUUAGAAAAUAAAGGCAGGAGUCUUGUCACUUUUGCUAAGUAGGAACCUGCUUAAUUUAAGUUACAGUAUGUAAACUUUAGGAAUGAUUUCAGAAACCUCCAUUGAUGUUUUUCACAAUAACAUAUUGUAGUACCCUUUUAAUUUGGGAAAUUGCACAUGGACCCCUUAUUUGCGUGUACUUGGUAACACAUUAACCUGAUUUGUUGAGACAAGCCGAAAAUAGGUAAUGAAAAUCCUAAAUUAACGUCCUAAAAUUACUUUAGAACAAAAAAAAUUAUUUUUUUUUGUUUGAAAUUUCAAUACCACUUUAGCUAUAUCCAACCCACAGGUAGUCAAGUUCCUUAAUCACCACCUUACUGAGGAGACCUUAAUCUACUAACUGAGGUUAAGACCCGACCGUUAUAGGUCCUGGGCUUAAAUUUUCUUUCCUCCUACACGCUUCUUAAAAUCUCACCCCUCCUGUACUUAUAUAAAAAAAAAAAGAAAGUUCCUCAAUUGUCAUCAGUGACACUUGGUCACAUCACCAUAAAAAAAAAAAAAUGCCAACCUCUUUUUGUAUCUAGACACUCGAUCCCCCAAACCUCAACUCAUGAUGUAGGAGAGACUUUUGUUUUAUUUUAUCUUAUUAUUGUAUUUGGCAUAAAUGAAGCUUGAGGGUUACUAGGUCAUUUGCUAUAGGGAGGGGAGGUGGCAUGUAAUACUAAAAAUUCUAAGGUUGCUAGGUGAAAUUGUUAAAAACUUGAGGGGAGGUUUCUAAAACUAUCCAUAAACUCAACUAAACUAAUAAUUGGACUUUUAUAUAUCCAAAAUGAGGGCAGAACCUUAGUUUAACUAUUACCCUAAACGUUAUUAAACUAAUAAUUGGACUUUUAUAUAUCCAAAAUGAGGGCAGACCCUUAAUUAAACAAUCUUAAUAAUUCUAUUUAUGAGAUAUUAUUGGAGCUAAACUUCGUAAAGAAAGUUUUCACCUAACACAUCAAAUCAUGAUAUUCCCACAGCUAGUGCAACAAAUUAGAGGAGUUCCAGCUCUAUUAUUGGCUACAACUAUUAACUUGAAGUCAUGUGUAAUAAGUAAAAGGACGUGAAGAUGAAAAAUGAUGAUAGCUUAACCAAAAGGGAAAGGACUGUAUAACCCUACUUCGUGACCUCUGGAUCCAACUUACCAUAAGGGGGUUGUAGACAGUUUGUUGUUGAAACGACAUGAUGGGAUCUCUCCUAAGGCUUGUGUACAGGAACGAGUUGUAAAGCAUGACCUUGACUGACCAUUUUACUGCUUUCUUUUGCUUGGGAUCCCGCGCAGAUUGGAACUGCGCUGAUGGACUCCUUAUACAGCAACCUCUCAUCAGACCAAAUGUACAAUUUCUUCUGCUGUCAAAAUAAAAAUUUUUGUUGUUACUUAGACCCAAAAACAAAAACAAAAAAAUUUUUUUUUUUGGUAACGUUUUUCUUAUCAUUAAGCUUCUGAAAAAUAUCAAGUUCGUGCUCUUAAUUAAAGCUAGUUCUUUGGAUUGUGGACCUUCUGAAUUAUGUUUACAGGAUUCUGAGCAAUUGAACUUCCUUAAUGUCAUUAGUUUGAGAUUUUUAUUGAAUUCUUGCAUCCUUAAAAUGUUAAUAUGUUUUCUUUGACUACAAAAUGUUAAAAUGCCAUUUACUUGUUCCGUCUUUCUUCUUAAACUAGAUAUCUUUUAGAUCUCCUCAGUUAGCCCUUUUGAUGAUAUGACAAAUGUUUUACCAAUUUCCUAUACGUUUUUGUAAAUAUAUGUGCUUUGAACAUAAAAGCAGUUCUCAGAUACUGUUAUGCGGCUGAAGAUCAAUGAAUCUUCUUUGCAUUAUAGCUUGUGUUUGUUAAAGAAAUUACACCAUACUUGCAGCCCUUGACGUCUGUAAUUUGAUUUCAGUGUACUACAAUGUAUGCAUUACAAGAAAAAAAAUAAAAAAAGCUUACAAGAAAAAAUAAAGCAGUGUUCGAACUUUGAAUAACAAUUCCAGUGCAGAAUUGCAUACAAAUAGGCAUUCAUGCUUGUAAAUGGUCAAGAUUCAAUUUUAUGAAUGAGGACGAAAGUCUAUUAGUGAUAUUUGGAUCAUAUGUAUGUUAUAGUAAAUCAUUUUCCUUAUGUCUUUUUCAUUUCUUAAAUAUGAUAAUAGAUGCCUCACCAAUUUGAAAUUGGCUAUUCCUUGAAAGUAAAGUAUCUCAGUCAGGUUCACUUUCGUAACUAGCUAGCUAGAGCUAGCAAGUGAAAGAUCAAAUAUUUCUUUCACUGAAAAGUUUGAAUCUCCAAUAUUGACCAAAAGGCAAGGCGAUGGCUAUUUAACUCAUGAUCUCAAUAAGGCUCUAGCCUCCAGUUAUGGAUUGCCACCCUAGCUAGUUAAUCUUCAGUUAAUUACACAUACUCCAGUUUACACAAAAGAAACCGAAGGAAGAAAAGAAUAACAGGUCCUAGUCGUAUAUAAUAUCGCAGGUCCAAUUAAUGUAUUGGUAUGUCAUAUUGUAGCAAAACCUCAUUUGUGGGGAAGCCUCCUGUUGGCUUCUCUCUUGUUGUCUUCUAUUGCUGCUUAUUUUAACCUUUUUCUUAAUUUCUUUCAAGUGAAUAAUUCAUUUUGGUAAACGUAUGAUAUCUUUCCUUGUUCUGCAUCAAAAUAAAUAUAUCCGAGAAAAAGAUUAGUCAUAUGAAAUCUUGGCCCUAGGAAUGAAUAUUAGUCAGCCAAUAACAGAUGUACGAGGAAAUAAAAUGAUUAGAAAAACAAGCAAAAUUUGGUGUCAAUAACCUCCUGUGCGUGCAGAUAGUUAAUUAGCAUGAUAAAUUAGGGUAAUGUCAUUUGAACAGAUCGCUAACUACUUGUACAACUUCAUAACAACUGUAUGAUAUUCCGACACUGUUCAUUCAUGUGGAUUUCAUAUAUGAUAAUUAUGUUUCUAGUAAGAAAUUUUACAAGUAAUUAACCGUAUCUUACAAAUUAUUAGUAAGAUGUUAUACCACCCAAGUUAGUUAUCCGUGUCUUGCAACCUAGCUACUAGUUAGAUGUUAUACCAUAACGUACAUCCAAGUUAUUUCUGAUUAUACUAAUUAAUAACCUUUUCUGUCCCUUGCCUAAUAAAUUGUCUUGGGUCGUUUUGUAUAAUCGUCACCUAGCUAAAGUAAUUGACAAGGAAAGGUAUACAUACUGAAGACAAGAAAUUUGAUUUCAUGUCGUAGGACAACUUAGCCAGUGCCAUAGCCAAGUGUACGGUGAUAGCUAGGAAAUUAAUGCUUUAGAUAUACUGUCCAUGUCCUUCACAAAAAACAAAAACAAAAAAAAGAAAAGAAAAAGAGGCACUGUCCAUGAUGAAAACAGUGAAAAUUUGUCCAGUGAUCUUUGGAUAUUAGAAUGGAUUAUCUUUAGCUAAUCCAGGUUUUGUCCACUUUUUUUAGUGGGUGUCGACUUCAUCUAGUUGGAUAUCACAAUAUUCCUAAAAUAAUUUUUUUUGUAUAUAUAUAUAUAUAUACUAACCCUAAGGUACAAUAAUUCUUGCAUAAACUACAAUAAUAUAUUAUUUCUCGAAUUAAGCUAUAACAGUUACGUGAGGCUGACUUGAUUAAGCAUUAAUGCUUCUCGGGGCAAAGCCUUAUUUCCUAUGCCAGGUGAAGAUUAAUUUCUUCAGAUUCGGACAUAAAAAUAAUUACAGAUCGAACGGCCAUAUGCGAUUCUUUCAGCUCUAUAUCCUACGUGGGACCGUUCAGAUUGGUCACCUGUCAAAUGCCAACAACUUGACGUGUACCCUAGGUUCUCUACUCCUACAAAAGUUCAAAUCAUGGCUAAUAAGAAUCUAGUGUGCAAAAUCAACCAGAUUUGGCUUCCAGCAAAUUAGCACAAUUGUUAGAGGUAAUUAUCAUUCCAAUAGGGUGAUCUUUCUAUGUAAAAACUGAUUGACGAGAUCAAUGAUAUGUAAUUAUUCAAUCACUUCACCAAAUAUGUUCUUCCAGUUUUAGAUUCAAAUCUGGGUUGCCUGGUCUAAUUACAUGUUAGUAAUCUUCCCACCAUUUUAGUUUGUAAUAAUGUCGAAUUGUAAGGUUUUUUUUUUUUUUUAAAUAUUGAUCCCACUAUUGUAGUCUGUAAUAGAGAUAUCAAAAUAGAUGAUUUGGGUGGAUUUGAUCGGAUUAUAAUUGAAUAACGGGUAUAAUUGCAUUAAUCCGUCUAUACCUAUCUAAUAAAUCGGUCAAAAUAGAUCAACUAAUUUACAACCAUUUAAUAAAUGGGAACAGGUAUAUCUAAUUACCCAUUUAUAACCUGCUUCAAAUUCUACUUAUUUUCUUUUAUUCUUUUGCAUAUUGUUUGACAAGAAUUAACAAUAUUUUAUUCUAAUUAAAAUAUUAAGAAAUUCAAUUGUAUCCUUUCAAUACUCACCAAAAAAUGAAUUUAAAUAUAUAAUUAUUUUUAAAUGAAUAUAAAUGAGUGAGACAAUCGAGUCGAUUUACUACCCAUCAAUUAAAUGGAUCUAAUUGAGUCACUCAUUUAAACUCAUGCUCAAAUCCACUUAUUAAUGAACAAGUUUGGAGAGGUCAAUACAAAUACACUGUGAUUAACGCCUCUAGUUUGUAAGACGUUUAGAACCCAAUUAGUGUCAAGUCACCAUGAUCGUUUUAAACAAGUGAUUUGUUAGGAAACAAACUAAUACAUUUCUAAUUUGGCCCUAAAAAAGAAAUGGUCUGAGAUCGAUGUCGGGAUCUUUGUACUGUUUUAAUAUUUUUAGCAGAGACACGUCUAUGGUGAAAAACCAAAAGAAUUGGGAAAAGUUUUCAUAGUUUUCUCAUUGCCAUCUGCUCUAUAUAUACAAGUACAAUGUGCACCUCAGACUCCCGUGACUUCAGCCCCAAUUUACCUAAUUAUGUGCAAUUACCAAUACUACCAAAUAUAGAUAGAUACUAUUAACACAAGAUACCCAAAACUGCAGUCGAGACUACAGCCCAGCCACAAAGUAUAUACACUAAUACCCCCCCUCAAGUUGGAGCAUGAAGAUCGGAAAUGCCCAACUUGCAAAGAAUGUCAUCAAACGAACGUUUGCCAAGAGCCUUGGUUAGGAUAUCAGCGAGUUGGUGAGACGAGGAUACAAAUUGGGGAAGAAUGAUACCACGACGAAUCUCAUCACGAACAAAGUGACAAUCAACCUCGAUGUGCUUGGUGCGUUCAUGAAACACAGGGUUGUGAGCAAGAUGAAGAGCGGACUGGCUAUCACAAUAAAUCCGCAUAGGAGAUGAGUGAGGGACGCCAAGAAAAGCUAACAAACCCUUGAGCCAUUUCAAUUCACAAGUCGUAGAAGCCAAAGAUCGAUACUGUGAGAACCCGUAAUUUUCAUUUUCUAAGUUUUAUUAUUUUUCAUGACUUGUUUUCUGCAUUUUCGUGAUUCGAAAAUUUUUCUAGAUAAAUUUAAGGAGCAGAUAUAAUUUUUAGAUGAUUUUUCUAGUAUCAAAUAGAUUUUGAGAAAUUAAGAGCAGAUACCGGACGUGGGACCCACUAGUGCGAUAAGUCCUGAAAAAUUCGGCCAACUAAAUUAAGUUUUGAAUACUGGAAUUAAUUUAUCGGGUGUUAAGAGAUAAGUAGAGAGUGCUAAGUGAAUUGAUAUAAGGGAGACAAGGUAGGUGAGCAUUUAAUUAAAGGUGACAAGUGUCACCAUUUGAUUGGGCUACCUUAAGACUUUCUUACCAUUGACUUAAAUAACCAAAAAUGACCCAAAAAUCAUCAAAAUUCCUCCAAGGGUGGCCGACUUUCUUGAAGCUCAAAGGAAAGAAAACUCUUCACAAUUUUGGUCUCCAAUCUUGCUCAAUCUCUCAAAUCAACCGAUUAAUCUUCCAAUUGUUCCAUAAAACUCCUCCACUUAGUGAUUUUGAGGUGAUUGGUGAAGUUAUUUGGAAAGUUAAGGUGGUCCAUAGCUCUCUUUCUCUUGUUUUAAAGGUAAGUUGUGAAGAACCACCCUCCUUCUUUAAUUGAUGCUCAAAUCAUACUUAGUGGAAGUAGAAGAUGCAAAUUUAUGGAUUAAUUCUUGAUUUGUGGUUGAAUUGAUGACUUUUUAUUAUUUUUGGGGAAUUUUCUGUUUUAAUUCAAGCAUGAUGGUGUGGCUAUCUAUGAUGUAUGGAAAUGGUCUUUAAUGACUUAAGGAGGUGGGAAAAGUGAUUAAUUGCAACCAAUUUCUGUUUUGGAAGAAAAUUGGAAAAUCUAGGGUUCUUAAGGGUAUAUUCUGUCCGAAUUUUUAGGUACUAGAUAGAGGCCGAAUUGGCCUUAGAUCAAAACAUGAAAGUUGUAGGGAAUGACAUUUUAAAGGUGCAUACAGAAUUUCAGGUCAAUCGGAGUUGUGUGGAGUGAGAUAUGUCGAUUUUACUAUUGCUGAUCUGGGUUGCUCAGAAUGUGAAAACUGCGCUUGUAAUCGUUUGUUUUGACUGGAAUUGGUUUGGAUUUUGAAGUUGGUGUCUUCUGAUGAAAUAUAUCUGGAUGUCUUAGCUAACAUAUGCCUUUAGAAUUUCGGCAUUUGGACCUGUAUAGACUGAGUUAUAGUAAUUACAGCAUUAUAUGAUUUGUAAACCUGUUUUUAGUGUUUCCGGUUGAGUAUUUGGCACAUUUGACCUAGUUGUGCUAGGAUUUAGACUGAGUGACCUUCUACAUUGUUGUAGCCCUAUCUUUUAGCUUCGAGAUGGUGGGUCUUGUACCCUCAUCCGAUACUCGUAGUGGAAUUUGUGCUAUUACCGCAAAAUGACGUCAAAACUGUAUUUUUCCGGGCCAAUGCUAGUUACAUUUCCGAAAUUUCUGGUUUCCUCUAUUGUUUGUAAAUGUUUAUGGAACCUUAUUGGGUCAUGUUUGGCCUUGGUUUAUGACUCGUUAUCGAGUCUCAUUGUAUUUGUUUGCAUGUUUUUAGGGCGUGACGGUGGUGCACAACGUUCUUUUGACUAAAGUGUUUGAAACCACAUUGUGCUAGCUUGGUGAGUGUACUACUCACUUAUGUGCUAUUACAUGGCUUUGAUCUUUGUACUUGAGAUGUUGAAUGUUGAUUGAUCCAAGUGAGAGUGUACUUUAUCACUUUCACUUAUUGUUUCGCAUGUUAUUGGAAAGUUAUAUAAAAUGUUAUAUGAAAUGUUAUAUGAAAUGAAAUACAUGACUUCAAAUAUUAUCCAUGAGCUCAACCCCAUUGGUUAUUGAUUGAAUCGAGCCGGCGAGGGUUUGGUCGUGCCAAUUAAUGUGCCUUGGGGCAACAUCAUAGGGAAUCUUGUAGUAUGAGAGACUCUUGAUUCCGGUUUACUCGAGUAAUACCACAAUGCAAGUGUUUGGAUUUCGGGCCCGAUUGAGGAAUGUUAGGAGGAAGGGAAUGGAAGUUAAGAGGAGUCUACGGUUGGUUACCUUUCAGACAUUGACGGAGAGUCAAUGAGAUCUGAUCAAGAAUUCAAACGAGGAAAAGGGCUAUUGAGAGCCACCCGUAUCCUUUUAUCCUCAUUAUUAAUGUAUGGCUUUAUUUAUUUUGGUAAAUUGGACUGUUAAACUUGAUGUAUCCAUGAACUUGGUUGCUUGAGUUGUAUUCUCACUGGGCAAUUAGCUCACCCCGUUCCUUUUGUUUUCCUUACAGGAUUAUGACUCUUUUGGAAUGAAUUUUGAUAAAUGGUUGCCGAAUGAACUAGAUGAAUGACUCUUUUGUAUUGUAUAUAAAAUGGGACCCUAAAUGUAUCAUUAGGGCCAUUUUCACUUUUGUUUUGGCAAACCAUAUAUGUAGUGACUUUUGUAUCACUUUUAAAUGUCAUUUUUGGUUUGUAAAGGCUAAAUGUUAUGUGGUAUAUGUAAUUCGAUGUUUGGUUGGGUUCGGACGAGUCGGUUACUAUUCAUGGCCGACUCCGGAUUUCAUUUUCUUUUAUUUUGGGUUAUUUUGCCCUUUUGCCUUAUUUGCGCUCAUUAUAAGUUCCGGAACGUGAAAGAUCGCUCUAUACUGCACCGUUAGUCCUGGCGAGAGUUGGACAGGCAGUCCGCUAACCUCUUUGGUUCGCCUUAGGGGAAGGUGGGGCUGUCACGGGUACUCUGCCUCAGCCGAAAAUCGAGAGACGGUAUGCUGUUUUUUCGUUUGCCAGGAAAUUGGAGAAUCCCCAAGAAAGGCAAAAUAUGCCGUCAAAGAACGUCGAGUCAAGGGGCAACUCGCCCAAUCCGCAUCACAAUAAGCCGUAAGAUGAAGAGAGGAAUCAGAACGUAGCAAAAGACCUUGCCCAAGAUGAAGUUUUAAGAAAUGAACAACCCGAAGGGCCGCCUCCCGAUGACUAUGCCGUGGCUCCUGCAGAAAUUGUGCCAAGAUAUGUACACAGUAAGACAAUUCAGGGCGAGUAAUCGUCAGGUAGAUAAGACCACCAACAAGACGCCGAUAAGGCAUAGAGUCAGGAAGGGGCUCGUCCUUAGCUAAAGCAAGGUGAUGAUUUUGCUUCAUUGGUGUGCCGGCAGGUUUAGCACCUAACAAACCGGUCUCAGAAAUAAUAUCGAGAGCAUACUUUCUCUGACAAAGAAAAAUUCCAGUCGAAUUUCGCGCUACUUCAAGACCAAGGAAGUACUUCAAUUUACCAAGGUCUUUCAUGUGGAAACAAUCAUUCAAAUAAGUUUUAAACGCAUGAAUGGCAUCACUAUCAUUCCCACCUAUCACUAGAUCAUCCACAUAGACCAAAUGGUCAACUGAACUUUGCCACACCGAAACGUGAACAAAGAAUAGUCUGAGCCAGAUUGCUGAAAUCCAUAUUGAACCAGAGCCGCAGCCAGCUUGGCAAACCAACACCGCGGUGCCUGGCGCAGCCCGUAGAGAGACUUGCGCAGACGACACACUUUAUCCGCUCCAGGUGCGGUAAAACCUGGUGGAAAACGCAUAUAAACUUCCUCCUCAAGGUCGCCAUGCAAAAAUGCAUUGUGCACAUCCAUCUGAUGCAAUUCCUACCCACGGAUCGCUGCUACUGCCAAGAAGGUACGAACCGUGACCAUCUUCGCAGUAGGUGCAAACGUCUCAGUAUAAUCAAGACCCCCGAUCUGAUGAUUCCCAAAAACAACCAACCGUGCCUUGUAUCGCUCGAUUGUUCCGUCUGCAUGAUACUUGAUUUUGUAGACCCAUUUACUACCAAGAGCCUUCUUUCCCAUAGGCAAAGUAGAAACUGUCCAUGUCCCAUUAUUCCCUAGAGCCUCAACCUCCUUUCUCAUUGCCUCACGCCAACAUGAAUGCUGCAUUGCCUCUUUAAAAUUGGUUGGUUCAAUCCCUGUAGUUACUGCAGCCGCGAAUCGACGAUGCGACAGAGAAAAUUUAGCACAAUUCACAUAAUUUGCGAUGGGGUAGGGCGUACCUGAGAAUGCCAAGGAAGAGGAAGGAGAGCUUGAGGAACGGAUCGUAGCUGUAUGCAACACAUAAUCAUGCAAACGAACUGAAGGUUGUCGCGCUCGUUUGCCGCGACCAAGAUCCUCCGCUGUACCUGUAACCUCUGCAACUUCAGGUAUUGGUACGGUCCCAUCUGCUGUCACACCCUCUUCCACGGACUGUCCGUCAUAUUCAGAGACUGGGGGAGGUGCCUCAAUCUCAGGCACGUCCUCCAAUAUAGUAGGUUCAAUGACAGUAGGCAGAGGAUCUGGAUGUGCUGACCUUGCGAAGUCCGUAUGGGCAAAAGGAAACACGUGCUCAACAAACUCAACAUCUCGACUUUCAAAGCAAACCUUCCUAUCUAGAUCAUACACCCUCCACCCUUUUUUACCAUAUGGAUAACCCAUGAAUAUGCACUUAUGACUUCGACUUGCAAACUUAUCCUUUUCCCGAUUAAUGUUCUUAGCAUAGCAUAGGCAUCCAAAUACUCUAAGAUGAGAAAUAAAUGGAGGACUUCCAAACAAAAUUUCAUAUGGAGUUUUUCCACCCAAAACCAACGAUAGAGUACGAUUGAUUAAAUAUCCUGCAGUGAGAAUGCAUUCUCCCCAAAAUUGAAUAGGUAAGUUAGCCUGAAAACGAAGCGCCCUACCAACAUUCAAAAUGUGUCGAUGUUUCCUCUCAACUCUUCCAUUUUGUUAGGGUGUCCCAACCAUGGAAGUCUGAUGAAUAAUGCCACACUCCUUAAAAUAAUCACCUAAACAAGUAAACUCUGUACCAUUGUCACUGCGUAUAAUUUUGACAUGUUUAUUAAAUUUUCUCUUAGUCAUAGCCAAAAAAUUCUUAACAACAUAUGGGACCUCAUGUUUCCCUUUUAACAAAUAAACCCAUACACCACGAGAACAAUCAUCAACAAUAGUCAAAAAAUAGGUAGCACUACAAAAACUAGCCUCUCGAUAAGCUCCCCACAAAUCACAAUGAAUUAAUUCAAAGAUAUCACUAGCUUUACGGUCACUAAUAGGAAAAGGAAUAAGAGUUUGUUUUGCCCGGAAACACACGUCACAAGGUUCAUGAACACCUUUAUUUAUCUCUAUACUACCAUCUAUUAUAGGGAGCUUUUCUAUGACUCGCACAGAGGGAUGUCCCAACCUUUUAUGCCACAAAUCCAUAUUCUUGACUGUAGCGGCUCCAUGAGCACUGACCAGAGGCUCCCCUCGUGCGACAUACAGCCCCUCAAGCUCUUCACCCACUCCAAUCAGCAUCCUCGAAGUGCGGUCCUAGACAACACAUAAACGAUCAGUGAAUUUCAAGAUAUAAACUUUGUCACGGGCUAAUUUUGAAACAGAUAUCAAAUUGCAUCACAUUUCAGGAACAUAUAAAACACCCUUGAGAGAUAAUUUUCCUACAAGAACUGUUCCUUCUCCUGUUGCCAUAAUGUAUUCACCAUUUGGCAUUUUCACGGGACAAGGAGGUAUUCCUUGAAGCUCUACAAAUGCAGUUUCCUCUCCCGUCAUAUGAUGCGAAGCACCUGUGUUGAACAACCAUUGUAAAUAUGUCUUACCAUUAAGCCGUGGCUGAGCAACUGAUGUAUUAUUCGUGUGAGUGUUCCAGAGAGACUUCAAAGUCUCCUAAUCAGCUUUGCUCAAGUUCUCCAAUCCAGCUUUAUCAGAAUCAUCAAGUGGUCUCCCAUGGGAAACAUUAGCAGCCGCCUGUACUACCCCUUGUGUAACAUGAGCCCGUGCUACUCCACCACGACCACGCCCCUGGUUACCACAUCCUUUACCUCUUCCUUGAGUCGAAUUUCCUGGCCACCAGUCAUGAUAGCCAUGAAGACGAAAACAUGUGUCCAUGCUAUGUCUCGGUUUCUGGCAGUGAGAGCAAACUACUCCAUCGUCUUUUCGGUCCCCCCUGAAUUCCGAGGGCCUAGGCUGACUAUUUUCAUGGCAAAGCUCACCGGAUCAGACCGAUUGGGAGCUGCUCGCAUCAUUACCUGCACUUGUUCUUGCUCUGUAACUUGAGAAUAAACCCUAUGAAGGUUUGGAAGAGGGUCUGAAGCGAUGAUGUUGGAACGAACAUUACUAUAAGAUGAUUCAUCAAGCCCCAUGAGGAAUUGAUGCACUCGCUCUUCCUCUUGACGCUGUUGAAGCCGUGUAACGAAAUUACACUUGCAUCCAUUACAAGAACAAGUAGGCAUAGGAUCGUAAUCAUUCAAAUCAUCCCACAGUUUCUUGAGUCGACCAUAAUAAGCCAUGAUCGAAUCCCCGUUUUGUUUGCAAUUUGCAACCUCCGUUUUCAAUUGAUGAACUCGCACGCCAUUACGAACAGAGAAUCGCUGCUGGAUAUCAUCCCAUAAUUCCUUUGCCGUUUCCUUGUAUGAAAUCGUGGAACGCAAGCCUGGUUCGAUAGUGUUAAAAAUCCAUGACACAAUCAUGGAGUUCACUGUCCACCAAUCAUCAAUUUCAUCUGAGUUCUGGUUCGGCUCCUUAAUGGUGCCAUCAAUGAAACCUUGUUUCUUUUUUGCCCUCAACGAAAUCCUCAUGGCCUUAGCCCAUUCUUCAUAAUUUGGUCCUUUGAAUUGCGUCUGCGUAAUUAAAUUGCCUGGGUUGUCAUUCGCGCUCAAUAAGAACGGCGAAUUGGUCUUCAAACUUGAAACUUUUUGAUCUGUCAUCGUCCUAGGAUUUAUAGUUUAGGGGUUCGGUAUUGUUUUCAGAGCCAGAAGGCUCUGAUACCAUGAAAAACCAAAAGAAUUGGGAAAAGUUUUCAUAGUUUUCUCAUUGCCAUCUGCUCUAUAUAUACAAGUACAAUGUACACCUCAGACUCCCGUGACUUCAGCCCCAAUUUACCUAAUUAUGUGCAAUUACCAAUACUACCAAAUAUAGAUAGAUACUAUAAACACAAGAUACCCAAAACUGCAGCCGAGACUACAGCUCAGCCACCAAGUAUAUACACUAAUAUAUGGUCUCAUUAAUUAACCAAACAAGUGAAAUAUUUCUGAUUUUUUUUUUGGUUACAAAAAAUUUGGGCGGGUUUAGUUCCAAUAGCUACUAAGGUUAAGGCAUACCUCCAGGAUUACAAGCCAUUUAUAAGGGUUCUUAUAAAUCACCCACCAAUACAGUUCUUUCUUUAGUAAUAGAAUUUAAACGCAUGAUUUUUGUGAGGAAAUGGUUCUUACAAAUCACCCACUAAUAUAGUUCUUGCAUCAGUAACAUAAUUCAAACACAUGAUUUUUAGUGAGAAAAUGAUUCGUCCCUACCAACUUGUGUUGAAGUUGGUGAAACAUUUCUUGUUCUCAGAACACGAGCAAUGGAUGCAUAAUUAUACAAAAAUUUUGUAUCCCACAACUAAGGAAAGUUAUAUCAGAUUAUCUAUGUUAGGAGUAUUCUGAAUUCUAUAGACAGAUCACUGCAUGCAGACAUGCAUUCCUGCUUCCAGAAACCUGACACUAAUAAAAGCUUGAAUUGGAGAGACAGUCUCCAGUAUAUAGCAGUAUCUUACCAUCCCCAGUUUCCAAAUGUCCUAAUAGUGGGCAUUAUGUGGGCAAUGUUCCAGUUACGCCUGAAAGGGACAGCCAUUUAACAGCAGCACGAAAUAUCCUGAGCCUUGAUUCAAUCGUUAAUCUUCCACUAAUUAAUAAUUACUGCAUUAUAAUACUCAUUGCACAAGCGUCUACAUGCUUAACUUUACUACUUUAACUGCAAAUCACAAUAAUAACGUUUUUCAGCCAUUGUGCAGUGAACUAGAGAAGGGUUGUCAUAUUUACAUCUCUCACGAAUAAUCAAAGCUAGUGACUGAUUCUGCUGCUUCACAUUUGUGAGUAACUUCUUCAAAUAUUAAUUGACAAAACAUGAACAUUUCCUUCUCAAAUGCAAGUCAUGACCUUUUCUACGAUAAUCUUCAGUAAAAUAAAAAGUACUAGCAUAAAAUUUAGGGUUUUGAAUUAAUGUAUGUUAACGUAAAUGAAUUACCUGGGAUGAGGUCCUGAGGUUCUUCCUAACACGGUGGCAAAAGGUACACUAAAAUCCCAAAAAAAAAGUAUAAAAAAUAACCUACAUAUAUAGUUAACCAUUUAUAUCUAAAUUAGCUUAUUGGUGCUUACCGGGGAAAAAAAACGCUUAUUAGCUUGCAGACAAAAGAGUACUGUCCAGGUAAAACACCAUGACAAGGGACAGAAACUUCAGAAGGGAAAAAAAGAAUACAUCAUGGUAAAAUGAUACGCUCUUGUUUACUGAGUCAAUUAUAUGUUGAAAAUGUGACUCCACCCAGACUUGUUGUAAGCGUACGUUUUUGACAGGGGUUUGAUGAGGAUAGUAUGGACAAAACCCUUUACAAUAAUUGUAACUUAUCCAGCAUACGUAUGGUUAAUGGCAAUAUUUACUAUUUAAAUAAAGAGACAUAAAACCAUAGAGGAAGAAAAGAGGAACAGAAAGCAACUUUGUAUGGCCCAUAACAUGUCAACUCAACAGGUCUGUGAUGUGAUCUUCAUCUUCCUGCACCCCAUUUCCUCCUGUUCCUUUAACCUUAACUUCCAAUAUUCUUUUGCCUGCUUUUGCAACAAAAAUUUUGGAUCAAUCCCUCAUCAGCUGUAAGGUCAAGCGAGAAGAGAGAGAGGGAAAAAUUAUCGUCAUGGCAGGAGAGGGAUCAUCGAGUUCAAGAUCCUUAAGUGAUCAAUCAGCUGCUGCUCCUAGCCGCUAUGAAUCCCAAAAGAGAAGAGAUUGGAACACUUUUGGUCAAUAUUUGAAGAAUCAAAGACCUCCAGUUCCACUCUCCCAAUGUAAUAGCAGCCAUGUUCUCGAGUUCCUUCGAUACUUAGAUCAGUUUGGCAAGACUAAAGUUCACUUGCAAGGUUGCAUGUUUUAUGGCCAGCCUGAGCCACCUGCCCCAUGUACUUGUCCGCUUAGACAAGCUUGGGGCAGCCUCGAUGCCCUCAUCGGAAGGCUUCGCGCCGCCUAUGAAGAGAACGGAGGAUCCCCAGAAAGCAACCCCUUUGCUAGUGGUGCAAUAAGAGUUUAUCUUAGGGAAGUGAAGGAGUGCCAAGCUAAGGCAAGGGGAAUCCCAUAUAAGAAGAAAAAGAAGAAGACUUCCCCAUCAGGAGGCAAAGGAGAUGAUGAGUCAAGUUCAUCCUUGCCAUUCUCCUAAAUUCAAUCAAUGCUUUCAACAAAUGGUAAAUUUUCCUUUUACUAGAAUGUAUAGUUAUAAAUUUGGCUGUGAAGUGAUCGAUUAGUAGUAUUACUUAGAGCUUCAACUUGAGCUUCCCUCAUUCUUUCAGCAAUUAUUUCAACUACUUGCCGUGAUUGCUAAUGCAUCAGGGAAAAAGAAUUGCAUAGUAAGAAUCUGGAUUGCAUGUGAACUAACUAUGCUAAUGAAAGUGUUAUUAUCUACUUUAAACACUCAAAGGGAGUUCAUUAAAUAGAUUUUCAACCCCAGUCCCAAAAGAGAAAACAAAAAUUUUACCAACUAAAUAAAGAUUCUGCAUUCCUUUUCUGAAGUCAAAUACAUCAAUUUUCACUAUGAACCCUAGAGGUGGUGUCACUGUGCACUUGGAGUUUUUGGUUCACCUAAACCCUCUACACAAUUGUGAUCAAUCUCUUAUGAUUAGUUGAACUAGUGCCAUGAAAAAUUUCACCGAAGCACAUGAUGUUGUAAUAAGAUAGUCGUCAAAUGCAUUGACAGUGGCGUUAUUUUUUCUUGAUCUUUCACAGUUCAUGGUUAAGAAAUUAGUGACAUAUAAUAUUUGACCCACGAGAUGAGGAGGUUAAAUAGAUCCACUCUCCAUUCAUUAUCAACCAAAACAUACAAUGUCUCCAGUGAGAUCCUAAUUUAGUAGAAUGAGGUAUUAUUUUCAAGUGUAUGUCAGCCUUUCAUUUGUUAGGAAUCUUUUCGGAUUUUGCAGAUUUUGCGCCCCCACAGAUUGUCAUCUGAGGUAGCAGACACUUUUGAUGGUAUUCUACAAUAGAAAUGGACAAUUAUCCAAAUAUUCUAAUGGUUUCUUUCCAUGGUCUAGCAAUCAAAUUCUGAAACUUAGGUCCCAUCUUAUGCAUGCCUUUUUUUCAUGGCUUUUUUACGCUUAAUUUUUAAACCACAUGAUCAUCAUUACAAAACCUAGCAGAUGUACGAGAAACAUAACAUUUUUUUAUUAAUUUUUCACUGUUAAGCUAUAUUAAAACCUUGAUUUUACAACCUCCACCCCCACUAGAAUCUCUUUUCUACUGCAUUAAAUCUUUGUGAGGGCAUUUUAGAAAUUUGCACCACCAUGUUUGUUGUCCUUUGUAUCUUUACUUAGAUUGCUUUCUCUCUGCAUUAGAUUUUGUGGGACAUCACACUCGACCAUAUUUGUCACAUUGCUCUAAUUUUUCAGUGAAAUAAAGAGUGGUAGUGUUACGUUUGCAUGUACUUUGGCAUCAGAAUGAUCCAGUUAGUGAACCAAAGGAACAUCUUUUGUUUGCUAAAUAACAGCAAUUUCCAUUUCAUUUAGCUUUGCUAGCUCAACCAAUUUGUCAUGGUUUGACCUUGACCAUUACAAUGUUGAGAAAAUUGAGAGCCCUACUAUAUAGUAUUUUAGCUUUUGAAGAUUGGAUAUCAGAAUGAAAAGGAUUUUGAGAGAUUAAUCUAGGGAAUGUAAAUUGUGAUUCGUUCACAGUUGGAGCAAUAUUCUGAUAGAAUAACCCACUGUUACUACCCUAUUUGGCAGUUUGAACUUGUUCAAGUAAGACGCAAAAAUGUUUAUCCACUGAUUUUUGUUGGGAAAGCCGGCUCAUUUUAUUGGUUUUGGUGGGGGGGGAGGGAGGGGAAGCUAUGAAUCUUCAAAUUCUUUUUCUCGUUUUUGUCUAUUAUGAACUUCAAUGUAUGAGAAUGGCCACUGAUUAGCAGAAAUGGUUAGCACUUAAGUAAUCGCGCGUUUAAAUUCUCAGUGAGUUUUCGCCAUGCAUGAUUGUUUGCUGUUUGAUUGAAAUCUUGGAGACUAAGGAAUAAUGCAUUAUGCUUGGAUUAGUAGCAUAGCCAUUUUAGACUCCAAAAGUUUAGUUUAGGAUCAUAGUACAUCACAACCAUUGUGAUUUUGAAAAUCACAUACACAGCAUACUAACACCAGAGAUUUUCAUAAACCAUGUGAAAGUCUAUCUAGCACGGGUGAAAAUGCCUAAAAUUUUUAAGAAUUACAAUAGAAGAAUGCUUUUGAAUUGGGAGGUCAGAAAGUUUAGUCAUAUUAUAUUAUAAUACAAACAAAGGUUGACAAAUGUUUGUAAUUGUCAAGUGUACAAGUUCUACAAUCUUGUUAUUUGGUUUUCGUGUACCAUAGGGCGAAAACGAGAAAUAAAUGUGAGCCCUAUCUAUGAAUAUCUUGGGAAGAAGAGUAUAAUGGGAGAGCAAGAUGUUAUAGAAAAGUGAGGUUCGAGUGAUUGAUAUCAUCUUCUAUCCCAUCUAUUGCGAGAGUGAUUGAUAGAACAUUUCCACAAGAUCACCAAAUGAAAACAUACAAGUAAACAAAUAAUUUCAACAAACUAAGAUUAUUAAUUUAGCAAUAGUUUCACCCGUUUGUUUGGUUGAAAGUUACAAUUUGAGGUUACAUUUGCCCAAAUUUUUCAAGAACAUGUUAGUAGUACAUAAAUAAAGUUGCCAACGACAAAAGGUGUGAUCAUGGCAUAUAAGUAAAUGAGUCCAUUGCAUACCUACAAAUGGAAGAUGUAGUUAAGGUCCUUGGCGUUGGGGGGGGGGGGGUGGAAGGGAAGUACCUAUGGCGUUCCUUGAUUUAUAGGGAUAUCAAAAUACUCUUCCACUAGUCUUCUCUAAUCAGCGAGUCUCAACAAGUGUAGUUCUGGCCACUAAUGAACCUUCUAGCUUUAACAAAUUUGAUUCAAGAUUCAGUAAAUUGCUAACAUGUGUGCUGCUACUUAAAGAUAUGCAUUGCUUUUGUAAAUGGAUUAUGCUGCUUAAUAAGGCUGGUAAUUGACAUGCAUCUAACUCCAGAUUGUACGGCUUUAGAAUUUUUCUUUGUUGUACUGACACAUUUUUGGAGCUAUAGUCGUAAGUAUUUAACUUUCCUACGUGAUAUAUGUACUUAGGAACUGAAAUUGUCAGUUCUUGACAACGUGGUAGUUCCAGAUUGAAAGUCAUGAGUCAGGUCUUCAGUUUGAGGUAACUUUGAACUUGACUGGGAGCACUGCAUCUUGAUGUAUUCCAAUGCAAAGCAAACUGUUUGAGUCAACUGGGCUCCCAUUUUGAUGUUUAUAUUCGAUUCCUUUUCGAGUAAAUUCCGUGCACUUAAAUGUACUGACACCAUUGUACUCGUGGUGUUUGGACUAUUCUAGCUUUGUGGAGAAAAAAGUCUCGUCCAGGAAGGAUACACAAACAUACUAGAACUAGGAGUUGCUCAUUUCUUUUGUUGUUCUUGUUCAUUUGCUGGAAAAGCAUAAACUAUUUCACAGUGCUUAGUCGUUGACAUAUCAUUCUUUGAUUAGUCACAAAAAGGACAAGCUGCCCAAUAUAUAUCGCCAAUCAAAACAUGGGAAUCAGCAACUAGGAAUUUAUCUAUAUUGAAAUUGUAAGGUGAAACUAUGAGUUAUUUUGGCAUAUUUGUCUUGGGAUAGCUUUUUUCUGUAUAUAUUUUUUCCCUUUCCCCUUUACUGGCUGAGUUGAAAUAUGACAUCUUAAUGAUUUAUUUCUAACAUUUGGUAGGAAUCUAGUUGUCUCCAACAACGGACCGUGGGGAUGCAACUACAUUCUAACAGAUGAUUAUGUGUACUAUUUGUCUGGAUUCUAUAUUAUUUUCUGGAUACAGAACUAAGACCAACAAAUAAAAGUUCAAGUCAAGGACAUUGUCUUUAAUUGAGUAGAUUUAAUGACAAGAUACUUAAAGCAAAUCUAAUCUAGCUACUAAAGCAAGUCUAACACCACUCCAACCCAUGCAUGUACUAAGUGGCGACCACUUUUGCUUUGAUUUGCCAUACAAGAUUUGCAUAUCAAGAAUCAGAAGUUGGUCUUCUCAUCGAUACGAAAAACUAUCAAGAUUUGAAAGCAGAUUUACUCCUCCAGUGGAGAAAACAAAACAAAUUUUCUGCACUAGUAUAAUGGCUUCCGUGUGUUGCAGAUAGUUUAAUUAAUUAAAUUUAUGUAAAAUUUUUCAAUAAUUCUUGGUAGUUAUGUUCCAAAUGUUUUAAGACAAUUUUUAAGUUGAUGAUUAUGUUGUCUUUGAGCAGGACCAUGUUGGUUGAUGAAGCAGUGGACAAGUCCAACUGGGCACAUUCUAUUGAAGUUGCAAAAUACCAAAAGCCAAAAAAAAAAGUUGAAACGUAUCACUCAUCAAUUAUCAUUCACUACUGCAGUUCCCUUCUGUAUCCAAAGUUGCAGAUUAGUGAAAUCCAGUAAUGACUCAUUUUAGCGUGUUUUAGGAGCCGAUUCUUUUGCUGUUUUGUGGGUUCUCGGCCGGGCUCCCUUUGAGGCCAUGAAUUCUUGUAGAAGUGAGGCUUCGUGUUUGUAAAAUUGCUAUUACUCUUGGUAUAUAUUGCUUUCUUCACCUUUUUUUUUUUUUUUUUUGGCACUCAAUAUAUAAAUACUGCUACUAGAGAAGCAUCCUGACUUCAGGUUUGCUUAGUAUGAUGGUGUUUACCUGAACAAGAAGCCUUGGAACACAGAAUGUUGCCAAAAAAAAAAAGGCAUGAAAAUGCAAAUAUUAUACUGUUAAGAGUAGGAAUUAGGAAGGAAAACUUGUCUGCGACUAAUGUUUCUCAUCUUUGUCAAUAGUUUGCUUUACUUCCCGAAAAUGCAUUCCUAAUUUGAGGGUACAUCCGUCACCAAUAUCAUGGAAAAUGAUGCAUGAUCCGGACUUUUAUUUUAUUAUUUUGUCUUCUUGCAUGCAACUGCUCUCUCCACCAUGCAUCAAGUUUUUUUUUUCUUUUUUUUUUGUUUGGAUUUUACAAGGGAAAACGCAAAGUCUUUAUUGUUUUUCUUGAUAAUUAAGUUUUUGAAGACCAAUUUUUUGCAAAGUCCUUUGUUGGUUACAUAGUAUUUAAUGGAUCAAGAAAUGCAUCUACCCUAGGGUUUAGUAAUUUCUGGAUUUUCAAAGCUAAUAAGGGCCUUGUUUGGCAAGCAAGUUUUUGGUCAAGUUUAUGUGCUAUAAGUUUUUUAAAAACUUUAGUUAUAGUAAACUCAAAAAAAUUUUCAAAAUUUUUAAAGUAUACACUUCAAAAUAUCCAAAAAUUUAUACAUUUCAAAAAAAAAUUUUACAACUUCUACAAUAAGGUACAGUAAAGUUUCAGACAAACAUCCAAAAAACUCACUUGUCAAACGAGGCCAAGGUGUUGGAGCAGUUCAUAUCAAUAAUUCAAUAUAUAUAUAUAUAUACAUAGCCUUUGGUCCAACACUACAAAUUGAGUGACUUGCAUCAACAAAGAAUACACACUCAUACACACACACACACUAAAACCAGUCAAAAUGGUAUUUAAAUCCAGGGUCACUUGCUUAAGUUUCGCAGAUUAUUUCAUUGCCAAAAUAAAGAAAUGUGUUAUAUCAACUUAUUAAUAUUGCUACUCGUAGAAAUCUUAUUGUAAGAGUUUUUUUUUAUUAUUGAGCCUGUAUUGUCAGUUCCAUCCUGGACUGCCCUUGAUCAUGAGGACCGUCAGUCAGUUAAUCAGAAGGGGAAAAUAGAAAAGAAAGAGAAGAGAAAAGCAAGCUGCGCUGGGAAACUUGUUCUACAUGAAGAGCGAAAAUAAAACAGCCAAAAAGAUCUAGUUUCAAAGCUACUUCAAUUGAUAAAGUAUGUCCAUGCUUUAAGGUUUUCAUGUAGAUUUUGUUUAAGUGAUAGAACAAAAUUUUCCUAUUCUAAAGCAAAUUCACAAUUGAAGAGAACAUGUAUGCGAUCUUGACCAGGCUUGGCGGACAAUCUUCUAAUUCUGGAGUGUCAACAAAAUUGUAUUUUACAUGAAACUUUCGUCCUCUGUUUGUCAAUGAUGAAGAAAUAAGAUACAUUAAUUCCUGAUUCUUGGUUUUGUUCUUUGAUUUCUCCCCUUCUGUGGUAAAGAUAUCUAUUGCGCGCAUUCCUAGAGGACAGAUGAUAAUUAUUUAUUUAGGAUAGAUGAUUAAUGCCAAAACUGGAAAUUAAUACGACUUGCCACUCAUAAAGAUGUUAUUAUUCCUCUAACCCUUCAUGUAAAUAAAGUAUUGUCACAAAUUGGAGGAGAUUGAGAAGAUAAGUGAGUAUUCUAAUCAUUUCGUUUCAAGGACUACUAGAAUGAAUUUGUUUCUUAAGUAUAUCGUCAAAGGAUUUGUCCUAGCUAAGUAUAUAGAUGAGAAUUUUUUAGCAUAAUUUUAAGAAAGUGUUUUCUUUCAUUAUGCUUGCAGCUUCUGGUAUUCACUGCAUGAGUUGAGGUAUACUUCUAUUAAAAAUCAUAUGCCAUUUCAAAGAAGCUGUCUCGUGGAACUAUGAUCAGCUACUAAUGGGGAAAAAAAAAAAUAGCCAAAGAGGUCCAAGGAAAAUAGGGGUUAAGAACGAAAAGAAGUAGAAGAAUUUAUGUUGCUUGGAAGAAAAAUAAGACUAAUGCUUGAAGAAAGAAAAGAGCAAGAUUGUGGAUCGGACCGAAGGACAAACUAAACUUUUCAAUGCCUAAAUUGAGUUCAGCUCAGCAAGAGUUUGUUCAAAUUUGGUUUACCAACUUAUCAAACCGUAAUUAAAUAGUACUUUUGUAUUCGAUAAAUGUUCGAGCUUAGUUCAAAUUUGGCUUGAUUAGCAUAAAAUUAAAAUUUAUAAGUAAAAAACUCAAGCUACUCGAGUUUGAUUUGAAUUAAGCUCGAUAAAAACUCAUUUGAGUUCGCCUUGGUAGAUAAACAAAUCAAACUUAAACAAAAUUUCAAAUUCGAUAAAAUAAUCAAAUAAUUUUGCACACUAGGGUGUUCGACUUGAUUAGCCUCAUUUACACCCCUAAUCGUGAACAAAGAAUUUUAUUUAUGGGAGAAAGAAAGGGUAAUUAAAUAUUUUUUUAUUCUAUUUGAAGUUUUCACUUUUCAGAGGGAAAUCGGAUAAAUAGAUAAAAGAAAACAAAGAAAAAAUAGUAAACAUGCUACUUAAUGGUAAUCUUGAGGAGAAAAGAGAGAAAAAAAAAACAAAGUAAGAAAGAAGGCAACCAGCACUGUCAUCCCCUAGCUAAUAUUGUAACAUAAUUAUAAGUUACAACAGCCAGAUGAGAGUAUUAGCUGAAUAAUCUUGCAUUGCAUCUAAACUUUCUUGCCUAUCCAAUAUCUUAAUACAAAUAGAGUUUGAGGAGGCUUAUGAUGUUACCAUUUUUGUCGGUGUAUGAAAUUUCUCUUUUACUGUCAGAAGCAAGUGUAGAUUUUUUUUUUCUAAAAAAAAAAAAAAAUAAGGAACAGUAGCUUAUAUCAAACCGGACCAUUAUGCUGAAAAGCGUUUUUUCAGCCUAAAGUUUUGGGCAUAUUUUCUACAUUUUUCUCUUUUAUGGCUAUAUCUUAAGCAUUUUGGGUAACCUAAAAGCAAAGCAAUCUCGAAAGAUGAAGCUAUGGGUUCUCAGAGUAGCUUUGAGCGGUCAUUUUUGGUCAUGGCCUUGGAUAGACCCGAGAACUCUUCCAGAUCAAAAGUGGCAUGCAUGAUUCAUCUUCCAACAUUAACCUGGAUCUUCAAGCUGCCGGGGUUGCCAUGCAACAUCAGCUCAACCAGGGCUGGGGGACCAGAACAAAGCCAUUUGAAAAUGGCUUAGGAAUUAAAGAAUAAAGGAAACUCUUUUGACUUUGGGAAGACACAUCAGAAGUUAGAAAUUUUCCCAAAACAUCACUGUUUGGAAUAGAACCUCUAUAUAUAUAAUUGUUGUUAAAAUUAUGAAGUACAUACAAUUUACGAGAACAUGGACAGGUGUCUGAUUUCGACUUCCAAGAAAAUGGGAUACUACUACCAUCAACCUGACUUGAUCAUCAGAAAAGUACAUCCCAGGUGGACGGCCAUGACAACCGUUCCUGCCAGUGGACGGUCAUAAUUUGGUCUCAAAAUUUUGUGCGGUUCAAAUCACCCACAAAAAUUUGUUCUAAAAUUAUGUCGUGUGCAAAGAAAGUUACACCGUUUGCUUUGUGCCCCUUGUCCAUCCCAGGUGGCAGCCAGCGUUUUGAGAAGGCAAACUAGAACAAGCAUCGGCAUGAGGGAACACAGUAGUGAAUUUCCCAUUUCGACAGCAUUCAAGAAAGGAGGAGUCCGAGUUCUAUAUUGUCAUGAUCCAGACAAGCAUUAGGGAGAUGAGAGACAGAGAUACAAACAGAUACAUUGUCACUCGAUUAAUUUCCCAUGUCGAUAAGAUUCAGCAAAGUGAUUCGUUUCCCAUACUGUCAUGAACCACGCCAUGCCACAUACAAGCACUAAACAACCCGGUAAAAAAUUGAAGCCUUGGCGGCUUUUACUCAGUCUACCAAUGCAAAUGAAACGAGAGAAGGUUUUUUUUUUUUUUUAUAUAGAUAUAUAUAUAUAUAUAGUAACAACAGCCGAGACAACAGAGGCCACCUAUCAACCAUUUACAAGUUUCCUAUCUUACGUUGUUAUCGUCAAUGGAAAGAGAAGAUAUGCUUCAAAUAGUACAAAGUCCAACUAUCACACAGUCAAGAGUAGCAAACCCUAUUAAAAACUACUAUAUCUAGAAACAUCCGCCUAGCAAAAACUAGCCUAGGUGUUCCACAGCUGAACUAGAAUCUACCUGUACUCCUCUAAAAGAUCAGCCAACACUUCCACAACAGAGAUCUUUCACUGAAGGCAUCUACAAGUAACCAUCUGUCAGCAUGGAAGAAAGAAAUGGUUAACAAACGUUCUUUCACUGUUGAAGUCAAAAAAGACAAAAUGACAAACAUCCAAAGAGAGAGUAGACAUAGUGUAGUAUUUGUUUACAACUGUGAUCGUUAGAUACUCUACAAGUUGUCAAACCAAAAAGCUGGCAAUUUUGGAUACCAAGAAAGUAUCACAUGGCAAAAGGUUAGCAAUAAACCUUAAAAGUCUUGCUUUGAUUUUCACAUUCUCAUCAGAAUCUUAGUUGUUUCUCAUGCAGCAUAUAGAAUCCAAGGAAAAAGGUUUGAAUGAGGGAGAAAAGCUGAACAAGAAGGGGUGCUUGAUGCCGUCAUAUGCACAGUUUCAUCAAUAAGACAGAACAUGUUAAACAGGGAGAAGGGGCAGGAAGGUCAUCAGAAGGACCGUCUCUGAGUAAUUCACGGUCAGAAUUUGAUUCAAAAAAAUUAUACGAUCCAAAUCACUUCUUAUAUCUCGUUUUUAACAAAUUCGUUCUAAAAUUACACAUUAUACAAACAAAAUUAUGCAGUGUGCAAAAUACACAAAAUCGCCAGGCCUGCAACCGUUCCUGUCCGUGGUCCGUUAAAUAGGAGCAUUGAUACUUGUUCUGGGUCCAAGAAGAUAACAAACAGAAUCAGGGCAGGUUGCAAAGAAAGAUGCUAAAGGUUUAGUUGGGUCUAUAUACCCACUGGCCCCUAACACAAGCCUUCUUAGGCUCCCUGUCCCCCUAGAUUAGGAUAGAGUAAAUUAUACAAUGUAUCUGACAACAACAAAAAAAAGAAAGAAAGAUGCUAAAGAGGUGCUGCAAACUCUUUCGCUAUUGAAUGGUAGAUGAGCACUUAGAACAGUGUGUACAAAAGGUUUAUUAUUACUUGAGCACACAUUUCACUUGUGAAUGUAUUUCAAUUCCUUGGGAGUUCAUGAGAUGAAGCCUGUCCAUAAUCCAACAAAAAACUAGAGAAAUGAAACCUGUCCAUGAGAUGUCUCUCAGCAGUCACUCUUGAUACCGCUAGUCAAUAAACCACAACUUAUUAGUUGAGCAAGACGAGGAAGCAGAUCCCCAAGUUCUUUGUUAUUUUAUAUUGUUUUCCAAGAGGAUCAUACCAUAACUGACUCGGACAGGCUCCUUAACAUCUCCUGAUACCACUCUGCUAAAUUUCAAGUCCAUCUUCAAGGAGCAAAUUACAUCUUAUAAUAACACAUUUCCAUAUUGAGAGGACGGGACAGAGGGAAGCUAAUCUAAAUCAGUUACCACGCAAUAUUGUUCAAUGAAGGCUGUAUGUAUUAUGUAUAAUGCAUUAUGCUCUUUUAAGCUUUAGGCAACCUAGCCAGACGACAAUAUCAAAGUCAAGCUCUAGUGCUUAGGCAAAGACAAAGUUCAUAAAAUACACCAGAGGUGCCAAAAAAAGGGGAGGACAUUGAAAUGGAGUAAUUAAAUGGGGAAACUCCGGGACCAUCCUAAACAUACACUUGGCAAUAUGUUCUGCUGAAUUUAAUAACAUACAAUAUGAACGGAAGAGAGAAAAAUCACUCAACAUAUAUUGCGCCUUAACAUCAGCACUCACAAAUCUAAGCUUUUGGGACACAUGGCAAUGACUACCGGUUAAGAAUCAAAAGACUACCAUCAAAAUCUCCUCCAUCAUCUCCUACCUCCGCAAUUCUUGAACAGCAGCAUAACCGCCACUGUUCUUUAAGCAAGUAGGUGUCUUGUACACUGCAAUGUAAGUCCAUACUCCAUAGACACAACAACCUCUCAUCAGCACACUAUAAUGGAGCAAUCGAAUACUGUCUCACCUCAUUCAAAGUGAUUAUACUAUUCCCCAUAUUCUCUACUUCGAUGGCAGAAAAAGACGUGAAACACCUCUCACUAAAAUAGUUUACCUGUAAUUCCACCACCUACAAGUUGGCCUACGACAGUUGGUAUGGCAACAUCUCAUUUUUUUUCAUUUUAAUGGCUAUCAAUCAUAAGCAACUACUCAGUUUCGAUCAGUACCUCAAGGACGCAACCAAAAAAAAAAAAAAUUCAAUACUCGAAACUGAAAAUUCCAUCAUUACAUGCUAUACUGAAACUAGAGUCGUGUAACAUUGCCAGCAUUACCCGAGACAAAAUGCAAAUGCACAGAUAAACUUACCACCAGAUUGUGAAUUGCGCUUAGAUCGCUUAAGCUUUUCGAGCUGGACCUGGGAUUCCAUAAAAAGUUUCAUCCUUUGAAUCUCCAAAUCCUUGGCAAAUUGCAUUCUCUGCUUCUCCAACUCAACCAUUUGCCUCUGUUUCGCCUCCUCUACUCUCUCAUAUAUGUCCGCAAAUCCCCUUAUCGCCUCCGCCAACUUCCUAUACCCUUCUGCCGCCACCUUCCCCGCGGCCCCCCUCCUCUUUUUCCUCCUCAUCCCACCCGACCCCAGUCCAACCGCGGCAGCACUCGACGUAUCAGACUCUUCCUCAUCCUCGUCGUCCUCCGCCACCGCCGCAGCAGCUGCUGCCAUCGCCGAGAAGUUCCGUCGGAAAACCGCCUCCUCCCCCAUCGCCUGAGCUGGCGCAGGCCGCUUAGACCUUGGACCCACCGGCACCGCCGACGGCAACGGCGGCAACACUGGAAACUCUUUCCUCACCGUCAUCGUAGCCGGCGCAGACGCAGGCGCCGGUGACGGAGAAGGAGUAUUUUUUGCAGCGAGAGAAUUUUUCCUCGUCACCGGAGGAGUACCGGAAGGAGGUGCGUUGGCCUUGAUAAAAGAAUCCCCGAUGAGAGAAUCCAGCGAUGCGAAAAACGGCCACGUAGAAACAACCCGGCCGUUCGAUUGCAAGAAUUUAGCUUUCUCGAGUUUGUACUUUUUCUUCAAGGUAUCGAUGCGGUUCUUGCACUGGAUAUCGGUCCGGUGGAGCUUUUUGGUGUGGGCAUGGUCGGCGUUAACGGCGUCGGCGACUUCUUGCCAGUGCUUCUGACGAAGGUUACCUCGGUUAAGGUCCAAAUAAUGGGACCCCCAAGCUUCAAUCAAAGUAUGGGUGGCAUCCUCCGACCAACAGUCCUCUCGAAUCGGGAAUGACGUAGCUUUAGUUGUUGUUGAUGGACGGGGAGGUGGGUGGGGAGGGAAUAUGUCAGCUGAAGAGGAGGGGGGAGGAGGGGGGGAGGGGGAGGGAGAAGGAGGGGUGGUCGGGUUGGUGUUGGUGGAAGUUGGGGGUAAGCCGGCGUCGUCUUCGUCGGACAUGGGUGGGGAAUGGUGGGAGGUGGUAGUGGUGGUGGUGGAGGAGGAGGAAGGGGAGGUGGAGUUGAGAGGAGGAGGAGGAGGAGGAGAAUGGGAAGCAGAAGCAGGUGAGGGUCGACGGGCCGACGACAUAACGGGAAAAGUAUGACCAAAGGCGCCGAUGAGGUGCGGGGGGUCAGUGUGGCGUAGGGGAUGGGAAUUGCAGUUUGGUCCUUGGGCGGGUUGGUGGGUGGAGCAGUGGUAUUGGGUUAAUGGGUAAAUGGAUUUAUGGGUUUGGGCUUUUGGAUUUAUUGCAUUUUGGUGGGAAGGGGUGACUCUGGAGGUCUACAAAUCUGUAUAAGUUAAUUUUGUACUUUGUUUUUUUUUUUUUUUUGUAAUUGUACAUUUGUGCCCUAAAUCAAUUUGUACAUGUAUUGCUAAAAAAUCUUCAAAUCUGUAUAAGUUAAUUUUGUACUUUGUUUUUUUUUUUUUUUUGUAAUUGUACAUUUGUGCCCUAAAUCAAUUUGUACAUGUAUUGCUAAAAAAUAGGAGAACUUAUUUGAUCAAACCUUCAAAGUAGUGUAGAAACGUGGGGAAGUAAUCGUGUAUUUUUAUCAUUUUUCUUGUAAAUUUAUCAAAUAGUCAGCAAAAUUACUUUGGUAAUUGAGAUUCUUUAUUAGUGCCCCCAUCAUAAUCAACGUACGGCGAUGGAAAUGUGUAAGGUGACAAUACACACUAUUUAGAACAAGAAACAAAUCAAACUUUGUAGUAUUCAAACUUAUUAGUUGUUUUAACGAGUUUGAAAUUUUGUUCAAACUUAUCUUGUUUAGUCAUUAUAUCGAUUUUGAACGAGUUUUUUUUUUUUUUUUUUAUCAAACUUGAGAGUUAUCGAGCACAAGAAGUUGUUCAAAUUUGGAUUGACUAAUUAACGAAUCGAAUUGAAACAAACUCUUAUCAAAUCGAACUCGAUUCGAGUAUCUGAUAGUUAGGUUCAUCUUUCAAUUCGAAAAGCAUUCUUUAGAAGAUAUUACAAAUAACAUAUUCUUGGGCCACAGAAGGUCUUUAUUAUAUCUUGAGUAAAUUGUUAUUUAACGCUUUGAGAUCUUUGUCAUCUCAAGCUCUCUCACAAAUUUAGAAAUUCUUGUCCAUUUGCCAUUGAAACAAAAAUCCUUAAUCACGAUUGAGGGUAGUCUAACUAUGUGGGUAUACCUCCCAUCUGCCCCAAUCCUUUCAAUCACCAGGAUCAGGCCCAAGCCAAUUUUGACAAUUAGAGAUGCCAUUACUGUGAAAGCCCAAGGAUGACGGGCCUACAGUUUAGUAGGCCCAUUUCAUUGUGUUAAUCAGAAAUAAUACAAGAAACAAUAAUAUAUCAUACUACAAGAACCUCAGUCCAAUUGGCACAUUCCAAUUGCCACUGCAGAAAUAUUGAAUUACAUUUCUCUCUUUUUGAUUCUUUCUUGCCUCACCUUCUUAAAGAAUUCAAAAUAGAAAGAAACAGAAAAUAGCACCUUGAGUUAUGUAGUGUAGUAAGCAAAUCUAACCCAAAAAGAAGAAUUCUUAGUUAAGAGAGAGAGAGACAGAGACAGAGAAUUCUUUUUGUAAAAUCAACCAUCCAAUAUAUGUACUAUGUCCUGUGUAGUACCUAAACUAAAGGGUUUCGUGCUUAAAAUUAAAUUGUCAAGUUUUCAUUUCAUUGAUGUUCUAAAAUAAGAGUCACAAUUUCAAAAUUAACACAUAUUUUUCAAUCUUACUAUUUGAAAAAGUAUUUUUUUUUAAAAAAAAAAAAAAAAAACUUCAAUGCACGUCUAGUUAUGAAAUAUUUUGAACUGAAAGAAUACAUAUGUAAAUUCAUCAGUGUCAUCUCAUCUGAACAACGUAAUAAUUGUGAUAUCUGCAUAAAAAGUUAAAUUCCAAGAAAUGACUCUAUAACACUGGGACAGAGGGAGGGAGUACUAAUAAUUGGUUUUUAGCAAUCAGUCAUCAUCAUCAUGCAUCAGGCUUUAACCUUUGAGUUGAUGAGGCAUAAAGAAGAAGGGGUUAAAAAACACCCCACAACACACGUCCUUGAUCUUAUGGCAUUUCAUCCCAUGGUGAAAAGGGCAAUUGAUUGGACAAAUGCUUGUGCGAUAACUCCGCGGGACUCUUUGAUAUUUGUCCCCAUUCCCAAUUGUCAAACGGCACGUGGUAGCUGCAGGGCCAUGAGUGCUUCAGACCAGAACCAGCAGACAUGAAUCCAAGCAUCCAUCGAAGAAGAAAAAUGAAGCCGUGAACACAGGAAAUGAUGACAUAACAGUGUGCUGCAAUGCAAUUUCAACUUGUGGUGGAGGAAACUCAAAAAAUGUCUAAUGUUAUAGGUAAGUAUAACUUAUCAACGGGUGUUAUUAAUAGUUGGUGGAUUUUUUUUUUUUCUUUGUGGAUAAAAGCAGUAGGGUAAUUGGUACUUGAAGGGAUGGUACGUGGAUAGUACCAUCUGCCAUGUGUAGAACUUCUGCAACUAGCAGAAGAUUGGGAAUUUGGGGUACCCCACUUCUUGUUAUCUUGUACUAGUUCUCACCUCUCAGUGACCUUAUUUUUGGAGAUCAUCUAAGUGAGGGCUUUAGUUCAAAUAUGUCCAGUUCUUAUGCUAUAAUGGAAAAAAUGUUGGGAUGAUUUUUUUCUUUUUUGGGUGUUUUUGGAAAACUUGCAUAGUAGCACCUUGUUGGAAAGAGUGCAUGUGAGGUAAAUCGGUAAUUGGAGUAUUGCCUUGAAAGAUUUCAAAAGUUGAGUUUGUUUUUUCAGAAAAAAAAAUAAAACAUAUGUGUUUGGAUAUCUCAUUAUUCCAAAUAAUAUUCCGCUUGUAUUAUAAACACAUUUUUCAAUCCACUUAUUUAUAUUUCUAACCAUCUUUUUAUCUCAUAUACAUCAAAUCACAAAAAGUGUUACAGUAAUUAUUUCAAAUAAUACUUUAUUCAAACGGAAUGGUGUCUCACCUACAAGAGCAAUGAGUUUGUUUUUUUUUUAAAAAAAAAUUGUUUUAAUAAUGUACUUGUGUCUAAGGAAUCAUAAACUCCAGCCUUCCUUUAGAUGCAUGUAGAAAGUAUUUUUCAAAGAAGAAAAAACUUGGCAUAAAUAUGUUAGAUGUUUGAUCUAGGUUGUAGUUAGUCUGACUGUAUUUCGAUAGUAAAAUUAUUUUCAUUUACUGUAACACUUUUUGUGAUGUGAUGCAUGUGAAAUAAAAAGAUGGUUGAGCAUAUAAAAAGAUGAAUUGAGAAAUGUGUUUAUGAUACAAGUUAGAUAUUAUUUGGCAAAUUUGAGCUAUCCAAACACGAACAAUUUCCUAAUUAACUUCUUGUUUUUCCAACUAGCUUAUUAAUCUCACGUACAUUAUAUUCCAAAAAAUAUUACAGUAAUUAUUCUAAAUAAUAUUUUAAAUAAUCCCCUGUCUCAACACACUCUGUGUUACUAUUUUUUACAUUAUAAGGGCACACUUUAAAUUCCCUAUUUUUUUUUUCUGUGUCCGACGAGUUUUGCUUGGAGAGAAAUGCAUAAACUAAUUAACUAAUAUUGCACAAUCAUUCACCUUUACCAUACUACUACUCUCAACGAAUUUUGAUGUUUCUACUACCAUGAAUCCAUUUGAAGAUUUCAAGAAAACCUCUAGCUAAACUUUUUCGACGAAAUCAUAUUUGCGAGGGACCAAAAGCAUAAUCAUACUGGCAAUUUUGAUAGUACUUAAAAAAAAAAAAAGCAGAUGCAAUAUUGAAAGAUGAGUAGAUAUGCUCAUUUCCUCUUGCUAGAUAAAAAGGGCUUUGGUGAUAAGGAAAGGAGAUUAUAAAUCUAUUAUUACUGAUUCAUAGUGAAGCAUGUGGCUGUAGUGUUUUUAUUUGAUUGAUGCAGACUUGUGAUUCAUUCAAUUUGGAAACUGGUCCUCACGAUGGUCUUUGUCAUUGCACAUCGAAAUUGAGAAUUAUCCCCUCCACAAUCUAGAAAUAUUUUUAUGAUUAAUCAACAGCAAAGACAAUAACUUUUCUGGGCCCCAAUGUAAACUACUAACCUUAUCCGAAUAGAAUCCUUACUCUUUGGGAUAAGGCUAGUACUAAAAAUCUUUCAAAAGACUCCACCAAAUGUCAUGUACAUAUGUUGCCCCUGUGGGGGUUUCGUUCCCACGUCGGUAUUGAGGGGGUUUGAAAAUGGAUAGAUAAGUCUCCUGGACGCCUUCAAAAGUUACCGGCUUUUGAAGGUUGCUCGGGGAUCUAGGUUUAUUUGUCAAAUUCUUGAGUGUUCUCGAGAAAAUGAGAGAAAAAAAUAAUUACGGGGAUGCCAUACCGGGGUUGGUGGGGGUUAGUUAGCUCUUAGUAGCAGCCACCCUGCUGGGCUUGCCCCUGUGGGGGUUUCGUUCCCACAUCGGUAUUAGGGGGUUUGGGAAUGGGUAGAUAAGUCCCCUAGACGCCUUCAAAAGUUGCCGACUUUUGAAGAUUGCUCGGGGAUCUAGGUUUAUUUGUCGAAUUCUUGAGUGUUCUCAAGAAAACGAGAGAAAAAAAAUGUCAUGUACAUAUGUACAUGAAAAUUAGUAAGAUCAUACCACUUCUUUAAGAUACUUGGUAAAAAUCCAGUAAAUCACUUGUAUAUGUGUGUGUCCUGAUUUUUUCUGGUAAUUGGAGUCAAUUCCAUUCAAAUUUUGUAAUGCUAAAUAAGGGGAAAAAAAAAAAAGAAGAAGACAGCCUCAUAUCAUUGAAUGUUCAAAUUAUGCAUAUGAUUUUCUUCUUUUUUUCAGUAAACGGGAGGUUUUGAACUGGAUCUCUUAUUUAUAAUUCCUUCUAUUUUACCACCUUACUCUCAUCCCGCCACCCUCUGAUUUUCAUUGUUAUACUAGUAUAUUAUAUUUCACAUUGAGAUUUUUUUAAAAAAAUUCUUUUUCCAUCUCAAGCGCCAGACUAAGAAAAUCAAAGAAACUAUGAUGUUACCUAAUUGUUUAAUACCUCUCAAUACAUCAAUCAUACUGUUAUAUCAUCUUUCCUUUUUUUUUUUCCCUUUGAGAACUCAAUAUACUUACCCUCAGUGAGACUUAUCUGAAUUCAGCGUGAGGAGCGCUUGCAAAGUCCGACUCUUGCCCGGAAGUGGAUGGCCUGACCUAGAACUUUUCGAGGUGCCUCAUAUAGGAGUCAAAUUUACUACCUCCUGUUGCCAUUAAUAACCCGCUUACUAGCUGCCCCAAACUCAUGGGUUAUCAUCUUUUCUUUCUUUAGUACUUAUGUGUGUGUCUGAUUGUUUUGUACAUAUCAAAAUUACAAGGACUAACUUUAAUUUGCACUCUCAAACUUUUAUAAAAUUUUUAUUUUAUACUCUAAACUUUAAGUUUGCACACUUUGCAUUAUAAACUUUCAAUUUUAAAUACUUUGCACCAUAAACUUUUAAGAUUAUCCCAUUUAAAUCCAAUUAACAACAACUUUAACAAAAUUAAUGGCAUAGAAGACCCAACAAAUCAAUGACAAUAUGCCAAAGGUGGUCAAAAGCAUCAAGAUAUCAUAAUAAAAUAAAAUAAUGAAUUGUCAUUAAUUUGCGCCAUCUUUUAUUUUGUUAAUUUUGCUAACAAUAUGAGUGAUUGUGACCAUAUAAAUCAAUGACAAAAUGUUGAAAGUGAUCAAGAAAAGGUUAAGAGAUUGCAAUUAGAACAAAAUGGUAUAUUGUCAUUAAUUUUCACUAUGCUGUAUCUCGUUAAUUUUGCGAAGGUAAUUAAUUAUUGGAUUUAAACGGGACGAACUUGAGAAUAGAGGGUAUAAAAAAGAAUUUAGGGUGCCAAAUACCCAAAAUUGAAGUCUAAAAUACAAAGUGAAAAAAUGAUACCAGCGUGUAAAGUGAAGUUUUUUCAAAUUACAAAUUAACAUGUAGACAGAGGUAAUUAUCACACAAACUAUAAACUUUCGGAGUCAAAACUCAAAAAGAUGAUUCAUGUUAUUCUCCUACUAGAUUGAGAAAUCAUAUAGUUGUGAGAUAUGUUAGUUUUUGGAGCUAACCCUGUCGACCAUAUAUCCUUAUGCAGAUGCUUCAAUCGUUUUCUUCGUAGUUCAUCAUAGAUAAGUUGCUUAAUUCCUAGUGGGUUUUUUUGACUUUUUUGAGCGAAUCAUGCAUGCAUCUCUAACAAGGUAUGCCUGGAAGUAGCGACUGUCAAAAUCAUAGUUGUGAGGACUUGAGCCUCCUCCUUAAAUAUGCUAUUCCUAUCUGGUAUUGUUUUGCUAGAUUGGAGUACCAGAAUUUUGUUCCAAGACUCUUGACAAUAUUAGCAAAUUUCCUAAUACAAAGGCCAUCCAUCCAUUUAGCUUUGUUCAUUUGAACUCGGAUAAUUUAAGUUGGAAUGCAUUCACCAUGCAAUAUUUGUUUUGUUUUAUUUCUAUUAUUAAAUAAGCAAAUCUAGAUUGGUACGUAUUACUGUCUCCAUAAACAUUAGAAUUUAGUUGAGUGCACAUUAUGUAGCAAAAAUUUACACAAAACAAAGGUACUACUGCAUCUUUCUGUUUGCAGUAUAAGAUCAAACGCUAGAAUUCACACCAGAUUAUUAAACUUUUUUUUUUUGGACCAGAUUAUUAAAGUUAUACAUGUUGGAACUUUUGUCAAAUGUGAUUCUUUAUUUCCUGAUUCUCUCUUGAUUGACGAACACUGAGUGGUGGAAUGAACUUAUCUAACCUAAACCGAGCACAAAUGAUGAAUUGUUUGAAAACCCAUAUCAGCAUCAUUCAGCCCCACAGGGGCCACCAGGCACACUUGAUUUGGUAGGCGGCUAAUUAUGAAUCACUCAUGUCAUUACCUCUUAUUUUAGAAAUUAUCUGUGUUUGUAUAGCACCUCUUUUUGGAUAAUUAACUGAAAAUGCUCUGUGUUUUGUCCAUCAUGGUGUCUUGGGGAAUUUACGAUAUCCCCAACACAAGGAUCAGAAUCCAGACUUGAAAAUGAUUACUGAAUACACUUGUCUUGUUCAAGUGAAAAUUUUUAAAACGACUUCACUCACAGAGAAAACGACUAACAAUCAUGAUAUUUCGAAACAACAGACAUAAAUAUGAGAAUCUCUUACAAACAUCUAAGUACGAAUAUAACUUGCAUGGUUUACUUUUAGAACGUGAAAGAUUUGACAAUUGGAAGAUGCAUGCACGGUAUAUUUACUCUAAUCUACACGUAAAAAUAAAAAAUAAAAAAAAAAGGGUAAAGAGUGAUUCUACAUGCAUCAGAUAUAAAUAAAGCCAAACGCUAUACCAUAUCCUCAGAAAGCUGCACAUCUAAAGAAGAGAAUGUUUCGACAAACUAUCGAAAUACUUUAGAAUAGAUGCUGGAAGUUAAUUCUGUUCUUGUUUAACAGAAAUGCAAUUUGAAGAGUAUAUCUUGUGACAAAAUGAUGCCACAGGUAGAGGCAGAAUUGAUUGAGGACCUUAUCCUAUAUUCUAAAGAAGCAAAUAACUGUAGUUAAUGGGGCAAUUGCAUGCGGGUUCACUACUUCAUCUACUAAUAGCACUCGAGAGUGUACAAGUUACAGCAGGAACAAAAAAGGCACAAACGCCUCCAUCCAAUUUGCUCCUGGAUUCUCCAAAGUUGGAAUUCAAGUUUUACAAGAAGUUGGCAAAUCCUAAAUUUUUUGAAGUAUCGGUCCUUUUUUUUGGUUUAUAAGAUUAUAUAUAGUGUGUGCAAUGGAAACUUAAAAUGGUGAGAUAAGUACAAAAAAUUACAUUCGGAUGAUGGGCAAUGAUGGAGCCAAGGGGGGACAGAGGGGGGCCAUGGCCCCCCCCUAAGUUUUGAAAAUUUUAAUUCAUAAUAUGUAAAUAUGUGUGUAAAGUAAAAUUGACCCCACCUAAAUUUUUAUAAUUUUAGUUUAUAUUAUGAGAGUUGAUAUAUAUAUAUGUAUAUAUAUAUGAAUUAGUCAUCUUUGAAUUAAUUUUUUCUUCAAAAAAAAGUUAUUUAUUUUUUAUUUUACUAAUUAUUUAACUUUCAAAAAUUAAACAUAUAAUUUGAUGUUCCAUAGUAAAUUGACCCAAUGUGAUGUAUUAGAAUAAAAAGACCCAAUUCAUAAUUGUUAAAAGCAAGAACUAGUACGUCUAAAAAUAGAACUUCAACAUUUUGAGCUCGACAUUCCAAAUCAUCCUGAAUUGUAAGAAUUAUCUGGUAUUCAUGAGUUAUGUCAAGGCUUGGUUAAGACAAGAAAAUCAGUGAUAUAUUCUCUUAUUGACAGAUUGAUUAGACUUAUUUUUACUCUUCUUGUAUCAAUUGCAACUACAAAGCAGGUAUUUUCAAUUAUGAAAAUAAUCAAAACAAAGCUCCGAAACAAGAUGGAAGAUAAUUUUUUGAAUAAUUGUCUAACUGUGUAUAUAGAAAAGGAAGUUGCUAAAAAAUUUAGCAGUGAUUCAAGUAUAGAUGAAUUUAAUUCUAUGAAAGAGCUUAGAGCUCAAUUUACUUCUAAGAAAAGAUGUUGAAAUUUCAAAUUAUGUUAACAUAAGUUUUAUCUUUUUUCAAUUGAAAAUAGUUACAUUGAUAUUACAUGGUUAUAUAUAUAUAUAUAUAUAUUGCCUAGGUGACAUAUUGGAGAGCAUCGUCUCAUAAUGUGCAAAUUGAAUGGUUUGUGAUGUUAUAAAAUAUUUAAUCAAAAGUUAUCUUUUUUGUUAAUUUUUGUUAUGACUAUACCGCAUAUUUAUGAAUAGACAUACCUUUAUAAUUAAAUUUAAUAUUUGAUAUUUUUAGAUGUCAUAUAUUUAAAUAAAAGAAAAUUAUUUUGAACAUAAUAUAUUAAGAUAAUUUUAUUAGGAAAAAAUUUUGGCCCCCCCAAAACAAAAAUCCUGGCUCCGUCACUGAUGAUGGGAAUAACUACUCAUAGUGGAGUAAUAUUUAUGUGAGCACUGAAGGGUGACCCCAAGCUGAUUGGGCUAAUCCACCUGGUUUUAAAACCUGAAUCUUCAAAAGACAAUUCUUGAAUCAUUUGGUGGAAAAACUGUCCAAUGUAGCACAGCGCCUCAGUUUGGUGGAUUUAUUUUUGUUUUUAAAAAUCAUAUUAUCACUCCCAACCCCUUAGGCUUAGUUUAAUUGCUUAUAUUGAGCAGAUUCUUGUUUUAUUGAAGCACUUGCAAUUUAUUUUUUUGAAUUUUAGUUUUAGCACAUGCAAUUAAGCAGGAAAAGAAAGCAAAAUAAAGAGUUCAACAAUUCUAGGGUAAAUCCCAAUCGGUGGAUUUAAGAUAAUAAAUAAAUUUUAGUGGCCAAGAGAGGCAGGACUCUUCGAAUCUUUUCCGUUAUCAGAUUCAAGGGUGAAAGGUGUAUACAUAUAUAUAUAUAUAUAAAUAAAGAAAUAGCUUGAAUAAAUGUGAAAUCUUUUUACUACUAUUCCCCCACCAUUCAUGAAUUAAUUUGUUGUUCAUUUUGGUAUCAUGACACCAUUUUGGGUUUGGUAUUAUCUUUUUUUUAAAAAAAAAAAAAAAGUGGAAUAUCCUGAGCAGAUUACUACAACAAAGGGAUUUCCUGACAUUGUGUCCCCUGAGUUUCCAACCUGGUAGACCUAAUUAAUAGGGGAGUGCCACGAUCAUCCCGUGCCCUUCAUGCACCGAUGAAAACAUGAUUGGUUUUUCUACCAAAACCACAUGAGCAUCACGUGCUCUUCGUGCUCCUCUGAACGAAGGAAAAUAAAUGAGUGCUUCCUUUAUUUGCACUAGCACCCAUUCAAUCAUUCUUCACCCAAAUCAGUAAAAAAAAAAAAAAAAACAAAUCAAGAAAAAGGAAAAUAGGCAGGAGCAAAACUUUUCCUCAAAGAAAAAAAAUAAAAAUAAAACAAAAUGAAAAAGAAAGGAACUAAAAACUAUGGAUGUGGGAGAGGAAUGAAGUUCCAGUGGUGUAUAAUGAUUGAAAAUGUAGUCCAUGCAGAUGUAAAGAUACAUGAUAGUGCAAUCAAUAUGCUGCUCCACAUUUGGAAAAAGAUAAGAAAAAGAAUAUUUCAGCUUCAAAAACUUUGUCCCAUCACCUUUUUGUUUUUUUUGUUUUUUCCAAGAUGGGGGGAAAAAUCUGAACGAAACAAGUGAAAGAAAAAGGGGAUCUAAGGGGACACUAAUUUAUAACUUUGAGUGAAGGCUAAAUGAAAUGAAUCUUCCAUUGGACAAAUUAGACAGAAAGAAUUUUUAGGAAAUUUAACCCUUAAAAACUACUAUUUCUUUCGCCCUAUUAAAAUUGUCAUACUUUCCAUUUUAGAAUGUUCCAAAAUAUUUGUCAUGUUGAAACUCUUUUCAAUAUAACCCUUCUUUCUAAUCAUAUGCAUGUUACCAUUUAAAUUUAAAAUUUGAAUUUGUGGAAGUAAAUUUGAAAAGAGAAACGCAAACAUCACAAUCAAACCAUUAUCGUUAAAAAGUUGGAUUCCCCGAACAUGACUAAAUAAUUAGGAUGGAAGGAGUAGUAUUUUAAUUGAAAAUUAAUUGUUCUGAACUUCUAUCAUAGUUGCAUCUCCAUACAAAGAAAAAAUAUUAACAAAGUCGGAGGUUUUGGAUCCAAAUUUUUCCGCUUACAAAGUAUAAAAGUAGGGAGAGGGUUAAGUUGAAUAGUAAUGUGAGAGGGAUUAUAACUAGAAAGUUUUGGAUUCAAUACCUCUCACUUACCGAGGGAAAAAAAGUUGCAUCUCCUCAUAGCUAAUUUUUUUUUCUUUCAGUAGAAAAUAGUUCAAGUGGAUUCAACUCCGGUCACAAUCAUAGGUCAGGGUAUGCUCUCAAGAUCAUAAGUUGCUUACAGAGACUUUAACAAAUCACCCAUAAAAAAAAAAGUUGCACCUCCUUAUAGAUUAAAUCAUUUUUCUUUUGGUAGAAAAAAUUCGAGUGGACUUAGAUCCGAUCACAAUUAUAGAUCAGGGCUUGCUUCAUAAGUUUUUACAUAUCGCCCAUUAAUAUAGUUCUAAAAAAAAAAGAAGAAGAAAAGUUUUAAUGGAUUUGACUUCGAUUACUAACACAGGUCAGGACAUAUUCUUGAAAUCAUAGAUGUGUACACAGGAAUUUAUACAAGUUGCUCGUUAAUACAGUGCUCACAUCAGCAGCGAAAGCAGCAUGUCAGGGCAUUGUUUCGGAACCAUAAAUCACUUGACUACUCAUCAAUGUAGUAUUCACAUCCACAGCAAGAUUAAAUUUGAAUACACAAUUUUGUUACCAAAAAAUGGUUCGCCCUUAUCAACUGUAUUGGCCCAUGCAGCUGAAUGAUUCCCGGUAGUCUCAUCUUGACUUCAUUGUUAACCUUAUCCUUGAGCCUCAGUUGUCAUACAUAGGCAUCUUUUGUUUCUACAAGCCCCAGGAGAAAAAGCACCUAUGAAGUGCUGAAUUUUGUGACCAGAGGGACAAAAGGACAUGUACCUUUUAUUAUCUUAUCUCAAAUGUAAUGUACCAGGACUGUUCAAACCUUUGAAAAAAUCCACAAUGCCUGCAAAACGUACGUUGGUACAGUAGCAGGUUACUUUGGCUCCAUGCGCAGCUUCACAUGAGUUGUCAAUUUGAACAAGGGCUAACGGCAAUUCGCGUCCCUUCACUGCUAUUAUGGAUUUGUGGUUUGCAAUUAAAACUACUAAUUGUGGCACUUCAAUAUUUAUCAACAAAAUGAACUUUGUACACCGAAAUUAUCCAGAGUACAAGGUACUAAACUCUUCUCGUCACAAAAUUGCUACUACAAUGUUUGUUGAUUUUCAAUUGAUCUAGAUAAUGUGCCACAAAUUGGCAGUAUAAAUAAAGUACUACUAAAGAGCUAAAAUUGAGAAUUUUUUAUGGUGCAAAAUGCAGAAUGGAAAUUGAGCUAAAAUUGUUUGCCUAAUUGAUGGUUUCACAAGGAUGAACUAUUUGAUCUUGCGACGUAGUUAGAUUUCAGAUACUUCCCCCCAUAGAAGUCCAUAACCAAAUGUCUGUGGCGAGUCGAUCAAUUUCUGCAGAGCCCCAUGACUCACUCAAUUUGCCAUGGGGUCACCUCCCCCAAAUGUAGACAAAAUCCCUCCAUGUCCCUAAUGUGCCAUUCUCCCAUUGGCAUUCAUCCCAGCCCCUGCCACCACCCACCCACCCACCAACCCAUUGCUUACAGCUGCCAAGAAACAAAAUUAAUUUUCCAGCCCACUUGUAUUCAGUCUACGGACUGUACACCAGACUAGAAUAAAGAGAAGUGAAAAAAAUAAACAAUAAAUAAAAAAAAGCCAGAAACUAAUAGUAGUAGUAGUAGUAGUACUUUUACCUUCCUCUUCCUCCUCCUCCUCCUCCUCCUCCUCUUUCAACUUUUCAAUCCAUCUCAAAGUUUCGUUUCCUUUCUCCAUGGCCACUUGCCAAACAACCGUCAACGACCUUCCGGACGUGAUCCUCACCAAUAUCAUCGCCGCCAUCUCCGACGUGCGGAGCCGCAACGCCGCCGCCUUAGUUUGCCGCAAAUGGCUUCUUCAAGAGCGCUCCACCCGCACUUCCCUCACUCUCCGGGGCAAGAUCCUGGACCUUUUCUUCCUCCCUACUUGUUUCCGAUCCGUAACUGACCUCGACCUCUCUUUACUCUCUCCGUGGGGCCACCCCUUGUUACCCCCCCACAUUCCCACCACCACCGCCACCCUCAUGGCCCUUGUUCUCCACCAAGCUUUCCCUGCAGUCACUUCCCUGACCCUCUACGCCAGAAACCCAUCAACCAUACAGCUCUUGGCUCCUCAAUGGCCGCGUUUAAAGCAUAUUAAGCUCGUCCGCUGGCACCAGCGGCCCCCGUUGGGAUCUGGGGAAGAAUUGCUAGCUUUGUUUCAGGAGAACACAUCAAUCAUUAGUCUUGAUUUGUCCAGCUUUUAUUGCUGGACGGAUGAUGUUCCCGCAGCUCUAGUUGAAACCUCAAACUUAACCAUCCUUGAUCUCCUGAACCCUUCAUUUUCCGAAGGGUUCAAGGCUAAUGAAAUCAUGGACAUCACAAAAUCAUGUCCUAAUUUGAAGGUACUUCGCGCGGCUUGUAUGUUUGAUCCUAGGUACAUUGGAUACGUUGGAGAUGAGAGCUUGGUUUCGAUUUCGGCUAAUUGUCCUAAAUUAUCCGUGCUUCAUUUGGCGGAUACCUCGGCUUUGGUGAAUUCCAGGGCAGAUCCUGAGUCUGAGGGGCUUACUCCUGAGGAUGCUAAGAUCACUGUGGCUGCCCUGAUUGAGUUGUUCUCGGGGUUGCCAUCGCUCGAAGAACUGGCUUUAGAUGUUUGUAAUAAUGUGAGAGAGAGUGGCCCUGCUUUGGAGAUGCUGAAAGUGAAAUGCCCCAAGCUGAGGUCACUCAAGUUAGGGCAGUUUCAUGGGAUCUCUGUGCCGAUCGAGUCAAGGUUGGAUGGGGUUGCGCUUUGUUCAGGGCUUGAAUCUUUGUCAAUAAGGAGUGUUGCGGACUUGACUGAUAUGGGUUUGAUUGCCAUUGGAAGAGGGUGUUGGAGAUUGGCAAAGUUUGAAGUUCAGGGUUGUAAUAAGAUAACCGUGAAUGGAAUGAGGACUUUGGCUAGUUUGCUUCGAAGGACUUUGGUGGAUGUCAAGAUUUCUUGUUGUAAGAAUCUGAAAGCAUCAACGUCAUUGAAAGCGUUAGAGCCGGUGCAGGAUCGAAUUAGGAGGCUCCACAUUGACUGCAUUUGGGAUGGUGUAGAUCAAUUUGAUGGGAUUCAGUAUGAUGUUGAUCUUAACGGAUUGGAUCAGGGUGGGGCAUCGAACCAGUUGGAUGGAUCUGUCAACUACUUUGGAGAUUAUGACAGUGAAAUCAUGUGCAGCAAGAAGAAGAGGUGCAGACACUCCUUUGAUCUGAAUUGCUCUCCCCUGCAAUUUAACAGCAGCGGUAAUGGAUUUUGCAGCAACUCAUGGGACAGACUGCAAUGUCUUUCACUUUGGAUUGGCGUGGGUGAGCUUCUAACCCCAUUGACUGCUGCUGGCCUUGAGGAUUGUCCAAACCUGGAGGAGAUCCAAAUCAAGGUUGAAGGAGAUUGCAGGGAAUGGUCAAAACAUACACAGUACCCCUUUGGGUUGAGCACUCUGGUGCAGUAUCCUCGCUUAACCAAGAUGCAUUUGGAUUGUGGAGACACCAUAGGUUAUGCACAGACUGCACCGUCUGGGCAGAUGGAUUUGAGCCAAUGGGAACGAUUUUACCUGAUGGGAAUAGGGGAUUUAAGUCUCAAUGAACUUGAUUACUGGCCACCACAAGACAGGGAUGUUAACCAGAGGAGUUUAUCUCUGCCAGCAGCUGGACUGCUCCAUCAGUGUCUUACCCUAAGGAAACUUUUUAUCCAUGGGACGGCUCAUGAACAUUUCAUGAGUUUUUUCCUUAGACUCCCAAAUCUCAGGGACAUCCAGCUGAGGGAAGAUUAUUACCCGGCACCAGAGAAUGACAUGAGCACGGAAAUGAGAGCAGAUUCUUUAAGCCGUUUUGAAGCGUCUCUGAACAGACGCCAUAUUUCUGACUGAUACACAGCGAUCAGAUGCUGGUGUGCAACCUAUGCGCAAUAACGAUAGAACAUGUUGUACAGCGUGAAUCUGUAACUGUUAAAAAAAAAAAAAAAAAAAAAUUUAACCCGGAUCUAGAUCUUUGACAUGUACACUUAGGCUUUGAAGACUGAAAACCAGUUCGAAUUUUUAUCAUAUAUAAUUCAUUCAUGCGAUGAGGCUUCGCGGGAUGAGGAACUUAUUUUCCUACGCGCAAUAUGAUGCAUCCAGUUACCAUGCGUAACAUUUAAGAGAUUGAUUUCAACAGAAAUCGAUGAAAUGUAGUACAUGAAAUUCUACUGCAUCAACCAUUAGUGUCAAUCUCUUGACAAUGAAGGCAAUCUGUGACCUCCUCCAAUCUCAUAAAAGAGAUCCAUUUUCUCCUUUUUUUUUCCUUUUCAUUUGUAUGACGGUAAAAUUUUCCAAUUGCACAAAAAGUGCUUAAUGUUUUUUUUUUUUCAAUUUGGUUAUGAAAUGAAAUACUAGCUUCCUAAAAUUGGAAAAUCCACACAAAAUACAACUUGAGCUUGAGCCGAAUAUAUUGUAACACCUCUACUAUGUGUUUCUGUACAAUUAAAGUGAUUGCAUUAGCACAAUGAAUACUCGCAGUCGAGCAAGCGGGUAAGAAUGUCCUCGCAACUAGGACGUUCAUGCGGCUCUGCCCAACAAUCUGCAACCAGGAGAAAGGGAAAGAAGGUGAGCUCCAACAAGCACAAAUGAGCUUGAGGUUGUUGCUUGUUACGAGUUUGACAAUAUGUGGAUAACCAGUUACCUGCAAUAAGCCUACCAAGAGGUCCUUCAGGAAUCUCCAACCGUGAUCCCUCAUUGGCAACAGCAUAAACCACCUAGAUUGUAAAAAGAAGGGUGAGUGCACUGUCUCUCGCAGAGAAAAAUGGUCAAAAAUAUUUAUUGCACAAAUUACCUACACGGGGGUGAUAAAUAUUGAAAAAAAAAAAGAAGACUGACUAAAAUUUAAAAUUGAGAAUCAACAAACUAAAAGGACAUUCUAUAUCAUACCCUCUCUGGUGGUAUGCCCUCCCAGGGUCUACCUAGAGUGCACAGCUCCCACAUAAUAACACCAAGGCUGAAGAUAUCACAUUUCUCGGUGAAGGGUUCAUUGCGAACAAGUUCCGGGGCCAUCCACUCCGGUGUCCCUGCAGAUGACGAGUCCCCCAUGGGAGAAUCUGUCAUUAUUCUUGAUAGCCCAAAAUCACAGAUCUUGACGGUCCAGUGUUUAUUGACAAGGCAAUUUGCACUUUUCAAAUCGCGGUGGACAAUCUUCAUUCGAUGUAUGCACAUCAGCCCUCUUAAGUUGCCAACAACAGAGACAGCGUUAAUUCAUAUUUUCUAGUCCCCAACAACAGGUUCUAACAAGAAAACCAGGGAAAUAAAACCAGAAGGCACGCUUCGUGAUAUGCAUUUUAAAUGAAGAUUGGUUUAUUUGCUCACUCAAACUUGGACAUGCUAAGCAGACAUCAAAAAAGAUGGUUGGACAUGCAACAUUACAGGGGACAAAAAGGAGCUUACAAGAAUUAGGGACAAAAAAUCACAAGAGUGCGUGGCCCAUUUUAUGUAUUAAAAGAUCAAUACAAGGUCUCACAACUAUUAGCCUACCCCAUGUUCUGCAAUGCAUUUUCCCAGCAUGAAACAGUUGUCAACAUAGUUAGUUUGGAUGCCAAAACUAUGGGCAACCCUGGUUUGCUAAUUUGGCAACAACAAUCUCAUUUUUGUCCCAGAAAUCAAAUCCAUAAUUAGACUAUCUGAAGCCAUCAAACUUCAAAAAGUGUAACUUAUGAUUUCUGCAUUGCAACUGAUAAGUCCUAUGAAACCCUUUAUGGUGCAGAAAUUUCAGACUAGUUCCAAUCUUACAAAAGAAAAUUAUUAAACUACUGCCCAUAAAACUUGGAGCAGAUAAUAGAAAUGUUGCCCAAGGAUAAAACAAACCUGCAUAUGUCACGAAGCAUUUUUAGCCUCCUGCGCCAACUGAGUUUUUUCUUCUGACCACUUAAAUGAAUCAGAUAAUACAAUGACCCCAUCUCCAUGUAUUCGGUGACCAUUGAUAAAUGUGGGGGCUUUGUGCAGGCACCCAGAAAUAAUAUAACUGCAAAUAAGGCAUGUCUAUUAGUAUCUGAAAGGCAACUGAAUGUCUGUAUUCCCCAAACUGAAUGUGUUACACCCAUCCCCACAGCCCAAAAGGAAAAAUUUUGGGGUUACAUUUCUUCCCGAUAACUUGAAGCUGAUAUCAAGUGUAUAGACAAGUAACAGAGACUGUUUAAAUUGAUACAAGUUGAACACAAAGAAAAAAGGAGGCAAAGAGAUAUACCAUUUGGGUGCCGAAGGCGGCUGCAGAAAACCAAAUAAAAGCAAUAACAAAGGAUUAGAAGGGAUCUUAAAAAUUAAACCAACAGUCAAAAGCACAACUAAAAGAAAAUGCCAGUGUAAAAAUGAGUUGAACACCUUAGGAUGGAAAUCUCAUUGCAAAAGUCCUCCAUGUUUUCAGCAGUCAGAUCUUGCUCCAGAAAAACUUUGAUGGCAACAUCAGUUCCGUUCCAAAUGCCACGGAAAACUUCUCCAAAAAAACCUACGAAAGCACAAGGACAAAAGAUAUUCAAAAGAGUAGGAAAUGCAAGACAGGAAAAGAAAAAAUAAACAACAGAACAUUGAGGUUUGCAAUAACUUUUGCAUGAAAAUGAAAAAAAUAUUAUUGUCAUCUUAUUCUAUAGUACAUUGUUAAAAAUCAUUAUAAGAGAAAUCAAUAUGUAAAGCACCUCUGAUGUCAACAAUAAUGAGCCCCAGAAGCUUCAGGAAAUUGAAAUGUAGAGUUUCGAGCAAGAUGUAGCUUGCCCUUUGAAAAACAUCAUGAUUUAAGACUCUGAUUCUAUGAAAAUGGGAAAAAAAAAAUUAUCAUCUUCUUAUUCUAUAAUUCAUUGUUGAAAAUCAUUAGAAGAAAAAUCAAUAUGUAAAGCAUCUCCGAUGUUAACAAUAAUGAACCCCAGAAGCUUCAGGAAAUUGAAAUGUAGAGUUUCAAGCAAGAUGUAGUUUGCCCUUUGAAAAACAUCAUGAUUUAAGAUGGCCUCUUUGAGCUAUCAAUUGCGCCAACCGUUCCUUUGAGAUCUUCCAUAGAAUUAAGUUACCGUAGGCAGCAACAACUUUAUUCUCAAGAAUUUCAUGAAAUCAAGCAUGUGGAAAUUACUGAGUAAUUAAGAGACAAACUUUAAAUAGCUAUGUGGUGUAUGUGCCUGUCUUUAUUUCAUAUUGGGUAUCAAAUUUUCGUGAAUAUCAUGUAUCACGUAAAUCAUGCUUAUAAAGAUGUAUUUGGGGAGGAAAAAAGCAUUGAAAAUUAAAGCAUUUGAUGUGGAAAAUAUCGUUUUUGAUAAGCAAUGCAUUAGUGAUUUUUUCACAGUAACAGAAUGCCCAGGGACUUAAUUCAUUUUGUCUAAGAGCUUCAAGGGGCCAAUUUGAUGCAAGCAACAGUUCAAGGAAAAUGCUAGGAGAUUAUAGUUUGAGAGAACAACAUGCAUUUAAGCCCAAAAAUUUCUCAACCAAGUACUAUUAUCCCGAUGGGAAUCCAAACUUUCAAGAGGAUCUGUGGAUAACAAUUGCUUCCUUUCAAGGAAUUUGCUCUACCAAAAGUGAUUGAGAAAGAAAAUUUAUGGAAGACAUAAACAUCAAAGAGGAAACUAACAAGACAAUUGCUUACCAAUUCCAACACGAGUGCCAACUGUUAGUUCUGAGAAGUCAAUGUUCCACUCUUCAAAAGGUAAAAGAGGUUUAUUCUGGAACAUAGGCGAUCCAAGAAUUCUGUUCCAUGUUGACACCAUGUCAUCAUUUACCCUGUAGUUUGAUGUCCCACUCCUCUCAGGAGUUUGACUCCCAUAUUCAUGAGGAGAAGAAGGUAAUGACAUUGCCUUUUGAGAAUCAUUGUGCUCUCUCUGAAAAGAAUACAUGGAAGAUCUUCCACCAGAUAAAUCAUCCUGGUCACCAAGGUAAAAAUCAGAUACCUGAGGAGGAUAAUUCCACUUAGAAAGAAUAAAUAACUUAUCAGAGAUAAACCACUAAGAGAAACAUGAAAUUGAUGAAAGGCAGGAUAGAUGUAGCUCCAUUAAUUCUCCAUGUCAUUUGGCUUUCAGAUCUCUGGUACAUAAUUCAUUUUAUCAGUCAAGACUUCAGAAAGCAGGAGGAAACAACUUAUCUAUAAAUAUUACCCAAAAAUAAAUAAAUAAUAAAAACUGCCAUUAUUUUUAACAUUUCUUAGACUAAUUGCACACUUUUAACAAUGAAUUCAUAACAGAAAGUUUCAUAUUUGACACUUGAUACAAACCAUGAUGUAAAUACCAUCCAUUCCUGGUUUUGGACCAGCAUUGUUUGAUGCAAGAUGAUCAUCUUUUCUCAUGUGUGUAUUAGUUGCCCGGAAACAGGUCAAAAUGCAAGUCCAGAAAAAAAAUGCAUAAAGACAAAAGGGAUCUUUUUGAGCCCAUUGACAAGGUCAAGUUGCUCACAGUAACAACAAGGUAGAUUCAAACAGGCACGUACCUAAAAAAUGUUACUCAACUUGCAACCAAAGAGACUACAAAUGCAGAAGAAUAUGCAUAAAUUUAGAUGAUUGGUCAAAUAAGGAACAUACAUCUUUCUGGACAUCCGACCUAUUUUCUCCUUGUCCUUUUAAGAGGCGAUUCUGCUUCAAUGUUUCAUUCAUUGCUCGAACAGCCCUAGCGUGAAUCAUACAACAGAGAGUAAUAAAGUUACCAGAUAACAUUAAGCAACAACAAUUAAGCACUUCAAAAAUGUAACAUGGUAGCAUGAAAUCCACCACAAAGUGGUGAAACAUUUCUUGAUCUCCAACAUACAGCAAUUUUGAUGGCUAGUUCAGGUAUGAUAAUCAGCAUGACUACAAAAAUAGUCUAACACGUACAUUUCAACCACAAUUAAUGUGCCUAGUCAACAUGCUAAAAAAUAGCCAUCAACUAAAAAGCAGACAAUGUAGAAUUUAAAUUGCCAUGCCUCUGGUGUACUCUUGUAGGCCCAUUUCUUUUUUUCUAGUUGAGAUUACAUUCCUGACUCUUUAUACAAUAAGCUACUUUUCAUUGGUCUUAUUUUGUUUUGGCUUGUGUCUUUUGUUUCUCUAAACCAAAAUGCUUCUUCCUAUAUGCAUCCCUGAAUCUCUUCUAGAACAACUUUUACUUUCCAGAAGUUCCAUGGCAAAAUGCCUUUUUAACACCUUAAUCAAGAAUCACAUUUUUUUUUCCCAGAAGCUAUUGAAAAGCUAAAUCAAAGGAGAUAUAGGGAGCCAGCUUAAAGUAAUGAGUAGUCAAAUAUCAUGAAGAUAUAUCUCUCCUCCCCCUCGAAUAAUUGAGACUUUUAACUACAGCAGAAUCAUAGAUCUCAAAGACAGAUACAUGAGGGCGCACAGCCCUGUUAAUUGUAUUAACCAACAAAUCCAGCAAUUAUUCAUGAAGGAAUUCUCAAGAACUCUCUGACCCCUACAACCUCUUCUACUCUCAAGACUUGCACUAAAAACUCCUAAUUAAUCCUUACAUCAUUAGCAAGCUACUCCAACAAAUAGUAUCUCAUAUUAAUAUUAGAUGAGCUUACUUUGAGUAUGAAUUAUCAAGUUAAGUGAGGGAUUCCAGUAGAUUCUACUGGUGAAAUGAAAGUAGAAGUAAUUCCAGAGAUAAAGUUCUUGACUAACAAUGUUCUAGAAAGAAAAAUGCUUCACAUUUGAAGUUCCCUAACACUGCAUCUCUGUAUUCUUUCACCAAAUUUGGGAUACGACAAAAGGUGGAUUUACGCAGGGAAACAAAUUUAUGUCUAGAAGACCGUCAAAUAGCUUAGGAAAAAAUUGAUUACUAUAAGAUGAUACUAAAAAUAAAUUAUCACAGAGGCCAUUGACAACAAAGAUAUCACCAAACAAACAAUACAUAAAAAUAGGAGAGCUGAUAUCAACCUUACAAUAUCAUCACCAAUUUCUGGAGUUAUACUGAUGCUUCUUCGUCUUAAUCUACGAGUCUCUGAUGUUGAGGCACCUUCGGAUCUGUUGCUACAUUUGCAUCAAAGAUCAGUAGCAGUAAAGAUUGAGAAUUUGAUUAACAAGAGAAGAAAAAUAUGUAUUGUUCAUUGUACUAUCACCCUAAGGUAUGAGUUUUGUAAAAAGCAUCCCAUGAAAAUAGCUGAAUGAUUCUAGUUAUGGUACUUCUUAUCUGUAAAGUUUGAUUAUAGCGCACAACAAAAAAAGAAAACAAAAUCAAAUAAAUGGUUACUAAUUCCAAGAUGAUAAUCAAAUGAUAACUCAAUGGACUGCACCAAUCUCAGCAUAGUUGAUAAUAGGAUUGAUGAUAGCCCUGCAUAAGACUUCAGUCAAAUAAAGUACUCAAAUGAUUUUGUCUCAUUGCUCGUCUUCAUUAAUUCUGCAGACCAGAAUAGCAGAGUCAAUACUCAGUGAAGUGACAAUUUAGCAGGGCGUCUUCAAGAAGUUAUUUAUGCAUCCGAGAUCCUUUACUUUUUUUCUUAAUCUGUUGUCCCCCCCCCCCCAACCCACACAAAAAAGAGGAAAAAUAACUCAGGAACAAAGAUACUAAACAAGCUAACAAGAAAAGGGGCUAUUCUGGACUUGAUAGUAACCCCAGUUUCAUAAAUUCACAUGUUUUUAGCUUUCUUUGUAGCAAAUCCUGUUGUGAUGUACAUUUUACAAAUUACAGAUGUCAUGGUACUUGAAACAUAUGCUCAAUGCAGUUGUACAGAAAAGCCCAUAGCUCAUGAUGCAUCUAGCUACACAAUUUUAGUGCUAAGAGUCUCCUAGUUAAUCACAUUCUUAAGCACUAGAGAUCCUUAAUUUCUAUGUCUCUGUCCCUAGAAUGGAGUCCUCAUAAAGAGAGGGAAGCCAUGCUGCAAAAGUAUGGAAGGCAAAUUCCAACUUAACCGCAUAAGCACACUCUGAACCGUCAGUAGCACCACUCAAUAGAUUUUCCUCAACACUAGCCCUGGUGAGCCAGAAGAGAUAGAGCAGCAUAUGUAUACCUAUGUCCAUCUAGCUUGUACGUAAUUGAACAAUGGUGUGCCCCACCAUCAAUCACAGGAUAAGAAAAGUUUAACGUGAGGUUUAUCUUACUCACCAACAUAGGGAAGGGUGUGCUAAUUAAACAAUUUCUGUAAGUACAUUAGAUAUUCCAGUUAUAAGUAAAAUCAUGUGAAUCAUGCUAUACCACAAACUACUCAGUGCAUUUUUUUUGAAAUGAGAACAAGAAGAUGCAUUAGAUUCAUCAAAAAUAUUUACAAGUCACCAUAUGUGGCAUUUUUUUAUUACUACUCAGUGCAUUAACAAGGAUUAGAAAAGCAAAAGCCAAAACCAGACAAAAGAGUGUAUUUCUCUCAGGCACCUUGAUGUAGCCAUAUCAUCAGAAUAAUCUCUAAAUGUUCUGUUAUCACCGCUAAGCAUAGAGCGCCCACGAGCACGAGAUGAAGGAUGCUCUGGACUGUGAAAUACAAAAUGCAAAAGAGUUAAAAGGAUGUAGAUUAAAAGGUCUCAUGGAUAGCUAAACCACACACUGCAAACAGAAGAGGGAAGAGAGAGAGAGAGAGAGAGAGAGAGAGAGAGAGAGGGAGAGCAGCCCAAGCAGCCAUCAGAACUUAACAACUGCUACAUACCAAAUAUUGCCAGAUUUAUAGAUAAUAAAUACUGUCAGUCAAAUGAUUACCCAUAGAAAAACUGUCGGCCCACUUGCAGUUACAGCUGAUAUUUUAGAAUUAUCAAAGUUUUCAAAUUGUUUGCACAUUAACACAAGAUGUAUAAUUAAAAUUAUAAUGACUUAGUCAAGGAUGUUAUUUUCAACACAAUGAACAGUUUAAACUUCUAAGUCAUCCUACUAAGCAGGCUUACGUCACUCUAACUACCUAGUCUAGGACCUUUGCUUCUCCCCCAACUUAUAUUUUGUACACCAGGGUUAUCUGCUCCUGAGGCAACAGGCACCACCUCUGUGGCAAAUAUUUAAGUGUCCUCAACAAAGACAAAGUUGUCCUUUGGACAGAUGAUUAAAAAUUCAUUCCCACAUCUAGAAUGAUUUGAAACAACAUAUUAAGAUCAUACAAACAGAAAAGCAUCAAGAGGAACCUUGAACUAGCAGUCCUUUGUUCAGCAAUGACCCUUCUCCUGCUCCUUCGCCAAAAGGUAGCCGCAAUAUUAGGUUCGCUAUGAUAUGAACUGAUACAGUAAAAUAGUUCCAAUAAACACCAGCUAUGUAAGCAAUAGAAUAAGAUUUAACUACGCAUACAAGCAUCCGUCUCUAAGAUCCACAGUGCAUCAAAAUUGUACUUCAUACAACAUUCCACGUUUAAGGCAAUGCCAGUCUUGACUAAAAUAGUACCUUAAUUUUCUAUCAACAAAAGUAGAAGAGCGCAACAUCGCAUUCCUCAAAGAAGGCUCAGCAGUGUUUGAAGAAGCUUCAAGUCUCCUCUGGUAUUGAGGGCAAUCAUCCUUAUCAGUACUGUAACAAAUAAAACUAUGCAAUCACUGUUGAAUCUAGAAAGCAAGGGAUUGAUCUAGAUAGCUUCUAACUAGAAAACUUCUUCUGCUGGAAAGAAAAAUUUUGAAACAUUUCCAUGUCUCAUUAAAAAGAACAAGGUAAAGGAUGACUAAUUAGGUGAAAACAUGUAUGUUAUUACACAGAAAAUAUAAAAAAGGUUCUAACCUCUCAGGAUCAGCUCUAUCCGAAACCCCAUAAAGAGGACUAUUUGGCUCUAAUGGUGAAUCGCAGGAAUCAUUUUCUGCAGAGUCACUUUCCCCAGCAGCAGAUAUAUGAGUCAUAUAAAUUGCUUUAGUCGAUAGGGGUAUAAGCUGGCCAGGGAACCGCAUAAGAUCAACCAAAAGUUCCACAGAAUUCAAAACCACUAGAACAGACAUAUGCUUGUAUGAGUCUACACACUCUGAAUUUCCUUCAGUAGGCAAACCCUGAGAGGAGAAUUACAUGUAAAAGUAUAAAGACAAAUCAGAAAAAGGAACCACACAAAAAAGCAUGCCAGAGAGAAUUUGGAAAAUCCUUUACAGACUCAAACCAAAAUUAACCUUGCCACUUGCGAGCAGUCAAUACACAUGCAACCAAGAAAAUUAAAAGACAUCUCCUUGAUUGUCAUUUGGGGUACAAAAGCAAAUUUAGACUCAAAAGCAGAAACACAAAUAGAAAAGGGAAAAUUUGACAUUCCAUGGGCCUUUUCACUGGACUAUGAAGUCAAAUGUCUGACAUCCUUUUUUUAAAGGAAUAGGAGGCAUAUCAAAUUUAGUGGAGUUUACGAUGUAAUAUCAGGGUGUCACAGGCAGCUAUUUAUUGAGGCAUUAGUCAAAGAAGAAGUUAACAUUUCUGGAAUUAACGUGGAAUACAUUCAUUAUUCUGACCUGAAUGUCUUUAGGGAAUACAUUCAUUAUUCUGACCAGAAGUCAUUAGAAGGGGAAGUAUUAUAGAAGCUGAGAAUAAAGCCAACAGACAAAAUGCUGCUCAGACUUUUAUGUGGCAUCACCCAUAGAUAAUAGGUGCACAAAUAAAAGUGCAAACCCUUCUACAGCUAAAACUUACCACCAUUAGCCUACUCUCAAUGCCAACUGUAUCUGCAAGGACUUUGAAUAAUAUUGCUCGAGGCCGGCAUGAACCAUGCUUUAUUUGUCCAAGCAUCUGAACACCUCUAUUUUCAGAAACAUGAGAGGUUUCUUCCAGUGAAACUUUUCCAGGACUAAGUUCCACAAUUGGUCGUUUGUAGAAGUCAGACACCUGUUCAUAUGUAAUAAGAUCAUGAGAAAGCAGAGAAAAUACUUAAUGGACCAACGUUAUUAAUAACAGCAUCCCAAACACCACUAUAAGAAUAGUAGAACUAGAUCCACAAAAACAAAAACCAAAAAUUAAAAAUAAAUUUUAAAUAAACAAAGGUUUAGUCAUUGAAAAAAAUUUUAGACGCAUGCUAAACUUCUUUAUAUUGAAAUGCAGGACAACAUAAAAAAUAAAUCAAAGGUUUAGUCAUUGAAAAAAAUUUUAGACGCAUGCUAAACUUCUUUAUAUACAGGAAGUGAAAUGCAGGACAACAUAAAAAAGCCCUCAAAAUUCCAAAUGGGCCCAUAUCAAGACCCUAGACGUCCUCACACAGAAAAUUCAGGUGUAGAACAUCAACAAAAUUACACAUGAUCAGAAGCUAUGCAACAUAACAAUGACAUUGAAGUCCCAAUUCACAAUAAAUCAACAAGCAAAAUGUUCAUUUACUUCAUGAGACACCUAACAACAGGAAAAGUAAUGUCUAGGUAAUACGCAAAGCCUUCCUCUCAACAAAAUAGAGAAGAAAAUUCCUAAGGCUACAAACAAAAUAAAAAGAAAAAGGUUGUGUAGCAUCUUAAAAACAGCUAGAGUCAAAGCAAAACAUUUAUCAGCUACCAAAAGAUAUUUAGCAUGCAAACAUUAAAAUGCUGCAUUAAGAUCAAUGAAGAGAUAUGGACGAAAACAGAGUUUGGAAAAGACAGUAAUACUUUAUUUAAAACCAGAAUUUAAAUAAUCCAAGAAAUCAGUAACUGUCUAUAAGAGCAGGAUCUAAUAAAUACUGACCAAUCCAGCAAUCUUUUUUAUUGUCGCCGCAGGAUUUGAAUUCAGACCUUUAACCAGGGUAGCAAUUAGUUGCUUUAGCAUGGAAAUUUUUUUAUCUUUCUCCACAUCUACAAGUAUAAUAUCAGCUCUUAAACCCUCAAGCUCCAAAGCCUGAAGCUCAUCAAGAGUAGGAAUAUCUUCAAAAAGCUCCUUAAGCCUUUUCUCCUGCAAAAAACAGGUGGCAGCAUGAACAACUGCUCAAAUGGAACAAGAUCAAAAGAAAUCACCAUUUAUGGGUGACAAUCCAUAAAGUCCUAACGCCAUCAAGCAAGAAAAAUGCUCAGGAAACAAAAGAUGGAAAUUCUCAGAGAGUACCAUUUGAAAAUAAGAAAUUUAUUUUUCCAAUUUUUUGCACUCCUUUUCAGCGGGGGAUGCCUUGAAUAAAAAUGCAGUUCCAAUAAGAGGUCUUAUGUUAUUUGACAAGUAAAAUAUUUUCACCACAUGAGCACAUAGUACCUAGAAAUGUAUGAAACUCAUUAUACCCUUGAUAUACAAGCUAGCUUUUUCUAUUCAACAUAAAUUUUUUACAUAACCAAUUUUUAACAUUGCAGUGACGUGUAAUUUGCAAUAUCGAUAAGAAUCAAACUUCAUGAAUUAAAAUACAUGAACUGAAUGGCAUCUCUGAAGGCACAUGUUUGCCGACAGAAACUUUCUGUGUCUAAUAAUGAAGAUAAAACAGCUAAGAUCUACUCCAAGAAAAUACUCAAGCCAAUGCAAACAACAAUUAUUUUUUAGAAGCACGUUCACGGACUUUCGUUUUUCUUGUUACCAGUGGAUUCAAAGUGACAGCACCAUUUUUGUGUUCGAAAAAAUUCAUAAAGUGAUGAUAAUCUCUAUAGCAUUAAGUUCGUUAAUCAGCCAAAGAAAAAAGGGCCCAAGCACCAUGCAUUUUAGAUGUGAUUUACCAGACACAACUUGCCAUAAUUACAAUACCGACAAAACAAGUUUGGUGCUCACAGGAACAACUGAAUAGAAACCAUUUGGAAUCGCUUCUGAAAGCAUUCCAGUGCUCCAAAGGAUCUGUGACGCCAUCUGAUGUGGUGAGCAAUCAUAUUCAUCUUUAUUAAUUGAUUUUUUAUUCCUUAGAAUCUCUCUUUCUUUAGAGUCUAAAGACACAGAUCCAAUUUUUUCAACAAGAUCUGGCGACCACCAUGUAGCACCAGGAGGCCUCUGCUGUGAAGGCCCUGCUUCAUCUUGUCUCUCUUCCAUGUUGAUGAAUGAGCAAAAUAUAACACCAUCUCAUAGCCAACUCUUAGCCCGUUGACAAGCUUAUUGAUGCCAUAAUUAUUUAGAGACGAGACAACAUUGUCUACAACUUUCACUUCCUCUAAACUCAAAAAAGCUGGAGGCCAUGCGACCUGUAAAAUGAAACUAAUGGUUCAAUAUUAGAUGCAUUGAACGUCACGUCACAUUCAAGAACCAAAAAACCCCAACUCCAAAAAGAAAGGAAAAAGACAAGAUCAUGCAAGAUAGGGUUACCAACUUCUUGAAGACAAGUAAACAACAAGAGAAAACAAAUUAGGAAACAUGCUACAAUUAAAAAGCUUGAGCCUUUUGACAUCAGAUAUAGGUAAUCAGUAUCUUAUAGCAAGAUAUAAAGGAGUCAAAUGCAAAUGUCUCACCAUCAUAGAUACAGUUCUCUACAUCCCUCUGUGGGAAGUUUUAAAUACAAAUUAUUAAUAUUUCCCGAGUUCGUUUUACCAUGGAAAAGGUAGGGUCGCAAUAUAAUGCUUGUCAUUUCCUAAUAGUUCAAUAAAACCAAAGAGAUAAUGCUUGUCAUUUCCUAAUAGUUCAAUAAAACCAAAGAGUGAUGCCACGUGCUUUCGACCUUCUUCUUUAAACUUAAUCAUUAAUGUUAGUGAUUUUAGUGCUUAGUCAAACUAUGAAACUCCAACAUUGAAGCUGCAUUUCCUCAGCAUUACCAUGAUUGACAGCAGUAUACAAUCUAAAAUUGCAUAAACAUAUUAAUUGUCCUGGCUACUUGAUCAAGGAUCACAGAUAAUGCCAAACCAAGUAAUCCUUCCAUCAGAUAAACUGGCUUCAAACUCUGCUUUGUUAAUGCAACAAUAGCAAACACUACCAAUGUACCCCUCAGAAAAAUUUAACUACUCAAACUUCUCUCCCAAAUAUGAAUUUAUUAUGCUUCAAGGUCCCACGACCAACUUCCAGACCUACAGUAGCUUCUUAGCGUCUGCAAACAAGUUAAUAAGAGAUUCAACUAGUCUACUCUGCAACAUGAUUUUUCCCGAAAUGCUCAAGCUCUUUAGCAAUCUAAAGAUUCUAAAGAAAACAACGAUACCAGCAAAACAAAAACAAUUAUCACUCCCAACAGAAACUCAAUGAUGCAUCCCUUAGCAAACUCUAUAUUUAACCCACAAUAAUUACAAAAAAAGAAAAUGCAACCACAAUGUCCAUAACAACAUCAACUGAAUUCCGAGAAUCCAUCACAAAGUUAGCAAUAUAUCCUGCAAUGUUAUUGCAAUAAUCAAGAAAAACCAGAAAACUGAAAAGCAAAAUCUGCAAUACAAAUUUCCACAGCAUCCAUUGGAUCCUAGAUCUCCACCAAACACACUCCUCAACAAACAGAAACUCGAUCACUUUUAUACUCUUUUUUUUUUUUCCGUUUCUUCUUCAAUCCUAUAUUUGCUUAUAUCAAUUCAAUCAGUUCAGUUCAGUCCAUCAAAAAAUUACGCAAUCCAGUUCAUAUUAGCUUCAAAAACGAAAUCCGUUCACUCUAACCAACAUUUCCACCACUUAAUCAGACUUCCGCAAUCCAAAAUUCAUUUCCGCCGCAUUAAAUUAACAACAAAUUCAACAAUUAUCACAAAACUACUGCGUGAAAGCGUGUUUCUGAGUGUGAUCGAGGAAAUUACCACCAGCAGAUCUCAAAACUUGAAUCUGAAGUCUACUCCACUGGCGCCGCUUGAAAGAAAUAGUAAUCGCAUUUGAAUUCUAACGCCUCAUGUCCAAAACAAACGAAAAAAAAAUAAACUAAAAACCAAAAAAUUUUAAAAAGAAAAAUACGGCUAGCAAAAGAACAGUAGAAGUUUUUGAAAUGGAGUGAAGAAACGGAUGAUGAAUAUGUAGAAUUGUAGAGAGAGAAACGCUUAGAGAGAGAAAGUAUGAGAUGCAAACAAGGCAAGACAAUAUAUUGAGAGAGAAGAGGACGAGGGCGAGGCGGGGGUUGGAUUUGAUUAUAUAAAUUUGGGACUGUAAUUAAUGAUCCGGACGAUGGCGAAAGGGAUUGGCUUUUUUGUUUUUACUUGCUUCCUUUUCUUGGUUUUCAUGAUGUACAACAUCAGGAGCAUGAUGUACACUUUUUAAAAGCGGAAUCGCUAUUGAGGGAGGACAAAGUACUAGCGUUGAUGCAGUUGGUACGACGAGGAGAUAACUCCUACGAGAGAAGCUUUUUUUGGUUUACUUUUCUUUCAUUAUUAUUAUUAUUAUUUGUUCAAAGGCACAAAUAAAGGCUCAUUAUUUCCCUUGGUUUUGCAUUUUUUUUAUUUUAAAAAAGCAAAUUUUUUAUAUGCGCUCUAUCACUAUUUUCUUUAAGUUCCCAAUGCAUAAAAAAAUAUAUAAUAUAAUAUAAAUGCGAGAAUUGUGGCCUUCAAAUUGUUCAUUUGAAAAGUAUUGAAACCAUCUCAAUUAGAACUUCUCAAAUACCUAUUAUUAUUUUAAAUUAAUUAAAACAUUUUGAAAAAAUCUACAAUGUGGUAAUUUUAUUUUUCUUCAUUUUGGUGAUUUGAUUUGAUUGAUGAGAGACAGAGGAAUGAGAGAAAUAGAAGGAAAAAGAGUGCGAGUGAAUAGAAAAAAGGGGUAAAUAUUAGAUCAAAGAGGUGGGAAGGGGUGGAGGUUUUGUGAGUCACGUGCAAAGAGGGCGCGAAGAAAGGCAAAGACGUCCGACAGGCCAGCUGGCAAAGGGGGGUGGAUCACCAACGUCCACACCUUCGUCCGCGUGAACCUCUUUACAAGUCUCUCGUGCGUAAAGUUCUAAUUUAGCCCUUUUGCUUUUGUUUCCAGGGUAAUUCCCUUUUUCUUUCCCCCUUUCGUUUUUCUUCCCAAGUGUCAAUCAAUUCAAUUCGACUGCAAGGUGGUACAAAAGUUAAAUGACAAAUUUCGCACUUAAUGCACUUUAAUUAUCCACGCGUGUGCAGUUACAAUUCCAAAAUUACGAAGAUCUCCUUUACUUUACUUUAAAAAGAAGAUUAUGCACAUCUUCUCUCUUUUUUUAUCUUGUACUUUAGUUGAUAUUCGUAUAUCCUCUUCAUAAUGAACCAAAAAAUUGAAUAAGAUCGACCUUUGAUUACAAAUUUAGAAGGGAUUAUUGCAAUUAAACUCCAAUUAAGUUUAAUGUUAAUUUCGAAAAUCAAACUUUCAUCAAAGACAGAGCAAACAAAAGAGAAUCGCGAAACUUCCGGCAUAUCAAGAUCGUGCUAAUCCAGACCCCAACAAAUCCUUGAAAAAGAGUUGCUUUAUGUGAUAAGAUUAAAAGAAUUGUAAGUAGGAAAUUUUAAAUUCAAAAUCUUUGUUCCGAAAAAAAAAUUUCCUUGUGCUAACUUCAAUAUGGUUAACCCAUUCUUCAAUAUAAAGAUGCAUUGAGCCAACAGCCUUUAAAAGACAUCCUAAUUUUAGGAGGCAAAAUUUCCACAAGAUGCGCAAUCUAAUUGAUUACACGCUUAUAAAUCAAGUUAAAUGAACUCAUGAAGAAAUGUAUAGGGAAAUUCAAAGCGAAGAGUACCAAGUCAAUCACCUAAUGAAAGAUUUCCUAAGACGUGAAGGCGCUAAACCACAUCAAUGCUAACAACCAUGCAUGAACAAGUGGGUACAACACGGGAAUACGAAAACCUACGCUAUUGAAAAUUGCCAGUUUUUGCCGAAAAAGUGGACCAAAAGCACUUAAUGAGACCCGUUCCACGUUUAAGUCGUUUCAUUAGAGAAUUAAAGAUAUCUGAGUCAAAAUGACAAUGGGAGGUUAGUCGGUCUCCUGUGGAAUAUUACCGGUAAAAAUCCCUUUCAGUUACUUAGUCAUUAGUCAGAUUAGGUCACUAAACAAGUUUGAAAGAGAUGUUACUACGGAAUAUGCAAUGUUAGUGGCACUAUAAUCCUUAAGAUCUUUCUUAACUAAUGAUUAAUGAGGUCAAUCCACCCAUUCUUAUGUUCACUUUCAUGCUCAUUACAUAAAUUGUUCACAUUUGUUUGUCAAAUAAUUUCGUAAACGAGAAAAUUCAUGCGCUCUAAACUUGAUUUAGUGAAAGGUUUUCGUUUUCAUUGUAUAGCUGGAAAGUUGGACAGUCUGUUUUGAAUGAAAGUUUCAUUUGGUCCAAUUAUGCAAACUAAAAAAUAGGAGUGUAAAUGAGUCAAAUCGAACAUUCUAAUGUUCAAACAUGUUUGAUUAUUUUAACGAGUUUAAAAUUUGGUUCAAAUUUGACUUGUUUAUUUAUCGAAUCGAGAUUGAACGAUUUUUAUCGAAUUUGAAUAUUAUCGACCAUAAAAUACUAUUUAAAUUUGAUUUGAUUAAUUAGUAAAUCAAACUCAAAAAGACGUUCAAUUCGAAUAUCGAGUAGUUUAGUUCAUCCUUCAAUCUUACUCGAAGUCACGUUCAUUGCAAACGGACUGGAUGUAAGUCGAGCUCUAGCAAGUCACCAAGACCCAAGAAUUCACUCUCUGCUGUAGUGGGCCGUUCUGUCUAAACUGGGGACCGACAAACCCAACUUCGAAGACCUUAAUCAGCGGACCUCAACUUGUAAUUCAGGGAAUAGCCCAGCUGUAACACUUGGACCUCACCUUGUAAUUCAGGGAAUAGCCCAGCUGUCCCAUAACGCGUUUCACUUUCCGUUUGAAGCUUCAAAACUGAGAAGUAAAUACCUAAUUACAUUUACAUUUCGUACCUUUGAUAGAACUCUACUUUUUAUCUUUUUUUUUUUUUUUUGGUUUGGAGUGCCUUCGAGUUUGGAGGGUUAAAAGCCCAAAAUUGUGUACAACCUUGACAUAGAACCUCUAAAAAAAUUUUUUUUUUGAGAGGUUCUAUGUCAAGGUUGUAGGUAGGGGUGCAAACGAGCCGAACUCAAGCCGAGCUUUGGCUAAUCGAGUCGAGCUCGAGUUAAUUUUGUGAAGCUCGAGCUCGAGCUCGACGAGCUCAAAAUAUCGAGCUCGAGCUCGAGUCAAAUUCGAGUCGAGCUCGAGUUUAAAAAUAAAAAAAUAAUUAUUAUUAUUUUAUUUUAAAAAAUAAAAAUAAUUAUUUAUUUUUAAAAAAUGAAUAAAAUAAUAAUUUUUUAAUAAAUAAUAAAAUAUUAGGGAUAUAUAUGUAAUUUUAUUAUUAAAAUAAAAAAUAUAUAUAAUUGAGCUCGCGAGCCAACGAGCUUAAUGUUUUUGAGCUCGAACUCGAGCUCGAGAUCGACUUAAUUAGCUCGAGCUCGAAUCAAACUCGAUAUUGACGAGCUCGAGUCGAGUUCGUAUUCGCGAGCGGCUCGAUUCGCGAAACACCCCUAGUUGUAGGUAUGGAUGGCAACGGGUCAAGUAUUAUCGAAAAUUUUUUUUACCAUAUCUUAACUCGCAUAUUUAAGUAUAUUUACCAAAUCUUGUCGAGUAAACCUAUGGGUUUUAAUUCCCAUUACUAAACCCUUCCACUUGUGCGGUUGAAUUAUCCAUUGGGUACUCUCUAUUCAUUAAUAUUAAUAGUUUGAAAAAGGAAAAUUAACAUUUUAUCAAAUUAAAAUCAAUACAUAAGUCGAGUUAAAUUAGCGCCCUAUAUCGAAUUUUAAACUGUUGUAAAUCCAUAGAACUUGCAUGGGAAAAAUCCAAUAUUUAGUGAAGGGUUAAAUCAACAUUCUUCUAUUUUUAAUUAUAAUUAACUUCAUUUGUGUUAUGCUUGAGUUACUCGUCAGUAGCUACUCAUGAGACAAAAUUCUAAUGGAUAACUCAUCGAGCAUGUAACCCGAAUUAACCAUUGGAUUGGAUACCCACAAAUAUCAAAUUUUAUCUUACCCAUUGCCAUCUCUAGAAAACAAAUUUUUUAAGUUUGACUAAAUUGAGACUUUAGGAAUUAAAUGAUUCUGGACUCAAAUCCUCCCCUACCCUUCUCGUUUUUCGAGUCCCACCCAUUUCUUCCCGGAAAAAAAAAAGGGGUUUUUAAGCUAGAUUUUAUCGGACUUUUGACAUCCAGCUAGCUCCAAGUCGACGCAAGACAAGAAAAAGAAAUUCAUGUGUUUUGACAUGGACUUGUAAUCAAUUGAAGGUCUGUUUUGGUAGACAAUAAUGCAUGCACUAUACUACUCGUAAGUAUGUACUUGUCUUCAAGUAUGUGUUUGAUUACUACUGCCCCUAAAGCUGAUACCACGAAACCUGUGACUUGUCCAAAUGCAUACUAGACUACCAGAACACUAGAACGACGACAGUAGAGUAGUUGACUCAACCCCAGAUCAAUAAAACUGGCGGACCAUGCGACGUGAGGGUCACAAAUUUGAAAUUUCUUACAUAAAUAUAAAUGGGACAAUCCUCUUUAUCAAGAUUGGCAUAUACCCUUGGGAGCAAUUCACUCUAAAAACAUAUAUCCCAACAUUUUAUAAUAUCUAUCCGUUUCGAUUAACUAUUUUUGGAGAUAUUUUUAAAAAAUUUUACUGUAACAGAGUUUUUGUAAUAUAUUUUUGAAAAUAUUUUGAAAUAUUUAAAGUAGAAGAGUUUUUAGAAUAUAUUUUAAAAUAUCUUUUAAACAUGAAAAAAAAUUUAGACUACUUUCUAGAUUACCUUUUAGAGUAUUUUUUAAAAAUUUUAAUAAUAUUUAAAAAAUUAAUUUUUGAAAAACUCAGCAAUUUAAAAUAUUCAUUUUUAUGUGAUGAUUUAGAAGUAUUAUUAUUAUUAUCUCAUGCACUAAACUUUAGUUAGGGCUGUCAACGGUGCAGGUCCGGGCCGGAAUUCAUUAUUCCGGACCCGAAUCCGACCCGUUUACCCGACGGGUCUUUUAUUAUAUGUUCCGGAUCCGGGUCGGGUCUACCCACACAAAUUUAGCAAAAUUUAUAAUUUCUAAUAAAAAUGAGAAAAAAAUAUAUUUGUAAACUAAUGCAAAGAAAAAAUCAAAUAAGAAAAGAAAUCAAAUUGACUUUACUCAAAUACAUCACCCUAAUCAAAUUAUAUUGAUAAAUAUAUAUUUUUUAAAUUAUUAAUUCAUUUAUAUCCGGAUCCGGGUCUAAUACGGGUCGGAAUACUAUAUUCCGUAUUCGACCCGUUUUUUUUGUUUGACAAAACGGAUCCGGAUCUGGAAAAUGGAAUUAAAUCCCUACCUAUACCCGCAAUAAUUUCACUUCGGAUCCGGGUCUAGACCCGACUCGUUGACAGCCUAACUUUAGUACCAUCUUCUUGAGAAUUAAAUGCAGACGCUGAUAUUCACAGUCUCAAGCUCCCAACCAUCCUUGUCAGGGGACAUACCCCACCUUAUCAUAUGUUUGCAAUUGUCAUCACCUUCUUGUUUGAAGACAAGAAGAAGAAAGAGGAAAUUAUUGCUGAAACUUGCACGGAAUUUUGUUAGGAUUCGAGAAUCAAAGCAAUUGGAAUCAUACCAAAUCUUGAAAAUCUUAGUAGAAAAAUCAUGGUCCUUCGACUUGAUCAUCUCAACUUACUUUUCUUACGACAAAAUUGAUUUUGUCGUAAAGAACUAUUAUGACAGAAGAAAUAUGUCGUAAUAAAUGUGAAAAUCACUAAAAAAAAAAGAAAGAAAGAAAGGGGCGAUUAGUGUAAUAUCAAAAAGAUGAAUUGUCCUUCAAUAAAGCUAAUCAUUCAAGCUUUCAGUGGGACAAAAAAGAGUAGUAUGGAUCACUAAAAGGAUACUUUCAAUAAUUAGCUCUUAAGUAAUCAUUACCAUACAAAAGAUGCUGAGGUGUUCAAAAUUAGUAUAGUGCCAAAUCACCAUACCAAUUAUUUAAAGUGCCAAGUUGAAGGGCAGCAUGGUCAGAAAAUUCCAUUUCCCCAGACUUCCACAAUUCAAUGAGCCCUCUUUGCUAGCCUUAUACAUGCCUGUGACUAGGCCUUUCACGGGACCCCAUUUUUAAAUAAAUGUCGUCACAUGAUCCAAAACAGGUCACCAAUGGGGCAAAUUUAAUAAAUUCUCUAAACCAAGAAAAGUAUUGAUUCUCAUAAACUUGUAACAAGAUUUUAAACUUGGAGGUUGGAGCUUGGAACUUGAAAGUUGAACCCAUACUCAUAUUUUAUUCCCUUUCUUCACUGGCAAGGGGUAAGCUAGUUGGGCAAGAAAACCAGAAAAAUCCAAGAAGAAACAGAGCGUUAGUCUGCGACAAUUGGGUUGUUCUUACCUCAGCCUCAUCUAUCCCUUUCUCCCUGUCCUUUUCACGUUCUUGGUUGGUUGCUUUCUUUUUCCAGCUUUUGUAUAGUCUUGUUGAUGAAUGCUUGUAUGGUUGACGCCUGCUCAAUCAUCCAAUCAAGAGUUCAUCAGUUCGGUGGAGUUGAGUUCAUGUACAAGUUCAAGAUCCUUUUUUUUAUGAGAGGUACCUUCUUUAAUUAGUGUAAAGGGCUGAACCCAAGUUUCUUUAUUGCAAUAAAUGCUGUUUUUGUUGAGGUAUUGCUGGUGUUUUGGCUGAGAGAUGGUGGCUUUUACUGUUUUGUUUUGUUGUGCGUUUACUUUUGUUAAAGAGGGUUGAAGUUAGAGAUUAGAACUACUGAAUUUAAUACGAGGUGGAGAAUAUUUAUGGGUCUACUUUGUUAAAGUGAAAUUGAGAUUAAAGACUCAAUCUUGAUAUGCGAAAUGCUCUUGGAUUGAACCUUGUCCUUUGAAUUGCAUGUCAGGAUUACUACACAGGGGGUAGAUUCUUUUGCAUGUUUUUAGAGAUUGGUUGAACCGGGUGUUGAAUACUGAGAUAUCUGGGUUUGAUAAGAUUGGGAGGAUUGAUUCUCUUGAUUAUUAGGCUGUUCUGUAGUUUUAAAGUUGAUAAUGAUUAGCCCUUUGUGCCCUGGAAUUGUUCUUUUAUUAGCCUGGAAAGAAUUACUAACUAAUGCUAUCCUGCCAAAACUACUGUUGAGCUACUAUCACUGUGUGUUUGUGGUCAGAAUCAAAGUUGAGGCUGCGUCACGAUCAUUUGAACGGUAUUUCAAUUUGGGUUAAAUUCUGAUGUUGCUGUAGUAAAGAUCAGAGAUUGUAUUCCCUUAUGAUGACGCAGUCUUUCUUUUCUUGACUGCUAACAUUUUCCUUUUUUGGGUUAAUAUUUCGUCUUGGAUAAUGCAUUACCCAAAAACUUGGAUGUCUAAAUUGGAGUUACUAUUAGACGUUAAAGGGUCCGAUUUGAACUUUGAUGGUGUAUAAUACUCAAUUGUGUGGACGAUUAUAUUGCCUUAUCAUACAUAAAUUUCUUAAGAUUGAGAAUUUCUGGAUGUUCAUCAAGAACUUGCUUUCGUAGUCGUGGAAGAUUACUCCUCUACUUUUUGUGGGAGAUACCUCUGAGCUGGGUGCUGUAUCAAUGCAUACUUCUCUUAGCUCUUUCUUUUGAGCGAUUAAGAGCUGCAAAAACAUGUGCUUUUUUUUUGGAUCAUUAAUACUUUUACACUAUUAAUAGCCAAAUGUGAACUGAAACAUGACAAUUGUUUUGUGAUGCAAUCAUGCAUGGUUUACAACAUAAUUUUUAAUUGUGGAUUUUACAGUGGUGGUAUGAUUUGAUUUUGCUGAAGAAUAUGAUGGAGGACAAGCAAUUGAAUCUAAGCCGACCACUUCUUUCUGUGAGACGCCACACAUCAACUGUAGCCUCAGAAAAAGAUAGCAAAAAGAAUGAUCAAAGUUCAAUCUCAAGUGUUACUCGACCUCCUCCAUUUUACAAAUCGGAAUUAAAAUCAGGCCCAGUGAGGAAUGCAGGUACAGUGCCAUUUGUCUGGGAACAGAGCCCUGGGAUGCCUAAGUUUGAGAGGACGCUUGAAACUCACACAGAAAGGCCACCAGUUGCACCAAAGCCUCCUCCUGGAAGAGUUUUGAAAGCUAACCAACAGGAUAAUGAUAAUUCUUCAAAAAAAUUAACUGUCAAUAAAAGCCAAGUUGGGAAUCCCCAGGGCUCGCAGAGUGCCUCAGAGUUGGGUGAUAGCAGUAGAAGGUUUAAGAUUACUGAGGAUACAGUGGAGGAAGCACAUGAAAGAAAAGAUGAUUCAGAGGAUGAGGAUGAAGUCUUUGAAGAUGCCCUGGAUACGCUCUCAAGGACCGAAUCAUUUUUUGUGAACUGCAGUGUGAGCGGCAUAAGUGGAUUAGAUGACUUGGAUGUAAUGCCAUCUGGAACAUUCUCUACUGAUCCUCAGGCUCGAGACUUCAUGAUUGGUCGGUUUCUGCCUGCAGCCAAGGCAAUGGUUUCAGAAACACCUCAAUAUGCUCCUGCUCCAAAGAAACGACCAGUGGUUCAAGACAAUCCAAGGCAACUGAAGAAAGUAGUAAAUGCAGAUAACCGACCUCAGCUUAGGUAUGGACCUACUUUUGCAAAACAUUAUUCAGAAUUCCAUGACAAUGGAGAAGAAGAAGAAAGUGAUGAUGACUAUGUUGAACAUGAAAAUGUUCCAUCCAAAGUUUGUGGAUUACUGCCCCGAUUUUGCUUCAAGAGUCGUCUUUUAAACCCUCUACCCGGGAUGAGUGUGAGGACUAGGACACCCAUGUCUCCCACUACAAGGAUGCUGGCUAGAUCUUCUUCUGCUAGUACUUGCAGCAAAACUGAAAAUGAGGUAACUCUUUUUUCUGAUCCAAUCCUCCGUCCUAUCCCACUAGGGGACCACAACCCAUAAGAAAAAGAGCAAAAAAGAAGAUAUGAAUAGACAAAAAGAAAAUAGUUGUCGAUCUUUUGCAGCAAGUUUGUGUUCACUGAAUUCAGUUGCUUUUCAUAUUUACAGCUGUCUAGUGUUGAUAUGAGUGAGCAAAGAUCAAUUGAUGGAUCCCAAACAGCUGAGCUUCAUGAAGGGAAGAACAAUUUGAAUGUGAAGUCCAGUCAAAUCUCUUUGAAGUCUCAGAAAUAUGAAAAAUCAUUGGCCAACGGGCAUGGUGGUGUGUCAAGCCAUUACAAUGAAUCACCUGCGUCAAUUGACCAAAGAGCUUUCCCGGUCAUUCCUGUUGAACCACAGGAUGCUAGUGUUGAUGGUUGCAGCUCUGAUGAGAAGAGUUACAGAAGCUUUAGGGAUUUGUUGGCUGAUCAGAGCCCCUCUGAGGAAGUAAAUUCAGCAAGUCCAGCAGUUGAGAAAACUCUCUACGUAGAUACUGUGCAUAAAGGUGAAUCUCCUAAGAAAACAUGUUCUUUGGGUAUGAAAGGGCCGUCAAUUGAAAGAGAAAUGAAUGAUGAGAUUUUACGCUCAGUAGAUUCUUCGCUCAUUGACCAUUUAAGCAUUGCUGAUGGAGGAGAUCCAUUAAAGACAAUUUCUCGAAAACCCCUUGUCUUCAGUCUCCUUCCUUUGGCUGAUGAACCCAGUCAAAAGAUCGAAAAGGAUAAUCGAAAGGCUUUUGGAGAAGAUCAAAAGCUUUACCAGGACGGAGUUGAUUCAAAAAUUACACAAGUGCCUGUCAAGCUAACUACUCAAACUUUAGGAAAGCAGACUGCCAAAGCAGAAAUAGUGGUAAAUUACCAUGGAAUCUCUGCCGAGUUUCCUGCUCCUCCACCAUUACCAAAAUCUCCAUCAGAUUCUUGGCUUUGUCGCACUUUGCCUUCCAUGUCUUCAAAGAAUUCAUCUAUACUUUCGCAUUUUGGGACAGGAAUGAAUCCAAGAAAUCAGGUUUCCAAGACACAAUCUGCUGAUCCCAAAUGGGAAACAAUAGUUAAAACAACAAAGGUGCAUCACCAUCAUUUGAGAUACUCUGAGGUAAAUUGGAUUGUUUUCUUUUUUUUUCGGCUAAAUUGAAGAUAAACUGAUUCGGUUCCUUUUACAUUACUAUUUCAUUUCACUGUUUCAUUACUUACAACUUUUUCCUUUCUUUCAGGAGUUUCUAGCAGCUAUACCAGAAAGCUAGAGAAAUCUUUCGUCACGUCCUCUGCUUCAUGCUUCUGCUUCCCAUAUUCAUUAGUUUUCUGGUUUCAAAGGUCCUUGAUGGUACACAAAAUUUUCUAUGGGUUUAACUUUCCCAUCUUUUCCUCUGAGAACAGUAUAAGAUUCAAUUCUGCAAGUAAUACUCAAGACAAACACUGUGUGUAUAGUGAUUAGCAGAUUCAAAAAAAUCGAUACACGCUAUGCCCUGAGGGUUCUGUAAAUAGCAUCAUUAAUUUUUGCAGCACUACCCAAUAAGAAAGGUUCUGUGGGAAAAUUUACAUGCUCUUUCACGUUCUAUUUGCAUUACUUUUACCAUACUAGCAUGUUCUUUGGCUUAUGUGAAUCAUUUUCGGGACUAAACUGGUGGGCUCAAAUCUGUUGUAUAAUGAACCAAAGGAUCAGAAUCCAGAACUGGUGGUAGCAAAUAAAGAAAGCCAAUGCCAAUGUGUAAAGGAGCUUUUGAGCUACAUUCAUGAAUUUUUGGCCAGUGAAUAUGGUUGAUAGCUGGAGAUUCUGAGGUUGUACAAAGAAGAGGUGAAAUCAACUGAUUUACGAGUACGCACCGGGGACAAUAAGUCCAUUGGAGCGAAACUGGGAACCCCACAUGGGUUGGUGCUUAGCUUAGUUUUCAAAGCUGAGUACAAUUAUCAUCAAUCUGAUUAACUAGAGUACACCAUAAAAUGUUAACAAUCUCCAAGAACGAAGGGACCACUGUCCCAAUAAAAACAAGAAGAGUGAGAAGUUCCCCAGGCAACGGGGCACAUCUCAGAAGACAAAAAUACACGUGAAAAAUCUGCAAAUAUGUACGUAUCAUACGAGACUAUAAUUACGAACCUCCCAUUUUGCUCCUGGAUUUCCUGUUUCCGUGGUGCCACCAUCUCGGGAGUCGGGACUCUUUUGUUGGGUGGCCUUGUUAUGUAGGAGCCUAAACUGUUAGAAUACAGAAGCUAAUUAGGGAACAGGUGCAUCAACUAUUAACUGCACAAACAAGUAGUACUGUGUUGGGCAGCAAACCAGCCGAGCUGCUCGUUAGUCAAAAUUCGACUUGAAAUCGAUUAAUAUCGAGCUCGAGUUGAGUUCAAACUGGCCAAAUGAAAUUCGAACUCGAGUUCAAGUUUAAAAUAUUAAAUUCAUUAGCUCGCGAGCUCGAGUAUGUAUAUAUAUAUAUAUAUAUUUAUUUAUUUUAAUAAUAAAACUACAAAUAUAUUCCUAAUUUUUAAUUAUUUAUUAAGAAAAAAAAUUAUUUUAUUUAUUUUAAAAAAAAUAAAAUAAUUAUUUUUUUUCGAGCUCGAGCUCGAGUUUUAGAUUGAUAGCUUUUUGAGCUCGAGUUCAAGUUUGAAUUUGAUAAAAUUAAAUUAAAGCUCGAUUCGAUUAGAUCAAAAUUCGAUUCAAUUCGGCUCGUUUGUAACCGUAGUACUAUAUAAGUCCAUUCAAGAGCUCUCCUUUGAAAAGAAUCAUCAAACUUUUACUUGUGACCCAGGGAAAAACUUCGAUGGGGAAAAUAUUAUUAAUUGACCAGAGCCCAUUUGUUCUUACUUCUUUGGCUAGUACCCCAUUUGAGUUUUCUUCAACUUCUAAACAGUUGCCUUUUUUCACCAUUGCAUUGUGUUCUCCUAUCCCAGUAUUAGAUUGCUUCAAUCAUACUAAGUCGCAAGAGAAUUGAACGCGUUGUAAAACCCAGGAAACAGGAUCAAAGUCUAUGCGUAAAAGCCAAACCAUACAUUUUGCUUCCCUUAUUCCAGAAUUCUGACGGUUUGAUAAUAUCGAGACAUGAUACUAAUGACUAAGACUUCAUUUAUGAGUCAAAAUGUUUCCUUGCGGUUUCCCAACACCCAACCACUUUUUACGAAGUACAUCAACAAUUAAAGAAUUACUACUCGGUUUUGACUCGGAUGUAGAAAACCGUGAGUCCCAAAAAAAAAAAAAGGUCUGUGGUUGCCCCUGCGUUUCAAUUACAUUACUCGCAUUCAAUUCGAAAGACAACAAACACAUCAUGGAGUUGGUUUUAGACAAAAAAAUUGUGAAGAUAGAUUUCGACACUAGCACUUUUAAUACCGGGGUUAAUGAUUUUUACUAAGUCAACUAAUCCGUUUGGAUUGCUAUUCUUUUUCUAAAAUUUUUAUUAAACAGAAUAUGCUGUAACGAUUUAAUGAAUGUAAAAUUAAAAAAUGAUUAUGUAAUUUCAUGAAAAAUAUAAAAUUUUUCCUUAAAAAAUUGUAAUACAAACGAGGUUGAGAAGACUGUGGAUUUGUUUGGACAGUGAAUUCUUUAUUUAUAUUAUCAACACAUUUUCUAUCUACAUUUUUAUUCCACAUGCUUCAUAUUAAAAAGUGUUACAGCAUUUUUUUUUAAUUUCAACGAGCCAACCACGGUCUUUUGUUCAGAAUGCUGGCCCGUCCAAUGUGUGAAAAUGGGUUUCGACUCAUAGGACCCUCAAUUUGGGCUAGUAUUUACUAAUACGUAUUUUGAUUCUUAUCAAAAUGUUUUUCCUUAAAUUUGAUGCCAUUAAUAACAAAAACCAAUAUUUUUUUCAUCCCCUUGAUUUAAGAAGGGUCCGUGAGGAAAAGGAAAUUACGAAGUAGUUUUUUUUUAAAAUUUUAAUUUUCCUCAUCCACAAAUGACGCUAGAUUUAAAACGUUUAAUGAUCGAUUAAAAAACAGAAACGAACAAAAAAGUAUUUUAGUAGGCUUUUCUAUUAAAACAUUGCGGUUGGCUAACACAUGCAAUUGGUUAAGUCAUAAGUGAGACAUUGGAGAUAGUAGAUUAUUUGGGAUAAUUUUGUGAAAAAAAAAUACUGUAACACUUUUUUGAUAAAAUAAAAAGAAAAUGUGAGACAGCUUGUUUACAAGAAAAAGUGUGAGAAAAUGAAAGAAAGUUAGUUAUUUUUUCUUUUGUGUAUGUUAGUUAUUUUUUGUGUCGGAUAAAAUUUGUAAAAUUGUGAAGGAAAAUGGUUGGAUAGACAUAAAAUUUUAUUAAUUGUUACUAACCACUGCUAAUUUCUUAUUUUCUCUCAAAAGUUGUCCUCUUCUUCAAGUUCUUUUACCUUACUUUCUCACACUGCAGUUUCUCACGUAACUUUCUCAUAUAUGCCGAGAUUGCUGAAUUUUCCAAUGGUUGUUGGCGUAGUCGGUUAAGAUGAUAGAUGGACUACGGGUCACACAUCAACAGGAUUCAUUAUUCUGUGCUCCCGUGCUAUCUAUAAUUGCAUUUAUAGUUGGUUCUGUAUUGAUCCUGUUUGCGGUUGGAUGUUGCAAUGGUGAUCAAGAACAUGAUCAAGACAUGCAUCAAAGAAGAAGAAGAUUAGCAAGGCUUGUACUGAGCCUCCUCCCAAUUAUAACACUUAUGACGACUAUUAUGGUUCUGAGAAGAAGAGUUCGUCCACUGAUGGAAGUUCUAGCUCUAGCAACACCAUGAAUUACCUGGCUUAUUUUGCUGCUAAUAAUGCUCUUUCUGCUGUUGGUGGUGGUGGUGGUGGUGGUGAUGGUGACAGGGGCCAUCAUCAUCACCAUCACGGGCGCCGCCACCACCAUCAUCAUGGCCAUCACCACCACCGCCAUCAUGUUAGAUAAAUGCAUUUACUUGGCCUUUGAUACAAGGGACAGGGUUUUGGAGGCGUUUCCAUAGUGAAAUUUAUGCGAGAGCUUUUGUGGAAUGUAAAUUCUAACCCCCUGAAAACAGUUGUCUUUGACAUUGUUUUUUUUUUUUUUAAUUGUAAUUAUGACUUGGGCUUACCAUUUGUCAAGGAAAACUUAUCCUGAUGACGUUUUGUAAGUAUACUCCCGAUUUUUUAUUAAUGGUAGCUUGAAAAAGAAUUGUAAAGGAAAUGCAGAGCCAUUAAUUAUAAUUCAGAGUGCCAAUGUAACGCGUCACAAUGAGCAAAUUUCUCUAAUAGUCCUUCAACUUUUUUAUUAAUCCACGUUUGGUUCUCCAUCUCAAAAAUGGGAUGGAAUGGUUAUUCAAUAAAAAAAUUUUGGGUCAAAUUGAUCCUUAUAUUGCGGAGCGUCCAAGUAAUCAAAGUGACAAUGAGAUUUGAAUUUUCUUGGCUAUUCCGCCACAUAGGGACCAAUUUGGGCCAAAAAAAUUUGUUGGAGAACCAUUAUUAUGUUUAAUUUUUAAGAUGGAGGACCAAAUAUGGAUUAGUAAAAAAAAUUGAAACACAAUUUGGGGGAUUUGCUCCAUUCUAAUUAUGUGGUUAAAAAAGUUAGAAAAGUCUUUGCAAGAACAAAAUAUGUUUAAAAAUGUCUUCGGUCUAUUGAAGUAGCUCUCAACUAAUUGGUUACGUGCUUUAAACAACACAAGAUUUUUCUCUGUUCCCUAUUUCACUCAACUGCCAAACGCAGUCCCCCCCCCCCCCCCUCUCUUUUCUCGAAAAAAAUGGGAGCCACCGGCAAGAUAGGAAUGGUAAUGAUGAAAUAAAACUGUGAGCAAAUUCUAGGGUUGCAGAAAAUGCAACGGAUCUUCUGUCCCACACCUUAUACCAUUCUCUGUGCCACUUUUUAUUAUAUUGCUAUUUUUUCUUCACAAAUAUCAUGUUUUAAUUCUUUUUUAUUUGCUUAAAAUCCAAUAACUAUUAAUUGAGUAAAAAAUAAAUACAACAGCUUCAAAAAACAAAUAUAUAAUAGAAAAUUAAAAAAUAUAGAGUGGCAUACACUAUCUUGUGUAAUUAACUUAUAAUUCAUGAGACGAAUAAGUCAUGAUCCAUUCUCGCUUCUUUAUAUCUUGUCUUAAUCACUGACCUAAUCAAGAAGUUGCUUGAUCCAUUCUCAUUUUCUUCUUUCUCUCCUCAAUUGGUUAAGUAACCAAAGAGAUGCUUUGAGAGGCAAAUGACAAAUUAGUCUUGAGAGGCAAACUGAUUAAUCGCCUUUUAUUAUUCAAUUUUUUAGUUUCCUUGCAUCUCAAGACUUAGAACAAGUCCAAAAUUUUUUUUAAUCCGGAGAGAGCAAAAAUGCCAGUACUACAUAGAAUUCUAUAGUCAACUAAGGCUGCGUACAAAUAUUAGAAUGCAAUAAUUCAUCAUUAUUCUGAUCAAAGGCCUCUAGGAUUUAGCUGGUAGUGUGAAAUACAACAAUUUUUCAGAAAAUUGCCCUUUGCAUUUACAGUAAUGUAAUCUAUACAAAUGCAAAAAUCUAUCGAAACAUUUCUGGGGGAUUCCCCAUUCAAGAACUAGUUCAUUUGUUUGACUUGGGAGUCAUUUUAAUUGGACUUGAUGGAAAGGAACGGUUUUGGACGCGUAUCAAGUUUGGAAUUUAUCUUUGUGGUAUGUAAAUUCUAAUUCUAAGAAAACGAAAUUAUCGAUCUUUGACUAGGGUUUAAUUAUAAUUACGACUUUGAUUUAACAUUUUCCAAAGAAUAAUUACUGUAAUACUAGUUCGGAUUGAUCUUUCUUAUAACCUAAAAUCUUUAAAAUUAUUAGUACUGAAUACAUGACACAUAAUCGUUAUUCAAAUUUUAAUUCUCUUGUUGUACAUGUUGUGUGAAUCUAGACUCAGCGACGUGAAAAUAUACACACUAAUGCUAUUGCAAACAUUAAUCCAAAUGGUUUAAACUUUUUAUACAUUAAUAGUUGAUAAGGUAAUAUAACAAUUAAUAUUUUUAGAAUUACAAGUCAUAGUUCAAAUUCGCUAUCCUGCCUUUCCGCUUCUCGCAACUCAUCUUUUUCUUGCUUAAAAGAAAAUCAACUAAUGUUACUGGCCCUUCAUUUUGUUAAUGGCGCUCCAAUGGGCUAUUGUAAAAUUGAAAAGUAGAUGAAGCACUUUUUUUUUAAUUAUUUUUGUUCAUCAAUAAUGAUCACGUUAUAUAAUUAAAAAUGUUAGAAAACUAUAUGCAGCAAUCCUUAUAAAUUAUUAUAUUAUGCUUCUAUACGGAAAGUCAUACUUCAUAUUUCUUCUGAAUGUAAAUGUAGUAAGAGAAAAUUUAUUUAAUUUAUACACUUUUGUGUGUAUGAUCAUGGGUAGGUUUCAAAAAUAAAAGCAAAAAAGCAUUUGUGUUUUUGGUUGCAUAUUUGUUUCAAUAUUUUCUAUUUCAAGAUUUCUUUAAAACUACACUCUUUUGUCUUUUUUUUUCCCCAACAUUUUGCUCAAAUGACAAAUGCAGUUCCUCCUCCUGGAAACAAUAUCGGGAGCUAGCAAGGCAGGGAUUAAAGUAGAACAAACUAAUUAAAAUAGAACAAGUCCUGCAUUUUUUUGGACCCACCCCCCCUCCCCCGACAAACACCCAAACCCCAAAAAAAGGGAUAAUUUCAUAAACCUCUCCUAAGAUUUCUGACAAUUUCACUAAUCUCCCCUAAGAUUAAGGUUUUGAUAAUAAAAUCAGUUCAAUUAGAAAAAGUAACAUUAAAAAGUAUUUUAAGGAGAGAGUUGAAACAUUAUUUCAUAAAUACCCCUUAUGCAUGUAUAUAAGUUGUAUUAAUAAAAGAAUAAAAAUAAUUAAAAACUAAAAACAAUUAAUACAUAUAUUUCAUCAUUCAAAAAGUUCACAUUUAAUAAAUUAAACAUUAUAAAUAAGAAACAAAACUACACUAAUGAUUACAAUAUUUAACAAAGCAGACUAGUUAUCUCUUUUGAUAUGAUGUUUGCUAUGAUUCUUGUGAUUUUGAACAGAAUUUUUUUUUAAAAAAAAUUUAUUUUUCUUUCCCCUCCAUUCUCCUUUACUAAUAUCUAACGAUUAAGUAAUUAGAGCACUAAUUAACUAUUAGUAUAACGAAAAUAACUGUUAAAAAUUUCUUUAAUGAUGAACAAUGACUUAUGUUUACAAAAUAACAUUAAUUGAUAUACCUAAUGGAAAAAGGAGGGAAAAUGAAAAUUUUUCUAUUCAAAAUCACAAGAAUCAUAUCAAACAUCAUACUGAAAAGAGAUAACUAGUCUGGUUUGCUGAAUCUUGUGAUCAUUAGUAUAGUUUUAUUGCUUAUUUAUGUUGCUUAAUUUAUUAAAUAUGAACUUUUUGAGUGGUUAAAUGUGUGUAUUAAUUGUUUCUAACUUUUAAUUAUUUUUAUUCUUUUAUUAAUAUAACUUAUGUACAUACACAAGGGGUAUUUAUGAAAUCAUAGUUUCAUCUCUCUAUUUAAAGUACUUUUUUAAUAUUAUUUUUUCUAAUUGGACUAGUUUUGUCAUUAAAACCUUAGUCUCAAGGAAGAUAUGUAUAAUUUUAUAAAUUUUAGGAGAGGUUAGUGAAAUUGUCAGAAACCUCAAGGGAGGUUGCGAAAUUAUCCCAAAAAUAAAAAGUUGACUGAGUUCGCCAGACGUAGAACAAGCAAUACAAUUUAUCACUCUCCCUCUCUCUCUCUCUCUCUCUCUCUCUCUCUCUCUCUCUUAAAUUCGGACAACGAAAAAUACUAGUAGUAUUUGACUGACUCAAUCUUGAUGGCCACCAACCAUUAAACUUGAACCAUCGAUGAUCCGUCAAUCCAUCUUGUCGGCAGUAGCGUUAAAUAUAAUUCUCAUGAUGUGUGGCCUCUGGCUAGUAGUGUGGAAUACAUAUUCAGAAAAGAAAUAUACAUAUAUCAUAUAUGGGAAGGAUGCUAAAUUUUUCGAUGGUUGGUGUGGUCGGUCCAGAUGAUGGAUGGAACAUUGAAUUCAUUUUUUUGUUAGUGUUCGGAUUCAUGUUUGUAUGUGUAAUCGGUUCUUUAGUGAUCCUAUGUUGGAAUAGAUGGUGCGGUCGUAAGGAACUUGAUCAAGAUCAUCAAGAGGAAAAUCCCUGUUAUAAUACUUUUGGCAAUUAUGGUUCUGGGAAGAAGAAGAGCAGGUCCACUGGAACUACCAGCUCUAGCAGCGGAAUAAAUUAUCUCGCUUAUUUUGCUGCUGUUGCUUCUCUUGCUGGCGGUGGUUAUGGGGGCGGCAACGGCCACCACGACCAUCACCACCAUCACGGCCACCAUCAUCACAAUCCCGGGCAACACCACGGCCACCAUCACCACCAUCAGGGCCACCACCAUCACAAUCCUGCCGGGCAUCACCACCAUCAUCACAAUCCCGGGCAUCACCAAGGCCACCAUCAUCAUGGCGUUUGAUGGUAAGCUAUGCAACAUAUAUAAGAUGCAUUUGGUAAAAAACCAAUCUAAGUAAUGAAAUUUUUGGACGUAUUUCAAUUUCAGAAUAUAUCUUAAGAGUUAUCGUGGCAUGUAACUUGUAAUCCAGGGAAAGUUCUGUUUAAAUUUACGAUUGUUUUUUUUUUUUUUUUUUUUGUUUCUCUUUGGAAGAGCCAAUUCUUUUAUAGAUUCUCUGAAGUUCAGAAACUCCGAUAGUGAGCAAAAACCACAACAACAAAGAAUGUGCCGAGGUUUUGGCGUACAUACAUCAUGUAGACUUUGAGGAAAAUACUCAAGAAAAAAUUGCAUUCAUACAUGACUAGGAGUCCAGGACCAAAGCUCUGGAAUUUUUCUGAAUAUUAUGUUUCCGACAUCUGUACUAUGGUUCGGUGGUUAAUAAUAAGCCACCUUAGAAGACUCGGAUUACUAGUCAAAAUGGGCAUUAUUAGAUGAAUUCACGACCUUUAUAAUUUUAGUCGAAACCGGAAAAUCGUUGAUUGUUACUACACAUGGUAAAUUAUGGUUGGAUGCUGGGAGCUAGAAGGAAACAUGACUUUUUUUCUUUUUUAAAGAGAAUUGAUUAUGAUUUUUACUUACCCUCAAUGACUCAAACUCAUAAUCUCUCGAUUAUAGGUGAAACGUAAGCAAAACAUUUGAGGCAUGACCUAUCCCUUAUCAAGUAAAAAAUUAACGGCACAACUAAUCGUUUAUUAGGUGAAAAAUUAAACUUUUUGGAAUGAGAAAUGAUCUAAAAGAUCAUACCAUUUGAAAGGUGAUUGUGUAUCAUAUUCAAAAAGUCGAACAUUUUUUUCUUGAAAUAUUUUUUAAUCAAAUUUUCAAUCCAAUUCAAUGGAACUGCACAGGUGAGAUUCUCCAUAAAAGUUCUAGACCAAACUUGAAAAAAUGAUAUAUGGUUUGGCUAAUGAGUACCCAUUGGGCAGCUGAUAAAAGAAGAAUAUAUUGCAUGUUAAUUCCCAAAAGUGUCACAAUUCAGGAGGUAUAAUGGGGGAGGAUUGGGUUGGAUGUUUACCGAGUGGGGAGGUGGAUUGUAAGUAGAAAGUUUUGGACUGAAACACUUCUAUUUAUUAAAAAAAAUUCAGGAGGCAUAAUAAAUACGAGUGUAUGUUUAUAUGCUAAUUUAGGAGUGAUUUAGGUAUCUUAACGAUUAGGGCCACCCGUUAGAAAAUUUUAAUUAUAAAGGUGGUUGUAAUUUGUCCCUCAAAUUUGGUUGUAGGAGAUCAAUGCAUGGUUUGCUUACCAAAGGGAACACACCGUAUCAUCAGAUAAGAUCCUUGAAUUACAUAUAUAUAUAUACGGCCGACUCAGCUUCUGAGACCCUAAAAACUUGCUUGAUAUAUUAUUUCUCUGAUGAUUAGCUUUUGCUUACCAAAAUCCUAUCCUUCCCAGCUUCUAAGGUCUAAUCAUGUUUCAGGUGUAGUAAUCGAACUCUUUCCUUUGACACCUUUGGAUUAUUAGAUAAUUUACCUCACACAAGCAAUGGGGCCAAAAAGAAAACUAAUAAUCUUGGGCCAUCCAUCAUUUGACCUUUUCUGCAUCAGAAUUCUCAAGUUUAGGGUUGAAAUCGAGAAAUGAAGCGGAUCAUAUAAUUCUCCGAAACUAUUGACUGGUAUUAUGUAUAAACUGAAUUACUGGUGGGUGCAUUCAACCCAAAAAAAAAAAAAAAAAAAAACUUUUGGCCACGAGCUAGUACAUAGACAAGAACCCAAUUUAGUGAUCUAAUACGAAAUUUUGACCAGGCAACAGCACACGAGUUUGGCGGCCAAAUAUCUUAUCCUUCUAGCUCUUGUCUUGAACGACAAAGCACGUUCAAAGCAAUCAGGACCAGGAAAUUAAUCAUAUGUAUGCAAAGAGAAUUAUAAAUGAGUCAUGGAAGCAUUACAAAAUCAGCCCGACAAGGACUCUAUUUCAAACCCAAAACAAUGUCAAAAUAUAAUAACAACAAUAUCAUCCAAAUCAAUCAACCCAUAGCAAUUACAUAAAUCGAUGCCUAUAGACACCCGUAUAGGCCAUCCAGUUUUAAGUCCGAAAAACUUUCUUCAACAUUAAUGAAGAUGGUUAGGUUCUUGAAGGCUUGGUUGAAUGGUUGUGGUAGCUUUUCAAAUUGCGUAGCUCUAAGCACAGGCGGCUAUGGAGGGCUGCUUGUGCUCUGCAUGCUUGUGAUAACGUCUCUUGUAGCGGUCACCGUGAUUAUAUUUGGAUGUGGCGACCAUCAAGAUAAAAAAUCAGCCAAGAAGAAACAAACUAGAACCUCUAGCACCAGUACAAGCAGAUCUUGUGGUUAUGGCGCAGGUGUUCGUGCUGGUCAAGCUAAAGAAUCAGCGAAGAAGGUGCAGUGUAGAACUAAUAGCACUAGCAGCUCUGAUGAUUAUUUCCUUUAUUAUGGUGCUGAUGCUGCUUUAAGUACUAGUGCAUGUGAUGGGCAUGGAGGUGGUGGCUGUGGCGGUGGCAGCCAUGAUGGCCAUGGAGGCGGUUGUGGUGGUCAUGGCGGUGGUUGUGGUGGUGACGGGCGCGAUGGUGGCGGCUGUGGUGGGGGUGGCUGUGGGGUGAAUUCUUAGUUUAUGAUGAAAAAAAAAAGGCAUUCUACAAUUGGGGCGAUUUUUGGAGGUUUUUCUACAAAUGGGGUGUUCGCAUUCCGGGAAUACGAGCUCACCGAGCGCCAAACCCAUUUCGAAAAAAAAAAAAAAAACAGAAAAUUGAGUCACAGAACGCAUUAUCGAAACAUAGCUAUUGAACAGCAAAACAAAGAAAACAGAGCUGUCGAAUAGCAAAACAAAGAAAACAGAGCUGGGUUCUGCACAUCGAAGCAUCCAAAGACCGGAGCUGGCCACCAUUUGUCCUAUUUUGUGGUGCCCAAACGCCGGACGGCAGAAAUAGGAGGAACGGCGCCACCAUCUCUGUUGUUCUGCUCCGCCGGAAGCCACGCCUCCUUCUCUUUGUGGCUCGCUGAAGCAACCACUCCAGAUUGCAGCCGGUUUUCAGAGCUUCUUCAACCACCAGAUUGCAGACCCAUUUGCGCCUUUGACCACCCACUGCCGCCCCAUUGCCGACCCAAAAUUUGCCAGCAUUGUCGUCCCAUUGCGACUCUCAAACAGCAUAAAGGUGAGCCUUUUCCAUUUGCAAUGCCUCACUUAUAGCAUUUUAAGUUUAAUUAAUACUUGAAUACUUGAAUCCAACGACAAGUUCAGAUUUGUUGUGAAAUUUGGAUUUAAAGUUGAUGUGGGUUGUGCUUAUUUUUGCAAUUUUUGUGGUGGAUUUGAGAAUAUACGUUACAUUUUUCGAAUUCUUGCAAUUUUUCUGUUUCCAAUUUGUUUCAGUUUAUUUGCACUUUCUGCAAUUAGUGUAGAAAAAGCAUGAUCCGAGCUCGGAUCCGACUCAACACAGAAGGAUCCGACCUCAGAUCCUUUGAGGAUCAAAGGCGAAAUUGGGUGAUACGACCUCGGAUCCAUAGUUGUUCACUCAGAUCCGAGGGCUCGUCUGAUCAUCUGUUGAGACGGAUCCGAACCCUGUUGGAUCCGAGGGAUUCCAGAAGUAUCCGAGCUCGGAUCUGAUCUGUUCGCGGACAUAGCAGAUCCUAUGCUUUGUUUCUUUUCACUGACCUCGCAUCUCAGUGACCUCGCAUUUAAGAGAUGCGAGAUAACUGACCACGCAUUUCAUAAAUGCGAGGUCUGGUUUUCUUUUUGUUUUUUUUUUGGAUUUCGUUGUUCGAAAAUUCGAGGAGACUUCGCAUUCAGCAAAUGCGAACUCAUGGAGCUCGCAUUUGCUGAAUGCGAAGACCCUUUGGACGGAAUCCCAUGCUCAAAAUGCCCCAUUUGUAGAAUUUUUUUAAAAUUCAUCAUAAUUUUAGAAAUAUCUCUUUCAUCAUAGUUUUUUUAAAAAUGUCUAUUUUUUGUGUUGAAGAAGAUAAAACAAAAAAAAAAAGAAAAAAGGGGCAAGUUCCAUUUAAAAUAGAAAAUGAGUUUUAAUUAAGGGAAUUAAACAUGAGAUGCAAAUGAGAAACGAAUUUCUCUAGGGCAGCUAUGGGUAAAUCGUACAUUAGAGUUGUGUUCCUAGAGAAGAUUUUAGAAAAAUAAGGGCCUUGAACUAAAAUGGAAAAAUAAAUUUUGCUAAAAUUACAAUAUAUGUUAGCGUGACCCAAGAUGCCGAGCAUUGAAGUUGUCUUGGACGCAUUUCCGUUGUUUUAACAGUCUUAGCAUGCCAUUUAAUUAUUUUUUAUAUACAUUUAGACACUAUUGUCGUAUUUUAACAAGUGUAUAUAAAUAUAUUUGACAAAUACUUAUUUUUCACUAAUGUAGUUAUCAAAGCCAUUUACAAUAAUUAAUACUUUAAUACGCCCUGUAUAAUUUGAAAUGAUAAUAAUUACAAUAAUUAGUACUUUAAUAUGUCUUGUGUAAUAUAAAAUGAUAAUAAUUAAUCAUCUAUGACUAGUUUAAUGUACAAAAUAAUUCUCUAAAAUGCUAAGCACAUAGUAGACAAAGUCUCUAAUACUCAAUGUGGGGGCAAGGGUUAUGUACCAAAUUUGGGUGGCAAAUGCCCACUUUUCAGUUUUUGUUUUUAAAAUCUAUUUCGCAGCUAUUAUUUUUGGUCGAAACACUAUCUACAUUGGACAUUUUAUGUUUUGCAAUUGGAGUUUAGAAAUUUUAUUGACAUUAUGUAGUUUAUAGAUUGGAGCUUUUGAAUUUCAUGGAUAUUUGGAUUGUUUGACAAGGAGUUUUAGCCCAUUUAUAGGGGAGACUCUGUCGAAUUUUUUGUAGAGUUUUCUUUGUGAGGGCAACUGACUAUUACAAAUACAUGACGCAACUUCUGUUUUUUUAAAUGAUUUUUUGUUGUAAAUUAUUUCUUCAUAUAGGUACAUACAAGGUUGGUGACACAAACUUGGGAGGUUUAGAGGCUGGCGUUGGUACCUCUAAGAUCCUGACCACAGAAGUUGGCUAGAUUCGAAUUUGAUACAAGUCAUUCGGUAAUAUAUUUUAUAUUACAACUUUUGAAUUUUUUACGUCGAAUUGAAAUAGUAUGUUUUGUUAAACUUCUGGAUGUAGAAGAGGGCGUUAGAACACGUUAACGGAUUUAUUUUAAGUGGAAUCGAUGAAUUUAAAGUUAAAUCUAAUCUUGUAGUAUGUAUUUACAAUAUAUGCAUGUCAAGGUUAGGGAAAUAACAGAUAAUGCUGUCAAGUGACCUUUGGAUAUAGCCAAAAAAAUCUUAUUGUGUUGUUGAUAAAAAUAGCAUACGUAUAUGAACAUAGAUCUUGUAUAGCUAUAUGGAUGUGGAGCAAAAAAAUUGAUUAAAUAUUCUUCCAAAUCGCAUGUCAAUCAACUCUCUUUUGCAAUUCGUAGGCGGCUCAUAGUUGCUAGGGUUCUAAAUUAUAGGGGACAUAUAUAUUAUACAGUGUGGUGUUGACCGAUUACAACUUAAUAUAGACCAUGUUUGUAUCAUUGGUACAGUGAGUUUUAGCCUACUUAUAGGGGAGACCCUGUCAAUUUUUUUUUUAAAUAUCUUUGUCAGUUUUUGAAUAUUUAUAACAAUUUCCGUAGGGGAGACUUUGCCGAUAUUUUUAAAAAGUUUUUGUAAUCUUCGUUAACUAACUAUUACUAAUUGGGAUACAAAUAACUUAUAUACCAACCAUGUGUCCGAACCGAAUCACGCCGUUGGAGCAUUACCCUGGUCCAUAUGGAGCUAGGUGCGCGUUUUACCCUUAUUUCGGUUGUUUUAAUGACAUUUAUUAACGAAACAACUUUAAUUUGUUCUAAACAGGUUCCUACUUUAUUAAAUGUAGGUGGAAUAAUGACUUGGACGUACACAGAGUUGUUAGGCAUGUUGUGCCCGUAUUUCGAGAUCAGUUGACAGGCCUGCGUCCUGAAGAGGUAUUGUACAUAUGUCCAGACAAUAGAAAUAUUUGAAAAUCGUGCCAGUAGUCUUGUCAUAAUAUUUCUUGUCAACUGAAAGCAUAAGUUUGCCAAAUUGCACUUUCUGAAUGGAAAUUGAGAUUGUUGGCAGGGAGUUAACCUCCAGUUAUAGGGGAGACUCUGCCGAUAUUUUUUUAUCAAUUCAAAAAUUUUUUAAUUGACCGGAGACUAGCACUUUUUUAAUGAAAUUGUCCAAUUUGAAUAUUGGAUAGUUUUAUUAUUUCUUAAUAGAAAAAAUGAAACAACUUUGAUUUUAUAUUGUUUUCAGUUCAUAUGGCAGCCAUAUUCGGAAGACGUUCUCGCUUCUCUUCCUGCGUAUUGUACUGCAGGUCGGGACAUUUGGAGGUCCGUAACGUAUCUUAUUUGCUGGGAUGUAGUUGAGCCGCACCUCCCUCAUCGGAUUAUGCGACAGUUUGGGUUUCAUCAAUUCCUGCCUGAUAUGAGGUUGACAGAUAAUCAGCAGCUCUACAUUCUCUAGAUCGUCAUGGUAGGGCGAAUCAAGACUGGAGCACCACGCAUAGACAAUAUAUUGAUAUUUGGACUGAUCGACCGGUGCAUGUACAAGAUGGCACUGUAAUUGAAGAUACUACAUAUCCAUCGAAUGAGUAUGUUCAGUGGUAUCGGGAGCGGACGGUGAUUUAUAUUUCAAAUCCGAGUCGAUUUUCCGCUUUCCCAGUGGGCUUUCAGGGUGAUAGCGCUAGGCCACAAUAUCUUGUAAGUUUAUUUCCAACCCACUUUUAAUAAUCACUUUGAGUUUGCUCACUUUUUAAACUAUUUUUUAUCACAGUAUCUCCUUCUUAUUCUUGUAGUUGUUUCUCUAGAGCGAUGCCAUGUUUCGCAUGUAUUUCAUGGCACGGGACUCUCUUGCAGUUAGUGAUGAACAACACAGCAGAUAUUUUCAAGAGUUAAGGGACUUUGCAUCCACAUCUUUGCAUCAUGUAGGAGAGUCACGCCAACUUGUAUUUCGCCCUCCAUAUGUACCACAGGAGAUUCCACUAUAUGCUGAUCCAUGUCGUGUUCAUCAAGCUCCCAAAAAUACCCACGGAAGUCGGCAUGGCGGUGGACGACGUCAUAGACUCCGAUCACCAGAACCCGCCAUACAAACUGGAUUCCAUGGAGGCUCGAUGGCUACCGAGGACCAAGCUGACGCAUCUACUUUUGUCAUACCUCAGACCGAAGUCAUGCAUGAGAAAGGUGCAUCGAUUGGGCAUUCUAGAUCCCCUGUGACUUUUCCAGAGUUUACGACCGAUAGGGACUCACAUCAGCAUACUUCUGAGCAAUGUGAAGGAGGUGAAGGCACAAGCACUCAAAUUCAAGAUGCUAUACUGUUGACACAUAUUACUCAAGUCCAUACAGUAGUGCCAAACCAACCACAUCGAAGUCGAAGAAUACCCAAACCAACAACAUGUGGUACUAAUGGAAAACUUGGGCAACAUUGAUGGCACGCUACUUAUAUCGUUAUUGUAUAAAUAACCUAACUUAUGGAUUGCAUACUUUGUUGGUGACAUUUUGUAUAUAUUCUAAAAUUUCACGAAUAUGAGUGGAACAAUGCCAUCACGCGUAUCUUAUUUCUCACUUUAUAUGAGUACUCUUUUAAACAAAACCAAAAAAAAUGGCUACAUAUGUAAACCAAAAAAGGUAAACUAUACUAACCUCUCCUCUAGUUCAUACACGGUAAGUUAGUUACAUGUCGGAACAUAACAUUUUAAAAAAUUAAACAUACUAUUUAUAAUAUAUUUAUAAAUUGUUAUUUUUUACCUUUUGUUAUUCAUAGUUUCCCCAUUAAAUAUAGGGUACAAACUUUAACAUUCUCACAUUGGCAAGUUAAAAAUAAGAUUCCAAUUUUGUUCAUAAAAAUUAAGCCCUAACUUAUUAACAAUUUUAUUUUAUUUUAUAUUGACCUUGAAAAUAAAGAAGCAAGAUGUGUAGUUAUUUCGUUAGUAUAGUUGUAUUAUAAUAAAAUUAUUGGCUCACGACAUGGUGGAUUGGCUCGGAAGUUUCGACUCAUGGAGAGAAAAUCGCUCCUUAAUGUUCUAAAAUGAUUCAAUUUUUUUGAGUCGAGCCAACGACUAUAAACGAAACCGCUUGUUGGGAGGCAACCCAAUAAUAAUAUUGUAGUUGUGUUUUUAUGUGUUUCUUAUAUUUUGGUGUGAUUUAAUUGACUAAAUAGAUAUAUUUCACUUGUUUGCAGGCGGUACCGGAGUUUCAUCAUUAUUUUGGAGGUACAAUUGAGGAACAAGUAUAAAAAGGGAGGUUUUCUUAUCAAAUUGUGCUUUAAGUGUUUAGAAUUCCCAAGCAUACAUACAAUGUUGCAUUUUUAGUAUAUUCAAGUGAGUUUUGGAGAUAACAUGUUUAUACAUGCUCAUGGACUCAUUUGAUGUGCAUGUAAUGUCCAAAAGUGUCAUUUUUGUGUAAAAAUGUAAAAAUGAUCAGAGAACCUCACCCCUCGAUUUGCAAUGUAAAUAUGUUUGAUAUGUUUUAAGAGAUUGGAUAUUGUACUUUUGGUAUAUUACAUGUGCGUGGGAGGUUAGAACUGAUAAAACGUUUUUCCAACGCGUAUUUUGGAAUUGGCCGAAAAAAGGGAGAAAAAGUUUAAAAAAUUGCAGUUUCUACAAUUAGUGCAGAGAAAUACAGAUCCGAUCUCGGAUCAUAAGUGCCCAGAAGGAUCCGACCGCGGAUCCAUUGAUCCGAGCUCGGAUCCAAAAAUUUUUAUAUAUAUCCGAGGGCUCGUCUGUGCUUCUGGCGGUGCGGAUCCGAACCAUGUUGGAUACAAGGACUUUCAGUAACGAUCCGAACUCGGAUCGAUUCGCGGAUAUAACAGAACCGAAGUCUCGUUUCUGCACUUUUCAAAGUUUUCUUCCCUCUUUUCACCGAACCCUAACCCUCUCGCUCUAAUCUUCCAUUUCAUCCGUUCAUUCCCUAAUCUUUCACCUCAAAAUCAUUUUCCAACAUCUUGUGAUCAUAAACCCUCAAAGAUUUCAUUUGAAAAACAUCAAUUUUGGGGGAUUUCAAGUGUUAAAACCGAAAGGAGGGCCGAACUGAAAUCUUCAAAUUUGGAGCGAAUUUGGACUAUUUUCUUCCUCAUUUUUGCAACAAUAUCUUCUUCUAUCAUCACUCUACACAUUUGAGGUAACAAUUUGCAACUUCCUUUGAGAUUUUAUAUUUCCUAUUUUUGCAUUUUUCUAGUUUUUGGGCAUAUUGUGAUAAAUGCCUAUUUGUUGAAAUUUUUCUUGUUAUAAAUGUGCUACAUUGUACUAGAAUAUGUUGUUACUACUAUUUUUAUGCUUAGUAUGGAAAAAGUUGGGGAUUUGGUGAUAUUUUUGGUAUAUUUUUUUAAUUUAUUAGGCUAAUGGCAAUUUGGUUCUUUAGGCUUGUGAAUGUUGGUUUCCAUUGAAUAUAUAAACUUGUUUUGAGGAGUAUAAGUCACUGUUGUACCAAUUAAAAAUGAUAUGCGAUUAAUAGAACCAAUUCCAUUGUGUAAAAGAGUGUGUUUAUGAUUAAGUUUAGCACAUUCAAUUUUUUAUUUUUUUACUUGAAAUCUCUUAUCUGUUUGAGUUCAAUUGUAAUUGUUUUGGUAAAUUUGAAACUCAUUCGUAUGCACUUUAUUAAGAAUGGGUAUAGCCAAUUGUGGUGUGAUUCUUGGAUAAAGUUAUGAAUAUAUCGGCAUGUUCAUUCUUGAAAUAAUGGUUGAGGUUCAAAUAAUCGAACUCUUUGAUGAGAUUCUACCUGAAAAUAUGCAUUUGAGUUUGAAAUGAGUUAAGUAGGAUUUUUGGUUGUUUUUUUGGUACAUGUUGGCAGGGAGUUUAGCCCUUUUAUAAGGGGAAACUCUGCUGAAAUUUUCUUAAAUUUUAUGUGAGCAAGUUUAUAAUGUUAUAAUGAACAUUCAUCUUGUUUUUAUAUAGGAACUAUGGCUCGCACAAUGAGGGCUCGUAUUCGUACUCCUACACUAUCUUCAAGCGAGGAACGCACUCCCUCACAUGAAGAGUCGCCUGAGGAAGAAUCUCCUUCGCCUGAGCCACCACCUCGGUCUCGCCGGAAGACCGCAUCCACUAGCCGCGACGAGACGCUUCCAGAUUAUGACACCACUAGAUUCACGUCACUCGAGAAUCAACAGUGGUACGAAGCAGGUUUAGAUAAGGAAAUUAUCAUUGAAAAGCACCUGACACCGGAGGUGGAUGCGCACUACCACAUCUUUACGGCAUUCAAGAGAUUCGGAUAGGAAAACAUCUUUCAAUUGCCCAAACACUACUACUCCAACAAGGUCCGGGAGUUCUACGCCAAUGUAGAAAACAAACAGAGUCACAGUGGCAACCUCAUCGUCUCUUGGGUUCGAGAAAAGAGAGUGGCUCUUAACCGGGAUACAGUCGCCAAAAUCGCCAAACUCAAAGACGAAGGAGUGGAUGUUAAAUUGACUAAGGAAUUCAAGGCACGCGACCCUUGGUAGGUGGGAGAAGCAGUAGCACGUCUAAAGGGUCAAUAUAGGGAGCGAGGAAGUUCAAAGAAGCUCACCGUAUAUGCCGACUCCUUCGAGCAUAGGUACCACUUGAUCUUCUAUCUCUUCGCCUUCAAUGUGGUACCCAAGAGGAGUGGAAAACGGGAGCUCUGCAAUAGUGACCUCUACUUCUUGGAUAAGAUGAUGCACAGUGUGGGUGGGCAGUUGACUGGUAUUUCUUUGCCCAACAUCAUCAUCAGUUACAUGCAGACCACAGCUCGCAUAAGGGCUGGCGAGACUUGCUUUGGAUUCCCUCGACUGCUAUCCCUCAUUUUUGAGAAGUUCAAGGUUCCUCUUGGAACCGAGCGAGCCAUUGUCACUAGAUCCGCUGACGAGGUUAGUGCCUCGAUACUCAAAUCUUUGAGUAUUUCUACAGAUUUUGGAGCUGCUCUGGUUCGAGACACUAGAGAAGUUUCAACUUCUACUCAGCCCCCACCUCACACUCAGCAAGAACCAGAAGCUCAAGAGACAGGGGCACAGUAGACUCUUCCUCCACCCGUUUCACGACCAUCACCUCCGCCGCGAUCCAAGUGGCAAGAGCUCCUCAAUGCCAUCUGCUGUAUGGAGACAGGAGUCGUCGAGCGCAUUGACCAGACCGAGAGGAUGAUGACAGAGCGACUCGACAGACAUAAUCGCCGUCUUCGUGCGAUCAAGGAUCAUUUCCAUAUCCGCAAGUCACCUACUCUGACGUCUCAGCAGGAGGAGGGGCAUAUUGGUACAUCACAGGGUCCUCAUGGAAAUAAGGAGACAGUAGACCCUCGUUCUGAGCAGCCAUGAAGAUCUUUAGCUGAUUACAUCUUUUGUUACUAUUUUUUUCUUUUGUUGUGUUCGGUUUAAACUUUGUAGUUUUCAUAUUGGAUUCUCUUGUGCUACUCAUGAUUUUUUGUACUCUUUUGUUUAAUUGUGAAGAGAAUUUGGAUGAUCGUGAGGAUUAAUGGCUUCAAAUUGAAUUACUACUUAUUUUGAGGGAAGUUUCAGUUUCUAUUACCUUCUUCACAAUGAGGACAUUGUUAAAUUUAAGUGUGGGGGAGGGAUUACUUUAUCUUAUGGGGAUUGUGUCUUGAAAUGCAUGAUUUGAGUUGUUUAUGGCUUAAAAAUGUUGGAAUUUUAUUUGGAAAUGUUGUAUUGUGGUUAAUUUUCUUGAAAUUGAGGUUGUUGACAGGGAGUUUUGUCCAUUUUUAUGGGGAAAGUCUGUAAAAAUUUUUUAAAAUAUUUUCCAAUAUUUCAAGUUAAUGGUCAAAAUGUUCAAUUCUGUGAAAUUGUGAGUGGAUUAAUGAGUGGAUUAAAUGAGUGGAUUAAUGCAUUAAUUUUGUGAAAUUGUGAAGGAUAUCGAUAUAUGAAGUUCAUGUACCAGCUGAAAGAAGUGUAAGGAUUGUCUAGAGGAUAAAGUACACAAAAAAUUAGGAGCAAAAAUGAAGGAAAAAGGAAGGAAGCGAAAAAUUGGAAAUUUAAUGGCACGGAUCCGAGCUCGGAUCCGUGAGACCAAAGAGAGAUCCGAUCUCUCGUCUGUACUUCUGGAGGAAUGUAUCCGAGGUCAGAAGAUCCAACCUCGAAUCCAUCAUGCGAAGUCCUCGGAUCCUAAAGAUCCGAGCUCGGAUCUAUAUUCAACCCUUGGAUCAGAGGCUCGGAUCUGUCUCUCUCUUCAGCAAGUGGCACAACCGUUUUCCUUUACCUUUUUCAUAACUUUUCCAGCUAUUUUGAGGGACAGAAAUCGGUGGCACAUGCUUCUGCAACAAAAUAGAAGACCAAAUGAGUUGUAGACAAAAGAAAACAUCAUAUCUUUGAUUCAGCUACUGACUACAUUAGAGAUAGCACUCAGAGUUUGAGGCUUUUAGGAUUCAAGGUUUUAGGGUUUUAGAGAUCAAAAUUUAGUGUUUUAUGAGAAUAGCACUUUCGGGUUUAGGGUUGUAGGAUUUUAUUUUGACAAUAGUGUGCCUUCAUUAGGACUUUAGAUUUUUAAUUAAAAUAGUAAUCCUAUCGUGCCAUUAAAAUAUUUUUUUAAUGGAUUUUAAUAAACCCAACAACCAUGAUUUAAUGUUUUAGGGUUUACAAGGAUUUGGUUUCUAAGAUUUACGAUUUAGUGUUUUACGGCUUUAGCACUUAGGGUUUUAGGAUUUUUGCAUGACAAUAAAUUUGCCUUGAUUAUCGCUUUAUUUUUUUAAUCAAAGUAGUAAUCCUGCCAAUAAUUGUAAAAGGUAAAACACAUAAGAUUUAAUCGCUAGAUAUUUGAUUUAAUUUUUUUUCUUUUCCUUUUCAACUACCAAACAAAUAACAUGCACUUCAUAAAAAUAACUUAUAUAAUUUUUUAAAAUAACAUUGCGUUAUGAAAUUUCUAAAAUUACAGUUGAAAUUGUAACAGAUAUUAAUGACUAUUAACUAUUACAUUCUUAUAACUAAUAUUCAUCGGUGUCAACAAAUAAAUACGAUUCAUUAAUAACAAAGGAAAAUUAGAAUUUGAUAAAAAAAAUUAUUUCAUAAAAAAGGAAAAAAAGUUAGUAUUUUUUUUCAUAAAAUAUAGUCAACACCUUACAUGUUAACAAUUUCAUUCUAUUUUUACAUUGAUAUAUGAAAUAGAUAGAAAGAACUAUGCAUGUGUACUUUUUCCACCAUUUAAAUGUAUUAUAAUAACCGUACAAUUACCAAUUUUUUUUAAUAUAAAAGAAAUAUGAUUUUUUUAGAGCACAUAUUUGAUGACUUUAGGCACGUGCAAGUUUUAAAAUAAAAAAAAAUUAUUCCUCUGCUAAUUACAGAUUUUUAAAUAACAUUUCUCUAACAUUUCUCCGAAAUAUAAGAUUUUAGUAGAGCUUUUAAAAUAAGAUUUUACUACCGACAGCAUUUUAGUAAAGGCAAAUUCUACAAAACAAACAACAUUUACAGUUAAUUUUACAUUUUUUUGGGAGCUCGUAAAUUUCAUUUUAAAUUUUUUUUCUAGCAAGUUUGAAUUUAAUUUUCUGAAAGUCAUAUUUAUAAAUGCGAAAUCUAACAAAAAAAUUAAAUACCAUUUUUGGAGGUCAAAUUUAUCAAAUGCGAGCUAUUUGAAGAAUUUAAAAAAAAAACAUUUAGGAGCUCGCAUUUAGCUCUUACUAUUUUUUGAAAAAAAUUCUCUAGCUCCCAAAAAAAAAGCAAAAAAAUUUAAAUUAUACUUAAGCUCGCAUCGCAUUCCCGGAAUGCGAGCUCUACUUAUUGAGCACAACUCUAUUGAGCUCUACUUAUUGAGCACAGCUCUAUUGAGCUCGCAUUCGGCACAGCUCUAUACUGUGCUCAAUAAGUACCGCACAGCUCUAUACUGUGCUCAAUAAGUAGAGCUCGCAUUCCGGGAAUGCGAGCUCAAUAGAGCUAAGCUCGCAUUCGCGGAAUGCGAAGACCUCCCUACGGAAUAUCCCACCAAAAUCACCCCUUUUGUAGAAUUUUUUUAAAAUUCAUCACAAAAUUGGAAAUUUCUCGGUGGCUGUGGAGGUAAUUAGCCAAAGAUGUGCCCAGAAGAACCGGGGAAUUGCUUUAUUUAUUUUGGAAUUUUCAUCAUUGAACUGUACUUAUUAUGCAGGUUUUAGACGAAUCACUAUUUUGAAUACUUGAAACAUAUAUCUGAUAAUUAUACUCAUUCAUACUAUCUUAGGGAUUGUGUUCGUUAGUUUUAUUCUUCCAAUUGUAAUACACCCUAUUAGUUAUGUAAAGUUAUGAACUCAAAUUGAUGAAAAAAAAAAAAGAAAUCUAAUAGUUUCUGAGUUUUAUUUUUUCUUUGAUUUGCUUUGCAAUUAAGAUAAAAUUAAAAUUUUUUUUUCCUUCAUAUCUCUCUUCACACCCUUCCUAGUUUCUUAUUAAUGUGUGUGUGUAUAAAUAUAUAUAUAUUCAUUCUAAUAUUUGCAUUCAUGCCAGCACAUAUAUAUCAAACAUGACACAGAUACAUAAUUCUAAUAAUGAAAGUUACAAUAAUUCCGACAUUGGACAGAGGUCUUCUAAACCUUUGGUAUAGGUUCAAACAAAUCCAAUUGGAUGCAAGUUCAUUUCAUGUCUUUGACUCCGCAUGAACUUGUGUCAAUUAUUUGGAUUUGGCUCCAGUGUUCCGCCUUAAAGUUAGGAUGCAUAAACAAAAUCUUUGGUUGGGAUUUAUUUGUACUCAUGAAAAAAAAAGUAUAAAAAGAAAAAACUAACAAUUUAACUUAUUUUUUGUCUAUAAAAAUGCCCAUCCGUCCAGUUAAUUUCCCUCAAUUCUGAAGAGAAAGUAACGAGUGCAUGAGUCCUGUUGUUUCAAUUUUCAUGCCAUGUUCAGGAAGAAGAGUAUGAUUGAUGCAACUGAAGAUUAAAAGAGGCCUGUGAGCAAUUUCCUUGUCCAUCGAAACCCCAGAUACCUUGCAUUGUACUGCAGUAAUAUACAGGAAAGAAUGGCAAGAUUCCUGAUCUCGCCUUUGGAUGGUGCCAAUCCAUACAGGAUAGGUGCAAAAAACAAUGGUUAUGGAGGCUUGGUUUUGGUUGGCAUGAUAAUAGCAUCCCUUGCAAUUUUAUCCAUGAUUAUAUUUGCAUGUGGCAAUAGCCAAGGUUAUGAAGGUUCAUCAAAGAAGGGCAAACGUGAUAGAUUUUUGGUUUAUUAUAAUAAUUAUGGUAGCGAUGGUGGACAUGGCAGUCGCGGUGGCCAUGAUGAAAGCUGCGACGGUGGCGGUGGCGGCGGAGGAAGCAGCAGUUACCAUGGUGGUGGCUGUGGUGGAGGAUAAGAGCGGUUUCACUAUAUCUCUUGAUGAUUCAAACCCGCAAUUUAUUAAUUACAGGUGAAGCAUCUUACCAACUAAACCGUGCUUCGUUGUCAAUUGACGUGUUAAACAACAUUUAGACUGUAAAAUUCAGUUUCUGACUGAUGGGGAUUCUGAAGUGGUAUUAGUACAUAUGCGGUUUAUCUGGAGGCCUUCUUGUAAUGUAUUACAAAUACUAAUUAGAAGCUGAUAGACACUAAUUUCUGAAGAUGUUGGGGCACUUGUACGAUUUUUCUUCAGAAGAUCCAUAAUGAUCAGUUGUGAUUUAUGAACUCAAGAACACAACUAGGCAACGAUUACUGCACAUUUUGUUAUCUAAUGUUUGGGCAUGCAUGAAUAUGCACGUAAUGAUGAGGUGAUCUCUCUUGUGCCUGCAGAAAAUUUGUUCCCGCAAAACCGUAGCUGGCUAAUAUCCUAAUCUCGUAGUACAACAAUUAAUGUCUUGCUGGAUUGCGUCAAUCACAUCAUAAACUGCAUUGCUUUGUCUAGUGAUAUGGAGCUGAAUACAUAGAAAUAAGAAAUAACCAGCCAACAUAUGCAAGAUUAACUCGCUAGGGAAAUCAUCUGGUAUCAAAAGCAGAAGUUGCAGGUAUGACCAAAUUCUAAGAUCUCAACCAAAAAGUUUGUCGACUAAUAUAAGGUGAGUGCUCUAUAAAAGGGAUAUCUAGUUGAUUAAUAUGUACAACUCCAGAUGCCAAAGUUCUAUGGCAAAGAAAAUGAAUUGUUGAUUAUUUUGACAGUUUUAACACAUUAGCAAAUUUCACCUAAAAAAAGCGCUCAAAUGAAGCUCACAAUUCAUUCACAAAACUAAUAACCCCACCAAAAUUUGAAGGUUAAGUUUUGAUAACGCGGCCCUUGUACUGUCC
rnacentral:lncRNA from 1 species